rnacentral:lncRNA from 1 species
AACUGUGAGCUCAUUGGAUGAAAAAGAUGAUGAGGAGAGCGAAGAACAAAAGGAGGAAGAGCGAAUUAGCUACCCGUGCCCACCUUCUAAUGAGAGUAACUCUUCAACUCAUACAUUGUUUAAUUUCCCUUCGUGCUUACCGAAGGAUGAUUGCUAUGAUGAUUGUUAUGAUCCCAUUGAUUCUCUUGAAAUAUCCCUUUUUGAUGAUGCUUGCUAUGCUUGUGGCCAAGAUGCCAAUAUGAAUUAUGCUUAUGGAGAUGAACUUGCUAUAGUUCCUUAUAUUAAACAUGAAAUUGUUGCUAUUGCACCCACACAUGAUAGUCCUAUUAUCUUUUUGAAUUCUCCAAACUACACUAUAUCAAAGAAGUUUGCUCUUAUUAAGGAUUAUAUUGAUGGGUUGCCUUUUACUACUACACAUGAUGAUUUUGAUAGAUAUAAUAUGCAUGUGCUUGCUGCUCCUACUUGCAAUUAUUAUGAGAGAGGAACUAUAUCUCCACCUCUCUAUGUUUCCAACACGAUAAAAUUGCAAGAAACUGUUUAUACUAUGCAUUGGCCUUUACUUUGUGUGCAUGAAUUGUUCUUUUAUGACAUGCCGAUGCAUAGGAAGAUAGUUAGACUUCGUCAUUGCUUGAUAUAUGUUGUUUUGUGCUCACUACUAAAUUACAAAUCAUUGUUAAUUAAAAUUGGCUUUGAUAUACCUUGGGAUCCGGGUGGAUUCACUACUUGAGCACUAUAUGCCUAGCUUGGUGGCUUUAAAGAAAGCGCUGCCAGGGAGACAACCAGGAAGUUUUAGAGAGCCAUUUAUUUCUGUUGAGUGCUUUUAUAUAGUUUAAAAACAACAAAAAUAAAGAGGGGAACCCAAAACUUUUUCAAAAAGAAAAGCGAAAGUGAGAAAGACAAGCAUUGUUGAAGUGGGCGCUAGCCUUGAACUUUGUUCAUGCUCACGGAAACUUUGUGAAUCUUGAUUACAGAAACUUUUCAACAAAAAUAAUUAUCCCCUUGUACAAUUCCAUUGUAUUAUAAAAAUAAUGUGCCAAGGUUUGCCUUUAGGAUGUUUACAAUGCUUGUUGGUUUGUAUGGUGCAGGACAGAAACUUUGGCUGUAGUGCGCGAUUUUACAUUUUUUACUGGAACGUCAAAUGGUUCUGAUUCUUUUUGCACUGUCUUUAUUUACAAAUUGUUUAUAUUUCCUAAUUUUGGCAGAAUUUUUCAAGUAUCAGAAGUAUGGUGAAGGUUCAGAUUAUUACAGACUGUUCUAUUUUAGACAGAUUCUGUUUUUGAUGCAUAGUUUGCUUGUUUUGAUGAAACUAUCAAUUUAUAUCAGUGGAUUAAGCCAUGAAAAAGUUAUAUUACAGUAGACACAAUGCAAAAACAAAAUAUGAAUUGGUUUGUAACAGUACUUAGAGUAGUGAUUUACUUUAUUAUACUAACGGAUCUUACCGAGUUUUCUGUUGAAGUUUUGUGUGGAUGAAGUGUUCGAUGAUUGAGAAGGUCUCGAUGUGAGAAGAAGGAAGAGAGGCAAGAGCUCAAGCUUGGGGAUGCCCGAGGCACCCCAAGUAAAUAUUCAAGGAGACUCAAGCGUCUAAGCUUGGGGAUGCCCCGGAAGGCAUCCCCUCUUUCUUCAACAAGUAUCGGUAUGUUUUCAGAUUCGUUUGGUUCAUGCGAUAUGUGCAAAUCUUGGAGCGUCUUUUGCAUUUAGUUUUCAUUUUUAUUUUAUGCACCAUGCUGGUAUGAGAUAGUCCUUGGUUGAUUUAUAGAAUGCUCUAUGCACUUCACUUAUAUCUUUUGAGUAUGGCUUUAUAGAAUGCUUCAUGUGCUUCACUUAUAUCAUUUGAAGUUUGGAUUGCAUGUUUCUCUUCACUUAGACAACCGCCAUUUGUAGAAUGCUCUUUUGCUUCACUUAUAUUUGUUAGAGCGUGGGCAUAUCUUUUGUAGAAAGAAUUAAACUCUCGUGCUUCACUUAUAUCUAUUUAGAGAGAUGACAGGAACUGGUCAUUCACAUGGUUAGUCAUAAAACCCUACAUAAAAUUUGUAGAUCACUGAAUAUGAUAUGUUUGAUUCCUUGCAAUAGUUUUGCGAUAUAAAGGUGGUGAUAUUAGAGUCGUGCUAGUUGAGUAAUUGUGAAAUUGAGAAAUACUUGUGUUGAGGUUUGCAAGUCCCGUAGCAUGCACGUAUGGUGAACCGUUAUGUAACAAAGUCGGAGCAUGAUUUAUUUAUUGAUUGUCUUCCUUAUGAGUGGCGGUCGGGGACGAGCGAUGGUCUUUUCCUACCAAUCUAUCCCCCUAGGAGCAGGCGCAUAGUACUUUGUUUCGAUAGCUAAUAGACUUUUGCAAUAAGUAUGUGAGUUCUUUAUGACUAAUGUUGUGUCCAUGGAUUAUACGCACUCUCACCCUUCCAUCAUUGCUAGCCUCUUCGGUACCGUGCAUUGCCCUUUCUCACCUCGAGAGUUGGUGCAAACUUCGCCGGUGCAUCCAAACCCCGUGAUACGAUACGCUCUAUCACACAUAAACCUCCUUAUAUCUUCCUUAAAACAGCCACCAUACCUACCUAUUAUGGCAUUUCCAUAGCCAUUCCGAGAUAUAUUGCCAUGCAACUUCCAUCAUCAUCAUAUACAUGACUUGAGAAUUUAUUGUCAUAUUGCUUUGCAUGAUCGUAAGAUAGCUAGCAUGAUGUUUUCAUGGCUUGUCUGUUUUUUGAUGUCAUUGCUACGCUAGAUCAUUGCACAUCCCGGUACACCGCCGGAGGCAUUCAUAUAGAGUCAUAUCUUUGUUCUAGAUAUCGAGUUGUAAUAUUGAGUUGUAAGUAAAUAAAAGUGUGAUGAUCAUCAUUAUUAGAGCAUUGCCCCAGUGAGGAAAGGAUGAUGGAGACUAUGAUUCCCCCACAAGUCGGGAUGAGACUCCGGACGAAAAAAAAAGAAAGGCAAAAAAGAGAAAGCCCAAAAAAAGAGAAAAAAAAACAACAAAAAAAUGAGAGAAAAAGAGAGAAGGGACAAUGUUACUAUCCUUUUUCCACACUUGUGCUUCAAAGUAGCACCAUGUUCUUCAUAUAGAGAGUCUCUUAAGUUAUCACUUUCAUAUACUAGUGGGAAUUUUCAUUAUAGAACUUGGCUUGUAUAUUCCAACGAUGGGCUUCCUCAAAUGCCCUAGGUCUUCAUGAGCAAGCAAGUUGGAUGCACAUCCACUUAGUUUCAGUUUGAGCUUUCAUACACUUAUAGCUCUAGUGCAUCCGUUGCAUGGCAAUCCCUACUCCUCACAUUGACAUCAAUUGAUGGGCAUCUCCAUAGCCCGUUGAUUAGCCGCGUCGAUGUGAGACUUUCUCCUUUUUUGUCUUCUCCACAUAACCCCCAUCAUCAUAUUCUAUUCCACCUAUAGUGCUAUGUCCAUGGCUCACGCUCAUGUAUUGCGUGAAAGUUGAAAAGGUUUGAGAAACGUCAAAAGUAUGAAACAAUUGCUUGGCUUGUCAUCGGGGUUGUGCAUGAUGUGAAUAUUUUGUGUGGUGAAGAUGGAGCAUAGCCAGACUAUAUGAUUUUGUAGGGAUGAGCUUUCUUUGGCUAUGUUAUUUCAAUAAGACAUAAUUGCUUGGUUGGUAUGCUUGAAGUAUUAUUGUUUUUAUGUCAAAGGAUAGACUAUUGCUUUGAAUCACUCGUGUCUUAAUAUUCAUGCCAUGAUUAGACAUAUGAUCAAGAUUAUGCUAGGUAGCAUUCCACAUCAAAAAUUAUCUUUUUUAUCAUUUACCUACUCGAGGAUGAGUAGGAAUUAAGCUUGGGGAUGCUGAUACGUCUCAGUCGUAUCUAUAAUUUUUGAUUGUUCCAUGCCAAUAUUAUUCAACUUUCAUAUACUUUUUGGCAACUUUUUAUACUAUUUUUGGGACUAACAUAUUGAUCCAGUGCCCAGUGCCAGUUCCUGUUUGUUGCAUGUUUUAUGUUUCGCAGAAUAUCCAUAUCAAACGGAAUCCAAACGGGAUAAAAACGGACGGAGCUUAUUUUUGGAAUAUUUGGAAAAUUCCGGAAGAAAAAUCCACGCGAGACGGUGCCCGAGAUGGCCACGAGGCAGGGGGGCGCGCCUGCCCCCCUGGGCGCGCCCCUGAGCCUCGUGGGCCACCCGUAAGGAGGCCCAUGCCCUUCUUCAGCCGCAAGAAAGCUAAUUUUUGGUAAAAAAUCACGGCGAAGGUUUCAGUCCAAUCGGAGUUACGGAUCUCCAUAUAUAUACGAAACGGUGAAAGGGCAGCAGAAGAGAACGCAGAAACAGAGAGAGACAGAGAGACAGAUCCAAUCUCGGAGGGGCUCUCGCCCCUCCCACGCCAUGGAGGCCAAGGACCAGAGGGGAAACCCUUCUCCCAUCUAGGGAGGAGGUCAAGGAAGAAGAAGACGAAGGGGCCCCCUCUCCCCUUCUCUUCCGGUGGCGCCGGAACGCCGCCGUGGCCAUCAUCAUCACCGCAAUCUUCACCAACAACUUCACCGCCAUCAUCACCAACUCUUCCCCCCUCUAUGCAGCGGUGUAACCUCUCUCUUACUCGUUGUAAUCUCUAUUUAAACAUGGUGCUCAACGCUAUAUAUUAUUUCCCAGUGAUGUAUGGCUAUCCUAUGAUGUUUGAGUAGAUCCGUUUUGUCCUAUGGGCUAUUUGAUGAUCAAGAUUGGUUUGAGUUGCAUGUUUUAUUAUUGAUGUUGUCCUAUGGUGCUCUCCGUGUCGCGCAAGCGUGAGGGAUUCCCGCUGUAGGGUUUGCAAUAUGUUCAUGAUUUGCUUAUGGUGGGUGGCGUGAGUGACAGAAGCACAGACCCGAGUAAGUAGGUUGUUUGCGUAUGGGAUAAAGGGGACUUGAUGCUUUAAGGCUAUGGUUGGGUUUUACCUUAAUGAUCUUUAGUAGUUGCGGAUGCUUGCUAGAGUUCUAAUUAUAAGUGCAUAUGAUCCAAGUGGAGAAAGUAUGUUAGCUUAUGCCUCUCCCUCAAAUAAAAUUGCAAUAAUGAUUACCGGUUUAGUUAUCGAUUGCCUAGGGACAAAUAACUUUCUCGUAACAAAAAGCUCUCUACUAAAACUAAUUUAGUUGUGUCUUCAUCUAAACAGCCCCUAGCUUUUAUUUACGUGCUCUUUACUUUCUUGCAAGCUUACCCCAAAACACCUACAAAGUACUUCUAGUUUUAUACUUGUUUCCGGUAAAGCAAACGUCAAGCGUGCGUAGAGUUGUAUUGGUGGUCGAUAGAACUUGAGGGAAUAUUUGUUCUACCUUUAGCUCCUCGUUGGGUUCGACACUCUUACUUAUCGAAAGAGGCUACAAUUGAUCCCCUAUACUUGUGGGUUAUCAGUAGCAAAAGCAAUAUUUUUGGGUUUUGUAGUGAUUGUAAUAGUAGCAGCGGAAAAGUAAAUAAGCGAAGAACAAUAUGUGAAAAGCUCGUAGGCAUUGGAUCGGUGAUGGAGAAUUAUGCCGGAUGCGGUUCUUCAUGUAACAAUCAUAACAUAGGGUGACACAGAACUAGCUCCAAUUCAUCAAUGUAAUGUAGGCAUGUAUUCCGAAUAUAGUCAUACGUGCUUAUGGAAAAGAACUUGCAUGACAUCUUUUGUCCUACCCUCCCGUGGCAGCAGGGUCGUAAUGGAAACUAACGGAUAUUAAGGCCUCCUUUUAAUAGAGUACCGGACCAAAGCAUUAACACAUAGUGAAUACAUGAACUCCUCAAACUAUGGUCAUCACCGGGAGUGGUCCCGAUUAUUGUCACUUCGGGGUUGCCGGAUCAUAACACAUAGUAGGUGACUAUAGACUUGCAAGAUAGGAUCAAGAACACAUAUAUACUCAUGGAAACAUAAUAGGUUCAGAUCUGAAAUCAUGGCACUCGGGCUCUAGUGACAAGCAUUAAGCAUAGCAAAGUCAUAGCAACAUCAAUCUCAGAACAUAUUGGAUACUAGGGAUCAGACCCUAACAAAACUAACUCAAUUAUAUGAUAAAUCUCAUCCAACCCAUCACCGUCCAGCAAGCCUACGAUGGAAUUACUCACGCACAGCGGUGAGCAUCAUGAAAUUGGUGAUGGAGGAUGGUUGAUGAUGACGAUGGCGACGGAUUCCCCUCUAUGGAGCCCCGAACGGACUCCAGAUCAGCCCUCCCGAGAGAGUUUAGGGCUUGGCGGCAGCUCCGUAUCGUAAAACAUGAUGAAUCUUUCUCUCUGAUUUUUUUCUCCCCGAACACGAAUAUAUGGAGUUGGAGUUGAGGUCGGUGGAGCUCUAGGGGGCCCACGAGGCAGGGGGCGCGCCCCCCACCCUUGUGGCAAGGGUGUGGGCCCCCUGGCCUUGAUUAUUUCGCCAAUAUUUUUUAUUAUUUCCAAAAAUAAUCUCCGUGGAGUUUCAGGUCAUUCCGAGAACUUUUGUUUCUGCACAUAAAUAACACCAUGGCAAUUCUGCUGAAAACAGCGUCAGUCCGGGUUAGUUCCAUUCAAAUCAUGCAAGUUAGAGUCCAAAACAAGGGCAAAAGUGUUUGGAAAAGUAGAUACGACGGAGACGUAUCAACUCCCCCAAGCUUAAACCUUUGCUUGUCCUCAAGCAAUUCAGUUGAUAAACUGAAAGUGAUAAAUAAAAACUUUUACAAACUCUGUUUGCUCUUGUUGUUGUAAAUAUGUAAAGCCAGCAUUCAAGUUUUCAGCAAAGAUUAUGACUAACCACAUUCACAAUAACUCUUAGGUCUCAUGUUUACUCAUAUCAAUGGCAUAAUCAACCAGCGAGCAAUAAUAAUAAAUCUCGGAUGACAACACUUUCUCAAAACAAUCAUAAUAUGAUAUAAUAAGAUGGUAUCUCGCUAGCCCUUUCUGAGACCGCAAAACAUAAAUGCAGAGCACCUUUAAAGAUCAAGGACUGACUAAACAUUGUAAUUCAUGGUAAAAGAUAUCCAGUCAUAGUCAUACCCAAUAUAAAUUAAUAGUAAUGGAUGCAAAUGACAGCAGUGCUCUCCAGCUGGUGCUUUUUAAUAAGAGGGUGAUGACUCAACAUAAAAGUAAAUAGAUAGGCCCUUCGCAGAGGGAAGCAAGGAUUUGUAGAGGUGCCAGAGCUCGAUUUUGAAAUAGAGAUAAAUAAUAUUUUGAGCGGCAUACUUUCAUUGUCAACAUAACAACCAAGAGAUGGCGAUAUCUUCCAUGCUACACACAUUAUAGGUGGUUCCCAAACAGAAUGGUAAAGUUUAUACUCCCCCUCCACCAACAAGCAUCAAUCCAUGGCUUGCUCGAAACAACGAGUGCCUCCAACUAACAACAGUCCCAGGGGAGUUUUGUUUGCAAUUAUUUUGAUUUGGUUUGCAUAAAGCAUGGGACUGGGCAUCCCGGUGACCAGCCAUUUUCUCAUGAGUGAGGAGCGGAGUCCACUCCUCUUGAGAAUAACCCGCCUAACAUGGAAGAUACGGUCAGCCCUAGUUGAUACAUGAGCUAUUCGAGCAUACAAAACAGAAUUUCAUUUGAAGGUUUGGAGUUUGGCACAUACAAAUUUACUUGGAACGACAGGUAGAUACCGCAUAUAGGAAGGUAUGGUGGACUCAUAUGGCAUAACUUUGGGGUUUAAGGGAUUGGAUGCACAAGCAGUAUUCCCGCUUAGUACAAGUGAAGGCUAGCAAAAUACUGGGAAGCGACCAACUAGAGAGCGACAACAGUCAUGAACAUGCAUUAAAAUUAAUAAACAUUGAGUGCAAGCAUGAGUAGGAUAUAAUCCACCAUGAACAUAAAUAUCGUGAAGACUAUGUUGAUUUGUUUCAACUACAUGUGUGAACAUGUGCCAAGUCGAGUCACUUAAAUCAUUCAAAGGAGGAUACCACCCCAUCAUACCUCAUCACAACCAUUUUAAUAGCAUGUUGGCACGCAAGGUAAACCAUUAUAAACUCCUAGCUAAUUAAGCAUGGCAUAAGCAACUAUAAUCUCUAAUUGUCAUUGCAAACAUGUUUAUUCAUAAUAGGCUAAAUCAGGAACGAUGAACUAAUCAUAUUUACAAAAACAAGAGAGGUUGAGUUCAUACCAGCUUCUCUCAUCUCAAUCAGCCCAUCAUAUAUCGUCAUAAUCGCCUUUCACUUGCACGACUGUGAAUAAGAAUAAUAGUGCACGUGCAUUGGACUAAGCUGGAAUAUACAAGCAUUCAAUAAACAGGAGAAGACAAGGCAAUAUGGGCUCUUGGUUAAAUCAAAAAUAAUGCAUAUAAGAGCCACUUUAACGAUUUAAUCAUGGUCUUCUCCUAGCGACCCCCAAAGAAAAGAAAAGAAAAGAAACUAUUUACACGGGAAAGCUCCCAACAAGCAAAAGAAGAACAGGAAAUCUUUUUGGGUUUUCUUUUAGUUAUUACUACUAUAGCAAGAAAGGUAAACUAACUAAAAGCUACAACUAAUUUUUUUGGUUUUUCUUAAGGUUUUUCAAACACACAAGAAGAAAACAAGAAAAGGGAAAAUAAACUAGCAUGGAUAUUACAAUGAAAAAGUAUGAGCACCGACAUCUAGCAAUGAGUGUGCGAACAUGAAUGUAAUGUCGGUGAGAAAUACGUACUCCCCCAAGCUUAGGCUUUUGGCCUAAGUUGGUCUAUUGCCACGGCUGGCCUGUGUUGGAACACGCGGUACGCUACGCUAGCGCCAAAUAAAAUUUUCUACCGCGCACCCAAGAUCAUGCUGCUGGAAAUAGAUCACGGGAUCGGGUUUACCACUAGACGCGCAGUUACCACAGUGGAAGUAGAGUUGGUCAUGCGUGUAGCCGAUCUCCCGGGCCGUCUCCUCCUCGCGUUGCCGAUCUCCCGCGAACAGCGAAGACCCGUGAACGGUGAUCUCCCGUGAACGGCACCUCGCGGUUCCCUCGAACGGUUCGUCCAAGCACCGCAGAUGCGAUGCCUCCAAGGUAUCCACACAUACGGGGAGCAGCAUCGAGCGGCGGACUGCUAGGUCCGGUCGCGCGGCAUGGGCAUGGGGAGUGGUGGUGGCUAACCAGGGUUCAAUCCGAUCAACCCUAAGUGGUGUGCCCACUCCCCUUUAUAUAGACCUCCGAGGUGGGCUCAACACUUGAGCCCACUAGGAGUCCACAUCCAUUUUCCACUCAGAUCCAAUCUGAAUGGGCUGCAGCCCCUUAAGUGUGCGACCCUAUAGGUUCACGUACACAUGGACAUGACCAGAGUCGAUAGUUGGUAGCGGCUCCUAGCAGAACAUGCCAACUCCCAUGUGGGCAUAAAGUUGUUUGACGAACCUCAACAAUGUGGCAUAUGCAACAUUCCUUUUGCCUCGCGAUAUUUGUUCUCGAGCUCAAGGCGAGUACUUAUCACCCUUGUGUUAGCUCGACCUCUCUUCUCGAAACCGUGAUACAGAUUCCCGAACUGGGUUAACACUUAACCCAAGUUGCAUGGCCAUGCUUUCCGAAUCUGAUCACUCGAGAGGGCCCAGAGAAUAUCUCUCCAAAUAGGAGGGGCAAAUUCCCUCUUGGUCAACCAUGUCUCGCGGCAUGUCUCACGACUCACCUGAAAGCUACCUUUAUAACUACCCAGUUACGGAGUAGCGUUUGAUAGACCCUAAGUGAGUCGAUCCUCAUCCCGAGAACAUGCGAGGACCUCAGGUCUACGACAUGGCAUAGACAUUGCACUUGAGACUAACAGAUGACUAUAUCUCGCUGCGUCUCAAAGUGGGUCUGUCCGGCUCGGUGAUCUCCAUCCCCGAGCCCAUACUAUCGGUUUAGCAUCUCCAUGCACAUGACUUGUGAAACAUAGUCAUCAACCGAGUCGUAUACUAGUCAAGGAUAUGUGUCCGCAUAACCUUAUCAACUAGGGACCAUUAAAACAAUCAUCAUACAAUACAUAGUUCUACAAACAAGUCACAUACUUAUUGAUACAUAUCAUUGAUGAUGUUCAAGGACAAUACAAAGGACUCAUGAAUACAUAUGGAAAUAUCAUCAUCACAUGAUUGCCUCUAGGGCAUAUCUGCAACAGUCUCCCACUUGCACUAGAGUCAAUCAUUUAGGCAUCGUAUGCCCAUGGAGCUCAUGUGCGCCUCAUGCUUCGGACGUGGGAGAGGCUUCAUCAAUGGAUCAGCAACAUUUGCAUCCGUGUGUACCUUGCAUAUGUUUACAUCACCUCUUUCGACAAUGUCGCGAAUAAGGUUAAAACGCCUGAGUAUGUGUUGGGUUUUAUGACGGUUCCGUGGUUCCUUGACUUGCGCAAUGGCACCACUAUUAUCACAAUAGAGGUCCAAUGGAUUAGACGCGCCCUCAACCACACCAAGAUCAGAAAUAAAAUUCUUCACCCAAACACCUUCUUUUGCUGCUUCAGAAGCCGCAAUGUACUCGGCCUCUGUUGCAGAAUCAGCUACCGUAUCUUGCUUGGAGCUCCUCCAGCUCACUGCUCCUCCGUUCAGAAUGAACACAAACCCAGAUUGUGAUCGACUAUCAUCCCUAUCUGUUUGGAAACUAGCAUCGGUGUAACUAUUUACAACGAGCUCAUCCUCACCUCCAUAAACCAGGAACAGAUCCUUAGUCCUUCUUGUGACACCCAAAAUUUUUAUUUUGGUUUUAUCAAAAUCUUUUAUUUGAUUUGAGGGAGGUGAUAAAAAAAUUUUCUAAAGAACUCUCCCUCUCAAAAUAUUUUCUUUUAUGACAAGUGUUUUGUUUGGAGUCACCCAAAACUUGAUUUUGGUCUUGGAGGUUUUCCAUUGUCAUGUUGACUCAAAUUAUUUUUAUUUGAAAAUAUUCUUUUUGGAAAUCUUUAAAAUAGCCUAUGGAUUUUGAAGUGAUCUUCUCCCCUUUCAAAAAUCCCUCUUGCCAUGACCCAAGUGGAAAUCCUCUCCCAUAAGCCUUUCCUCAUCUUUGGAACAUGAUAUGUUUCAAAUCCAGCAAGUUGAACCUCUCCAUAUACUUGUUUCCAUUUAUUUCUCAUCAAAAAUAAUUUCUGCCUUCUACUUUGAUCCUUGGAGGUUUUCAAAGGAGCUACCAAUUCUACUUUGAGUUUUGCCUUCAAACCAAUUUCCCUAGCUAGUCCUUUGAACCCUCAACCAGGAUCCAUGAAGAUCCACUGGUCUCCAGUUCAAAUAUUUCAAACUAUUCUUGCUGCAAGUUUGGACCAGAUUUGCCAAAUUUGAUGAAAUUCAUUUAAAUUCUUCUCCUAAAAAUCUGAGAAAAUUCAGGUAGCCUCUGGGUGCAUUGAGAGGUCACCUCACCAAGUCCCAGCUCCAGAAAUUUUUUCUCCUUGCCAAAUCAUUUCAUCGAACACCUGCUGGACACUGUUGCUGUCAUGUUCAGUUAACUCAGAGAACAGUUUCAGAGAACACUGUCAUUUUCUUCAGAACAUCUCCUCGAUCUCGCCAGUAACCGCGUUGGCGCCUUGCUCCCUGUCCCCUCCUUCUUGUUCCUGUGCCGCAUGAUCGCCUAGAAGCUUGCGGGCGUCGGCGACAAGCUGGAGGAGGUGUGCCACCCCGUGAGCGACGGCAGCGGCGGCUUUGCGGCCGCCAGAGAGGGGCGCAGCAUAGACGGCGCCGUCCAGCGCCGCCCAAGCCACCGGAGGCCGCCGCGUGGCCCUCCACUCCCCCGUGCGCGCUGUCACCCUCGUCGUGAACUGCUGGGCGCGGAGCGCGCUCUCUGCCGCCGUCGUGCCCGUACGGCCGCCCCGUCGAGGACCGGCGCCAUUACGCCAUACCCGACCAAGGUUAGCAGUGGAACGGCACCAGUGAGCCUCCCUGAUGCUGCCUGACCACUUAAACUCCCUGCUCAACCACUGCCUCGCCGUAAUCGCUCGCCGGAGAUUUCCCGUUCACGGCCACCCCCUCGGAUCGCCUAUAAAUAGAGGCCCCGAGCUCGAACUUGAACCCACACCACCUCUGCACUCCACCAAGACCACGCCAAGCCACUGGAAGAGCUUCGAGGGAGCCUUCUUCCCCAACUCCGGCCGCCUCGACCCGCCACGGGACCCAGCUUGAUUCGCUCCCGUGCGUGCACCUCUACCUCUCCGCUCUUGCCAGUAGCUUCCAUAUGCAUCCACUCUGCUGACCCGCGCUUCAAUUUGGAGUUUGCAGCACCCACCGGAGUUCUCCACCAUCGCCCGAACCACCGUCCGCCGGAGGAAGUGUCGCCGUCGACGUGGUGCUCUCCGUCGGUCAAGUCCACCACCCACCGACGCGGGAGGACGCACUGAACCUCUUGGUACACUCCGAUCUCCCUGCCUCGCCGUGGUUCGACGCCGGCGGCCACCGCAGUCUUCGGGCGCCGGCGAACUUUUUAAACCUGACAUGUGGACCCCCCCCGUCAGCCUCUCUUCCUUCUCCCCCUCGAAACGUUUUCCGUUGGCGCCUUCGGGCAAGUACGUUUUCUCUUUGGGGCUGGCGCAUUUCUUUCCGAAGCGUUUUCUGUUUUCUCAGCUAAGUCCCUGGAUCUUUUCUGUUUCAUCACAGAUUAGUCCCUGGACUAAAACCCUUAUAACUUUUUAAUAAAAGAUGAUUUUUGAGUGAUUCUUUUUCUGUCAGUCUUGUAUUUUUGUCUAGUUUUUUAUAGUAUUUAUUUGGAAUUUUUUGGAACAAUUUUUAUGCACGCGUUGAUUUUCACGUUAGUAUACGUUCUCGCUAUACCGUAGGUUCCGGAGGAGGUGACGGAGCCGCGAACUUCGCCGAACUAGACUCCGACUUCUCCGAACCAGGCAAGCAUGUUUGAACCUUUGAUAUGAUAGGUGUUUUGCAUGUUUGCUUGAAUGGUUGUGCAUGGCAUAUGAGCAUCAGUGAGUAUCUCGUUGCAUGUAAGGAAACUAUCUGUGUAUUCCGAGGUUACUGUGAUCUCUGAUGAGAGAUGGCCUAGUCAUGUGGUGACAUGAAAGGCAGUAAGGUGGUAUUGUUGUAGCAUGCCAGCCUUACGACCUCCGUGAAACUCCGACGUUAACAUGGACUGAGUCACGUUAUCGUUCUUCCCCUUCCGUGCUGCCACAUGUUUUCUGCAAAGGAUACGGUUUAGUAAGUUGGUAACCUCUUUCCGAGUACACACCAAAUAGAGGGGCCGGGAUGAGGGUUCCAUGGCCCUGGAUUAAAGCCAGUCAUCCGGUCAGGGGGCAUGGGUGUUUCCGGUUGGGACCGAGAGGGGGGCACCCCUUAGAGCGCGCGUAUAUAAAUUUGAUCCCAUGCUACGCGAGGUUGUAGCCUCCCCGUCUCAAGGUUUUUCUUGAACGUUGCCGAGGGUGAUUCCUGGCUUCGGCAUGUUGAAUGGGUGUGUACUGGUUAGAUGUGUUUCUCCUAAAACACCUUAAACGGAACUAGUCCCGGUGACUACUGAAAUCCGUUGGCUGUGGUUGAAGUACAAACUCUGCAGAGUCAAAUCCUUCCGAGUCAUCGUAUCUGGGGUCAAGGACCAUGGCCAGUAUAUCCAUAUCUACAUCAAUCUUCGUGGUAGAUCCCCGGUGAACAAGCUUGAGUGGUAAACCCGGUUGCAUGGUUAUUUCUGUGGAUGGACUAACCUUUUAUUUAUCUCGUACCUGAAUAUUACUUUGGAGUAAUUUAAAUUCAUGAGUUACUGAAAUAUUAAGUUGUGAAUUAUAAGCCCUUUAUGUGAUGUCGCUCAGACGUCCGACUGUGGCAUUCUUGAUAUUUACUUUUGAUAUAAGCCCUUUAUGUGAUGUCGCUCAGACGUCCGACUGUGGCAUGUUCAUUAUUUACUUUUGAUAUAAGCCCUUUAUGUGAUGUCGCUUCAGACGUCCGACUGUGGCACGCACUGUCAUUUACUUUCCAUUAUAAGCCCUUUAUGUGGUGUCGCCUUGACGCCCGACUGCGGCAUUGUUGUUUUAUUUGUAUCCUUUCGAGGAGUCAUUCAGACACUCGUCUGGCCCUCAGUAUUACUUUGGGAUUUCGGGAGGACUACCGCCCGACUUCUCCUUUUAUUUCCCUCGCAUUAUUAUCUCAUUGUCUGAGUGCGCUUAUUAAUCUGUUCAUAUGCAUUAUGUUUACAUUUGUUAUAACUUAUGUCCGAACUGUCUUGCGAGUACUUUCAUAGUACUCACCUGGCUUGUUGAUUUGGCCAGAUGUUGACGAAGGCGAUCUCAUGGAUGAAGAGUUUGAUAGUGAGUCCGACGCCUAGAGGAGUCCCAGUCAGUCCCGUGCGAUCCUGGAUAUUGGUCACUUGUAUUAUAUUCGCUUCCGCCACCCGCAAUAAGUCUCCUCGAGCCUCACUCCGACGCUCGAAGAGCUGUUAGUUUCAGGAGUCCCAUCACCCGCUUCGCUGUGAUAUCUUUCCUCCACCGCUUUUAUCGUGAGUCAGUAGUUAUGCCACCCUAUCCGCCUUUAUGUGUUAUUGGCAUGUUUGUAAUUAAUUGUUGAGCAGUCUCCGCUCAACCUUGUAUUAUAUUCAGUACUCCUGGUAUUUUUCUUCUGUGAUCAAGAUAUUGUCUACCUGUGAGAAGGAGUUCUUCUCUACGGGUCCGUAAAAGGGAUCCGUUUCUCAAUAAAUAUUUUUAUUGAAAAACCGGUCGUGACAAGCUUGGUAUCAGAUCCAGGCUGACUGUAGGAAGCCACUAGGUGCGAUCGCUAAUCGGUUAUUAGCAUCUUUGGUGCUUUUUCAGCAUUUUGCAAAUGUAGCUAUUUUCUGUUGGUCAUCAUAAAUUUAUGACAUGACUACUCAGAAUUUUUGCCUACUUUUGUAGAUGGCUGGCAGCAACUGCGAGACUCGGGUGUUCACUAAUGUGCCCGAGGGGUUUGUCAAACUCCUCGUCUCCAUCACCAAGCUCGCGAUCGGGCCAGCGACUCGUCCGGAGUUCACGCUUUACCAACACAAGCUCAGCGACGACGUGUCUAUGCACCAGGCCGUGGUGCAAUUCAAGGGAGGACGUUCUGCAUCACGCCACUUCCGUUUUGUGGGAAGGGCCAUGCCUACGGAGAGGCAUGCCAUGCAGAUGGCCGCCCGUGAGGCAAUAGCUCGCCUUCGGGAUAUCCUUCCUAUGAUGAAGACUCGUCGCUACCGCUACCUUCCAUGCCAUGUGCCAUAUACUUGCCACUAUGCAUUCGCCUGCCAUAGAGGAGAGCGAGAUGAGGCCAUCGAGAUGGUUGUGGAGUAUCUCAAAGCUCUGGAGGAAUCCUUCGACAACCUCGUGGACGAUCUUGUGGCUGCCCGCAUGGACUUAGUUCGGGGCGGUCCUGCCUGCAGGAAGGAGCUUCUCCACACGGCACCGCCUCUGACUUUCGUCUCGUCCUCAGCAUCUUAUGCACCGGCCAUUUUGGCCACCGCUCGCCGUCUGCCUACCACUGAGGAGUUCGACCGAGUCAUCGCUCCUACUCCAGUCAGAGUUGCACCGCCUGCCGCCCCCGCACUGCCACCCGUCGCACCCGCGCCAUCACCUCAGCGCAGUGCUAUGCGCCUGGAGCCUACUAGAGAGGAGGUGGAGGUUGAGUCUCCUGCACCGCUGGGUCUUACCCUCGGCAGGGGGAAGGACAUCGUCACCAUCUCCGACUGAGUGCACCGAGUAGCCACGCGUUGUGUCUGCAUGUCUGUUAUGUUUUUUAUGUAUGCUAGCUUAAAUAACAUGUCAGGUGUGUGUACGCACAUCCUGAGUGCUGUAUCUUAUGUUUGCAUUUCGCGUGUAAGAUUUGUGUUAAGCGGUUCUUCUCUGUGUGAAAUCGUUUAUGUUUUCUUGAAAAAUCUUGAGGUCUUUUAAAUUUUAUCCUUGCAAGAUUUUGCUUGUGCCACACAGUUCUUCUCAUGAGUUUUGCAAAAUAAUACCCCAGAGUGGAAAAUGUCUCGUCCGUGGACUCGUUCCAUGCCCAAUCAACCAGAAGAAGUUUAUGGAACACAGACCAGCAACAACUUCACUCAGGGACAGUCUAGUCAUCAGGACAGUGAGGCAGCCUUAUCUCAAGUAUGCCGCCUUUUCGAACAAAGCCAGCAGCAACACCAAGAAAUGAUGAAUCACGUCAUCAAUAUGGGAAAUCACCGUGAGCCAUACCAACCACACUCCAAGUUGUCUGAACUGCAGAAGACACGCCCUACAACGUUUGCUCACACGGAUAGGCCACUGGAAGCCGAUGAUUGGCUUCGUGACAUCGAAAGAAAGCUGAUUAUUGCUCAAUGUUCUGAUCAUGAGAAGGUGCUUUAUGCACCUCACUACCUCACUGGAGCAGCUGCAGCAUGGUGGGAGAACUUCCUACACAUGCAUCCCAGUGAACAUAACAUCACCUGGGAGGAGUUUAAGGAAGGCUUUCGUGGGGCACACAUCCCCAGGAGCAUCAUAAAAAUCAAGAAAAGAGAAUUUGAUGACCUCAAGCAAAGAGGCAUGUCAGUGACAGAAUACAACGGUCAGUUUACCCAGCUAUCCCGUUAUGCCUAUGAUGAGCAUAUGACUGAGAACAAAAGGAUGGAAAAAUUUCUGGACGGCCUGGCGCCAGCAUUAAGAUGCCAACUGGUCGUACACACUUUCCCAGAUUUCAAGACUCUGGUUGACAAGGCCAUUACCUUAGAGAAUGAACGACGCAGUCUGGAAGAUAUUCGUAAGCGAAAGAGGGAGAAGACGACUCUUGCUCGUAACAACCGAAGCAAGACUGAUGUUCAGAGGAUUGAAGCAAGGAAAUCCACGACUACUAACCUAAGGCCAACCAGACAGUUUCAUUCAAGGGACAAGGACUUUACAUACCAUCCAGGGGUCACUUGCUAUGCUUGUGGUGAAGAAGGGCACUAUGCCAAACAGUGCCCAAAGCCAAGGAACUCGGCCCCAAAGCCGAACAAUGGUGGGAAUAAUCCAGCCCCCAAGCGCAACAAUUUCAACCCCAGCAACAAUCACAGGAAGGGUCACCUGAACCAUGUGACCAGGGAAGAAGCCCAGAAUGCCCCAGACAUCGUGCUCGGUACGUUCCCUGUCAACACAGUACCUGCCACGGUUUUGUUUGAUUCUGGAGCUUCUCACUCAUUCAUUUCGAAGAGUUUUGUUUUGCAACAUAGUUUUCCGAUACUCCCUUUGGAAAAAUCUAUGAUCAUCAAGUCCCCCGGAAAUAAGCAAAUCGUUCAGGGUUACUGCCAAGGAGUAACCAUUGAGUUCGAAGGGCUUAAGUUUCAAGCUAAUCUCAUCGUGUUGGAAAAUAAAGGACUGGAUGUCAUCCUAGGGAUGGACUGGUUGACUACCAACAAGGGAUUUAUUGAUUGUUUCAAUCGGACUGUGAUUCUCAUCACGGCAAGACAAUAAAGGUUACAGCUCAAGAGAGACCACGGUCACGGCAACCAAAGCUAAACAAAGUGGACAUUUCAGAAUUGAGAAAGGUUCCAGUGGUGUGUGAGUUCCCAGACGUAUUUACUGAAGAACUACCAGGCAUGCCACCAGACCGAGAGAUAGAGUUCAGCAUUGAACUAGCACCUGGCACCACUCCCAUCUAUAAGAAACCUUAUAGAAUGGCACCCUCAGAAUUGGUAGAAUUGAAGAAGCAGAUAAAGGAAUUGGAUUUAUUCGAGCCAGCUCCUCACCUUGGGGUUCGCCAAUAUUAUUCGCCAAGAAAAAGGAUGGGACACUGAGAUUGUGUAUAGACUAUCGGGCUCUCAAUAUGGUCACCAUCAAAAACAAAUAUCCGAUGCCACGGAUAAAUGAUUUGUUUGACCAGCUCGCACAAGCCAAGGUGUUCUCAAAAAUUGAUUUGAGGUCGGGAUAUCAUCAAUUGAAAGUACGGACAGAAGAUAUCCCUAAGACAUCAUUCACCUCCAGAUACGGAUUAUAUGAGUUCACAGUAAUGCCGUUUGGACUGACGAACGCCCCCGCAUAUUUCGUCCACCUCAUGAACAAAGUGUUUAUGAAAUACAUGGACAAAUUUGUUGUGGUGUUCAUUGACGAUAUUCUGGUAUAUUCAAGGACACCAGAAGAGCAUGCUGAGCAUCUCAGAAUUGUUUUGGGAGAAUUAAGGAAACAUCAGUUGUACGCCAAAUUUAGCAAGUGUGAGUUUUGGCUAAGGCAAGUUGGUUUCCUAGGCCAUAUAUUAAACCAAGAAGGUGUGGCUGUAGACCCAGAAAAGGUCAAAGCCAUACUUGACUGGAAGCCACCAGCCAACGUGACAGAUGUGCGGAGUUUCCUGGGAAUGGCUGGAUAUUACCGGAGAUUUAUUGAAGGAUUCUCCACGGUGGCAAAACCAAUGACACAGUUGCUCAAGAAAGACAAGAAGUUUGUAUGGACGGAAGCAUGCGAGAAAAACUUCCAAGAACUCAAGAAGAAACUAACAACAGCACCAGUUUUGACUGUGCUAGACAUACGCAAGAGUUUUGAAGUGUAUUGUGACGCAUCCCGGAAGGGCCUUGGAUGUGUGCUGAUGCAUGAUGGCAAAGUUGUCGCGUAUGCUUCCAGGCAACUACGGAAGCAUGAGGAAAAUUAUCCAACUCAUGACUUGGAGCUAGCAGCGGUCAUCCAUGCACUCAAGGAAUGGAGGCACUUUCUGUUGGGAAACCGUUGUGAAAUAUAUACGGACCAUAAGAGCCUUAAUUAUAUUUUCACACAGCCAGAGCUAAAUUUACGCCAACGACGCUGGUUGGAAUUGGUCAAGGAUUAUGAUGUCGGCAUUCACUACCAUCCAGGGAAAGCAAAUGUAGUGGCAGAUGCUCUUAGUCGAAACCCCAGCCCGGGCAACGACAGUCCACAAAACUUGAGGCCUGAGUUUCAGCAGGAGUUCGCUAGACUCAACAUGGUAUUAGUCUCUGAAGGCAAUGUAUCAAAUCUGGAGAUACAACCCACCCUGAUGGAACAAAUUAAGAAGGCCCAGCAAGGACAUCCCAGCAUCGAAGGAAUAAAGAGAAAAAUGAACCUUGGCAAGGCUUCAGAGUUCGUCACAGACAAUGAAGGAAUAUUAUGGUACGGGGACAGACUUUGCGUACCAAACAUUGAGGAACUCAAGCAACAAAUCCUAACCGAAAGCCAUACCGCUCCAUACUCGAUCCACCCUGGAGGAACCAAAAUGUACAAAGACCUUCAGGAAAGAUUUUGGUGGCACGGUAUGAAAAGGGAUAUAGCCGCAUUUAUUGCUUGUUGCGAUUCAUGUCAGCGCAUUAAAGCCGAGCAUCAAAAGCCAGCAGGGCUACUCCAGCCAAACAGGAUAGCUGAGUGGAAAUGGGAUGAAAUUGGUAUGGACUUCAUCGUCGGACUACCCCGGUCGCAACGCGGAAAUGAUGCCAUAUGGGUCAUCACAGAUAGGCUAACCAAGGUAGCACAUUUCAUCCCCGUGAAGACAACCUACUCCACCCAAAGGCUAGCCAAGCUUUAUCUCUCCCGUAUAGUUUGUCUGCAUGGAGUCCCAAAGACUAUAAUAUCCGACCGAGGCACUCAAUUUGUCUCUAAAUUUUGGGAUCACCUACAACAAGCUCUGGGCACGCAACUAGCAUUCAGUACCGCGUACCACCCUCAGACGGAUGGACAAACGGAACGCGUGAACCAAAUCCUAGAGGACAUGCUGAGAGCCUGUGUGCUCACCUAUGGAUCCAGUUGGGAAGAAAGUUUGCCGUAUGCCGAGUUUGCUUACAACAACAGUUACCAAGCCAGUCUGCAAAUGGCACCUUUUGAAGCACUGUACGGACAGAGAUGUCGUACCCCACUAAAUUGGUCAGAAACAGGUGACAGUCGUAUCUUCGGCCCAGACAUGCUCAAGGAGGCCGAGGAGAAAGUUAAACAGAUCAGGGACAGACUUAAGACAGCUCAGAGCCGACAAAAGAGCUAUUACGAUAAAAAACACCGUGAAGUCAGCUUCAAACCCGGUGAUUUCGUAUACCUACGAGUGUCUCCUAUGAGGGGCCUGCAACGGUUCAAAAUUAAGGGGAAGCUAGCCCCGAUAUUUAUUGGACCCUUCUGUAUAGUUGCACGAAGAGGCACAGUAGCCUACCAGCUAGAACUACCCAAGGAACUGUCAGACGUCCAUGACGUGUUCCACGUCUCCCAAUUGAGGAAAUGUGUGAACAGCCCAGAAAAGUAGGUAUCUCAAGAAAGCAUUCAUGUGCAACCAGACCUCACCUACAGAGAACGACCAGUGAAGAUAUUGGAAGAGUCUGAAAGGAGGACCCGUCAGAAAACGAUAAAAAUUUUCAAGGUCCAGUGGAGCAAUCACACCGAGGAUGAGGCUACAUGGGAAAGAGAAGAUUUUCUCCUGGCAGAGUGCCCACAUCUAUUUGAGGAUCAGCAGAAAUCUCGAGGACGAGAUUUUUCCUCAGGGGGUAGGUGUUGUGACACCCAAAAAAUUUAUUUUGGUUUUAUCAAAAUCUUUUAUUUGAUUUGAGGGAGGUGAUAAAAAAAAUUCUAAAGAACUCUCCCUCUCAAAAUAUUUUCUUUUAUGACAAGUGUUUUGUUUGGAGUCACCCAAAACUUGAUUUUGGUCUUGGAGGUUUUCCAUUCUCAUGUUGACUCAAAUGAUUUUUAUUUGAAAAUAUUCUUUUUGGAAAUCUUUAAAAUAGCCUAUGGCUUUUGAAGUGAUCUUCUCCCCUUUCAAAAAUCCCUCUUGCCAUGACCCAAGUGGAAAUCCUCUCCCAUAAGCCUUUCCUCAUCUUUGGAACAUCAUAUGUUUCAAAUCCAGCAAGUUGAACCUCUCCAUAUACUUGUUUCCAUUUAUUUCUCAUCAAAAAUAAUUUCUGCCUUCUACUUUGAUCCUUGGAGGUUUUCAAAGGAGCUACCAAUUCUACUUUGAGUUUUGCCUUCAAACCAAUUUCCCUAGCUAGUCCUUUGAACCCUCAACCAGGAUCCAUGAAGAUCCACUGGUCUCCAGUUCAAAUAUUUCAAACUAUUCUUGCUGCAAGUUUGGACCAGAUUUGCCAAAUUUGAUGAAAUUCAUUUAAAUUCUUCUCCUAAAAAUCUGAGAAAAUUCAGGUAGCCUCUGGGUGCAUUGAGAGGUCACCUCACCAAGUCCCAGCUCCAGAAAUUUUUUCUCCUUGCCAAAUCAUUUCAUAGAACACCUGCUGGACACUGUUGCUGUCAUGUUCAGUUAACUCAGAGAACAGUUUCAGAGAACACUGUCGUUUUCUUCAGAACAUCUCCUCGAUCUCGCCAGUAACCGCGUUGGCGCCUUGCUCCCUGUCCCCUCCUUCUUGUUCCUGCGCCGCACGAUCGCCUGGAAGCUUGCGGGUGUCGGCGACGAGCUGGAGGAGGUGCGCCACCCCGUGAGCGACGGCAGCGGCGGCUUUGCGGCCGCCAGAGAGGGGCGCAACUUAGACGGCGCCGUCCAACGCCGCCCAAGCCACCGGAGGCCGCCGCGUGGCCCUCCACUCCCCCGUGCGUGCUGUCACCCUCGUCGUGAACUGCUGGGCGCGGAGCGCGCUCUCUGCCGCCGUCGUGCCCGUACGGCCGCCCCGUCGAGGACCGGCGCCAUUACGCCAUACCCGACCAAGGUUAGCAGUGGAACGGCACCAGUGAGCCUCCCUGAUGCUGCCUGACCACUUAAACUCCCUGCUCAACCACUGCCUCGCCGUAAUCGCUCGCGGGAGAUUUCCCGUUCACGGCCACCCCCCCGGAUCGCCUAUAAAUAGAGGCCCCGAGCUCGAACUCGAACCCACACCACCUCUGCACUCCACCAAGACCACGCCAAGCCACUGGAAGAGCUUCGAGGGAGCCUUCUUCCCCAACUCCGGCCGCCUCGACCCGCCACGGGAGCCAGCUUGAUUCGCUCCCGUGCGUGCACCUCUACCUCUCCGCUCUUGCCAGUAGCUUCCAUAUGCAUCCACUCUGCUGACCCGCGCUUCAAUUUGGAGUUUGCAGCACCCACCGGAGUUCUCCACCAUCGCCCAAACCACCGUCCGCCGGAGGAAGUGUCGCCGUCGACGUGGUGCUCUCCGUCGGUCAAGUCCACCACCCACCGACGCGGAAGGACGCAUUGAACCUCUUGGUACACUCCGAUCUCCCUGCCUCGCCGUGGUUCGACGCCGGCGGCCACCGCAGUCUUCGGGCGCCGGCGAACUUUUUAAACCUGACAUGUGGACCCCCCCCCCGUCAGCCUCUCUUCCUUCUCCCCCUCGAAACGUUUUCUGUUGGCGCCUUCAGGCAAGUACGUUUUCUCUUUGGGGCUGGCGCAUUUCUUUCCGAAGUGUUUUCUGUUUUCUCAGCUAAGUCCCUGGAUCUUUUCUGUUUCAUCAUAGAUUAGUCCCUGGACUAAAACCCUUAUAACUUUUUAAUAAAAGAUGAUUUUUGAGUGAUUCUUUUUCUGUCAGUCUUGUAUUUUUGUCUAGUUUUUUAUAGUAUUUAUUUGGAAUUUUUUGGAACAUUUUUUAUGCACGCGUUGAUUUUCACGUUAGUAUACGUUCUCGCUAUACCGUAGGUUCCGGAGGAGGUGACGGAGCCGCGAACUUCGCCGAACUAGACUCCGACUUCUCCGAACCAGGCAAGCAUGUUUGAACCUUUGAUAUGAUAGGUGUCAUGUUUGCUUGAAUGGUUGUGCAUGGCAUAUGAGCAUCGGUGAGUAUCUCGUUGCAUGUAAGGAAACUAUCUGUGUGUUCCGAGGUUACUGUGAUCUCUGAUGAGAGAUGGCCUAGUCAUGUGGUGACAUGAAAGGCAGUAAGGUGGUAUUGUUGUAGCAUGCCAGCCUUACGACCUCCGUGAAACUCCGACGUUAACGUGGACUGAGUCACGUUAUCGUUCUUCCCCUUCCGUGCUGCCACAUGUUUUCUGCAAAGGAUACGGUUUAGUAAGUUGGUAACCUCUUUCCGAGUACACACCAAAUAGAGGGGCCGGGAUGAGGGUUCCAUGGCUCAACCUUGUAUUAUAUUCAGUACUCCUGGUAUUUUUCUUCUGUGAUCAAGAUAUUGUCUACCUGUGAGAAGGAGUUCUUUUCUACGGGUCCGUAAAAGGGAUCAGUUUCGCAAUAAAUAUUUUUAUUGAAAAACCGGUCGUGACACUUCUCAAGUACUUAAGGAUAUUCUUAACCGCUGUCCAGUGACUCUCCCCUGGAUCAGCCUGGUAUCUGCCCACCACGCUAAGAGCAAAACUAACAUCGGGACGAGUACAUACCAUAGCAUACAUGAUGGACCCAACAGCCGAAGCAUACGGAAUCCCAUCCAUGCGUCUUCGCUCAUCAGGAGUCGUAGGACUCUGAGUCUUGCUAAGACUAAUGUCAUGUGACAUGGGCAAGAAACCUUUCUUGGCAUCUUGCAUGUUGAGCCGCUUCAACACCUUGUCAAUAUACGCACUCUGGCUUAAUCCAAUAAGCCUUCUGGAUCUAUCUCUAUAGAUCUUGAUUCCCAAAAUGUAAGCUGCUUCUCCCAAGUCCUUGAUAGAAAAACUAUUUUUCAAUGAGUCCUUGACAGAUUCAAGCAUUUGAACAUCAUUUCCAAUCAAUAAUAUGUCAUCCACAUAUAAGAUCAGAAAUGCAACUGAGCUCCCACUGACCUUCUUGAAUACACAAUGAUCACAGUCAUUCUUGAUGAAGCCAAACUCUUUGACAGCUUCAUUAAAACGAAUGUUCCAAUUCCGAGAUGCUUGCCUUAAUCCAUAAAUGGAUCUCUGAAGCUUGCAUACCAUGCUAGACUUCUUUGGAUCGACAAAACCCUCGGGUUGUGUCAUAUACACAUCCUCGGUUAAAUUUCCAUUAAGGAAAGCUGUUUUGACAUCCAUCUGCCAUAUCUCAUAGUCGAAAUAUGGUGCUAUAGCAAGAAUGAUCCGAAUUGAUUUAGGCAUCGCUACCGGUGAGUAAGUCUCAUCGUAGUCAACUCCUUGAACUUGUCGAUAACCUUUAGCAACAAGUCGAGCCUUAUGGACUGUGACAUUUCCGUCCAUAUCAGUUUUCUUCUUAAAGAUCCACUUGCACUCAAUGGCUCGAACGCCAUCUGGCAGAUCAACCAAGUUCCAAACUUGAUUGUCAUCCAUGGACUUUAAUUCGGAUCUCAUGGCCUCAAGCCAUAACUCGGAAUCAGGGCUCUCCAUCGCUUUCGCAUACGUAGUCGGCUCGUUGUUCUCCAAGAACAACACAUUGCAGUCAUGCAAAUUGCGUAACCUUUCCGACCUCCGUGGAACCGGUGUCGACUCCACUACGGGUUCCCUGACUAACUCCGGUGUGACAGUAUCACCUACCGGAACGUCCCCGUGUGGUUCUCGAAUUUCUUCUAGUCGGACCGUCCUCCCACUAGCCUUCCGAUUGAGAAACUCUUUCUCAAGGAAAACUCCAUGUCGAGCGACAAACACUUUGCCCUCUUCACGGUUGUAGAAGUAAUAUCCCAAGGUUUCCCUUGGAUAUCCCACGGAUAUGCACUUGUCCGAUUUGGGUGUGAGCUUAUCCGACUGGAGUCGCUUGACAUAUGCUUCACAUCCCCAAAUUUUCAGAAAAGACAAACUGUGACUCUUCGCAGUCCAUAUCUCAUAUGGUGUCUUAUCUACGGACUUAGAUGGUACCCUGUUUAGUGUGAAAGCUGCAGUUUCUAGAGCGUAUCCCCAAAAUGACAAGGGUAAAUCUGACUGACUCAUCAUCGAUCGGACCAUGUCCAACAGGGUCCGAUUCCUCUAUUUUGACACACCAUUUCUCUGUGGCGUACCCGGAGGAGUCAGUUGUGGAACUAUUCCAUGAUUCUUCAGAUGAUCAUCAAACUCCUGGCUCAUAUACUCACCGCCACGAUCAGAUCGUAGAAGUUUGAUUUUCUUGCCGAGUUGAUUUUCCACUUCGUUCUGAAACUCCUUGAACUUUUCAAAAGUUUCUGACUUGUGCCUCAUCAAGUAGACAUAUCCAUAUCUACUCAAGCCGUCGGUGAAAGUCACGAAGUAUUGGAAACCACCUCUGGCUGGCGUGCUCAUUGGUCCACAUACAUCACUAUGUAUAAGUUCCAACAACUCGGACGCCCUCUCGCAACUCUUUGCAAAAGGAGUCUUAGUCAUCUUACCGAGUAGGCAAGACUCGCAUGUCUCGAAUGAUUCAAACUCAAACGAAGUUAGAAUUCCAUCAUCAUGGAGCUUCUUCAUGCGCUUUUGACUAAUGUGUCCUAGUCGACAAUGCCAGAUGUAAGUCGGAUUUAUCUCAUUAGGCUUAUGCCUCCUGACAUUUAUGUUAUAGACUGAUUCACCUUCAAGAUCUAGGAUAAAUAACCCAUUUACAACGGGUGCAAAGCCAUGAAACAUAUUAUUCAAGUAAAUAGAACAACCAUUGUCCUUAAUACUGAAUUCAUAACCUUGUCUCAUCAAACAUGAGGCAGAAAUAAUGUUUCGACUCAAAGCAGGAACAUAAUAACAAUUAUCAAGUUCCAUUACAAAUCCUGAAGGUAAAUUAAGUUGCAUAGUGCCGACGGCCAAUGCAGCACCUCUUGCUUUAUUCCCGACGCGAAUGUCAACUUCUCCUCUUGCGACAUUCCUAGUUCUGCUUAGCCCCUACAUCGAGUUGCAUAUGUGAACAACCGAUCCGGUAUCAUAUACCCAAGAGCUACUAGAAACAUCAGCAAGAUAAAUGUCUAUAACAUAUACAACAAGUGUACCUGAAGAAGAAGUCAUACUUCCAGUCUUCUUGCCCUUCUCGGCAAGCCACUUGCUACAGUUCCUUUUCCAGUGCCCGGGUUCCUUGCAAUGAAAGCAAAUACUCCCCGAAGCCGUCCCUGACUUAGGCGCAACGGCUGUAGUUGGAGUUGCCUCCUUCUCUUUGCCCUUUGCCUUAGCCUUUUUCUUGGACCAGCUCUUCUUGAACUUAGCCGAGUUCUACACCAUCAACACUUGACGAUGUGUACCUUUCUUGAUAUCCUGCUCUGCCACUUUGAGCAUCCCAUGCAAUUCAGUGAGCUUCUUUUCCAUCCCAUGCAUAUGGUAGUUCGAGAUGAACGGCCCAUAGCUGUCCGAAAGAGAACCCAGAAUUGUAUCUGUGGACAACUCAUCCCCAAGUGGGAAGCCCAGCCUAUCCAGAGCUUGCAUGUACCCGAUCAUCUUGAUCACAUGCGGGCUCAGUGGAUCAUCCUCUUUCAGCUUACAAUCCAUCAAGGAUCGCCAGAUGUUGAACCUUUCGGUCCUAGCCUGCAUUUAAAACAUGCUCUUAAGGUUCUCGAUCAUAUCGAAAGCCUCAAUAUUUUCGAACUACUGCUGCAAAUCGGGCUCCAUAGAAGCCAGCAUGAGACAGCUGGUCUCGUUUGAUUCAUCAACGAGUUUCUGGUAGGCAUUUCUGGCUGUGGCAUUAGCAUUAUCGGCAGGUUCCUCUGGAAGCGGAUUCUCUAGAACUUGUUCCUUUUUCUCAUGCCUAAGAACAAUUCUCAGGUUUCUAUACCAGGUGGUAAAGUUUGUUCCAUUCAAUUAAUCUUUUUCCAGGAUUGAUUUCAACGCAAAAGGGGUAACUUGAGCAGGUGGUGCCAUUGAUCUACAACAGAAAUAUGCAAAACACUAAGACAUGUAUUCAUGAAGAGUAAUUCAUAUUAAACAUUUUAAUAAGAUCAUUACUCCCACUAAAAUCAACAUCCCUCGGUUGAUACUUAGUGAUUCAAGAUCCAAGAUCAACAUGUCAACUAGUGAGCUUUUGCAUCACCGCUAGAGGACAAGAUCACUCGGUAAGCAACUCUUGCUAAUCAUAUCUCCAUACGACUCUUGUUGUUGGGGACAUCUCAUGCCUCGCCAACUCCUAUGCCUCGUAGCCCAAAACUAUUUUGAUAGCCACGACAAUGUUGGGGAUCGUAGCAGAAUUUUAAAAUUUCCAACGCAUCACCAAGAUCCAUCUAUGGAGUAUACUAGCAAUGAGGGGAAAGGAGUGCAUCUACAUACCCUUGUAGAUCGCGAGCGGAAGCGUUCCAAUGAACGGGGUUGAUGGAGUCGUACUCGCCGUGAUCCAAAUCACCGAUGACCGAGUGCCGAACGGACGGCACCUCCGCGUUCAACACACGUACGGAGCAGCGACGUCUCCUCCUUCUUGAUCCAGCAAGGGGGAAGGAGAGGUUGAUGGAGAUCCAGCAGCACGACGGCGUGGUGGUGGAAGUAGCGGGAUCCCGGCAGGGCUUCGCCAAGCGCAAGCGGGAGGGAGAGGGAGGCGCCAAGGGCUAGGGUACAGCAGCCCUCCCCCCCCUAUAUAUAGGCCCCCUGGGGGGCGCCGGCCCUGGAACCCAUCUACAAGGGGGGCGGCGGCCAGGGGGGAAACUUCCCCCCCCAAGUCAAGUGGGGCGCCCCCACCCCCAGGGUUUCCAACCCUAGGCGCAGGGGGAGGCCCAUGGGGGGCGGCCCAGCCCACUAAGGGCUGGUUCCCUUCCCACUUCAGCCCAUGGGGCCCUCCGGGAUAGGUGGACCCACCCGGUGGACCCCCGGGACCCUUUCGGUGGUCCCGGUACAAUACCGAUAACCCCCGAAACUUUCCCGGUGGCCGAAACUGGACUUCCUAUAUAUAAUUCUUCACCUCCGAACCAUUCCGGAACUCCUCGUGACGUCCGGGAUCUCAUCCGGGACUCUGAAGAACUUUCGGGUUUCCGCAUACUAAUAUCUCUACAACCCUAGCGUCACCGAACCUUAAGUGUGUAGACCCUACGGGUUCGGGAGACAUGCAGACAUGACCGAGACGCCUCUCCGGUCAAUAACCAACAGCGGGAUCUGGAUACCCAUGUUGGCUCCCACAUGUUCCACGAUGAUCUCAUCGAAUGAACCACGAUGUCGAGGAUUCAAUCAAUCCCGUAUACAAUUCCCUUUGUCAAUCGGUAUGUUACUUGCCCGAGAUUCGAUCGUCGGUAUCCCAAUACCUUGUUCAAUCUCGUUACCGGCAAGUCACUUUACUUGUACCGUAAUGCAUGAUCCCGUGGCUAACUCCUUAGUCACAUUGAGCUCAUUAUGAUGAUGCAUUACUGAGUGGGCCCAGAGAUACCUCUCCGUCAUACGGAGUGACAAAUCCCAGUCUCGAUCCGUGCCAACUCAACAGACACUUUCGAAGAUACCCGUAGUGUACCUUUAUAGUCACCCAGUUACGUUGUGACGUUGGGUACACCCAAAGCACUCCUACGGUAUCCGGGAGUUGCACGAUCUCAUGGUCUAAGGAAAUGAUACUUGACAUUGGAAAAGCUCUAGCAAACGAACUACACGAUCUUUUAUGCUAUGCUUAGGAUUGGGUAUUGUCCAUCACAUCAUUCUCCUAAUGAUGUGAUCCCGUUAUCAAUGACAUCCAAUGUCCAUAGUCAGGAAACUAUGACUAUCUGUUGAUCAACGAGCUAGUCAACUAGAGGCUCACUAGGGACACGUUGUGGUCUAUAUAUUCACACAUGUAUUACGAUUUCCGGAUAACACAAUUAUAGCAUGAACAAUAGACAAUUAUCAUGAACAAAGAAAUAUAAUAAUAACCAUUUAUUAUUGCCUCUAGGGCAUAUUUCCAACAGACAAGUCAACCAAUGCUCCGCGUGUAAGUGUCCGACACAAACCCAUCACUUCAAGGAGAUCUAGUGGCACCCUAAUUUCAUAGGCCCACCACUAAAUAUACUUGAUAUGUGAAGGUGCAGCAAUUGGGGAGGCAUUUGUACUUGACAUUCUUUGAGGGAUCACCCUACUUAAAACAUCUACCAUGCAAAAGGAAGGGUGCAUAAAAGGGAUAAACUUUCACAGGCAGUUUAUGUAUGUGUGAUAUGGUAUAGCCCCUUUUCACAGCGCGUGGUGAUCUCCAUCUCCACGUGCGCAGUCUGCCCAUGCAUGGUUGUCCUCGUGGUGAUCUCCAUCUCCACGCCAUGGUGUCAACCGCCAAGUGUUACAUAAGAUACUAUGCUAUUAAAAACUAAAAGCUACUGAAAGUAAAUUACAUUACAUGGCUUCUCAUGUUGACACGCAGGUCAUUAAUACAAUAAUGGGACAACCAUAUGGCUCUUGCCGGUUGCCGCACUCAUGACACGCAGGUCAUGAAACAAUAAUAUACAAGCAACAUACAUGGGCUAUACCAAAUCACAGUCAUUCCCUGCAAAAACGAGUAAGACGUUCUACCGCCGAAGAUAAAACCUCCUGAAACUCUAUCUUCCAAGCGGAUUUUGGCCUAGCGAGAAGCACCGAAAUCCUAUUCCAGAAUUUCGCCGCUAAACCAACUUUUCGUUAGCUUCAAUUUGACAGGUCGUGGAGCAAAAUCGGAGUUCGUAUGCAAAAGUUACAGCCGUUUUACCGAGACCGCUCCAACAGAUUUCAGCACCGCGGAAAUCACAUUUCCAAGGUGUUGAUCUAUGUUCCGAUUCGAUCAGUCUCAUUGAUCUUCGCGUGCUGCAUCCGGAUUAUGUUCCACUAUCUAUCCCGAUGGUGGACAACCGACCGGUAGGGGUAAGUCGUGUCACGACCUCUGCAUCACGAUCACGGAAACAAGAUCACGAAACCAACCUUCAACACUGACAUGCGCGACCGAUCUCAUCGACCCGCACCUGAACCGAUCUACAUAUCUCAUAUGCAUAUCAUCGAAUCUAUUAUCACACAGCGGAGGUUCUGAUACCACUGUUGGAAUACGCGGUACGCGACGCUAGCGCCAAAUAAAAUUUUCUACCGCGCACCCAAGAUCAUGCUGCUGGAAAUAGAUCACGGGAUCGGGUUUACCACUAGACGCGCAGUCACCACAGCGGAAGUAGAGUUGGUGAUGCGUGUAGCCGAUCUCCCGGGCCGUCUCCUCCUCGCGUUGCCGAUCUCCCGCGAACAGCGAAGACCCGUGAACGGUGAUCUCCCGCGAACGGCACCUUGCGGUUCCCUCGAACGGUUCGUCCAAGCACCGCAGAUGCGAUGCCUCCAAGGUAUCCACACGUACGGGGAGCAGCGUCGAGCGGCGGACUGCUAGGUCCGGUCGCGCGGCAUGGGCAUGGGGAGUGGCGGUGGCUAACCAGAGUUCAAUCCGAUCAACCCUAAGUGGUGUGCCCACUCCCCUUUAUAUAGACCUCCGAGGUGGGCUCAACACUUGAGCCCACUAGGAGUCCACAUCCAUUUUCCACUCAGAUCCAAUCCGAAUGGGCUGCAGCCCCUUAAGUGUGCGACCCUAUUGGUUCACGUACACAUGGACACGGCCAGAGUCGAUAGUUGGUAGCGGCUCCUAGCAGAACGUGCCAACUCCCAUGUGGGCGUAAAGUCGUUUGACGAACCUCAACAAUGUGCAUAUGCAACAUUCCUUUUGCCUCACGAUAUUUGUUGUCGAGCUCAAGGCGAGUACUUGUCACCCUUGUGUUAGCUCAACCUCUCUUCUCGAAACCAUGAUACAGAUUCCCGAACUGGGUUAACACUUAACCCAAGUCGCAUGGCCAUGCUUUCCGAAUCUGAUCACUCGAGAGGGCCCAGAGAAUAUCUCUCCAAAUAGGAGGGGCAAAUUCCCUCUUGGUCAACCAUGUCUCGCGGCAUGUCUCACGACUCACCUGAAAGCUACCUUUAUAACUACCCAGUUACGGAGUAGCGUUUGAUAGACCCUAAGUGAGUCGAUCCUCAUCCUGAGAACAUGCGAGGACCUCAGGUCUAGGACAUGGCAUAGACAUUGCACUUGAGACUAAUAGAUGACUAUAUCUCGCCGCGUCUCAAAGUGGGUCUGUCCGGCUCGGUGAUCUCCAUCCCCGAGCCCAUACUAUCGGUUUAGCAUCUCCAUGCACAUGACUUGUGAAACAUAGUCAUCAAUCGAGUCGUAUACUAGUCAAGGAUAUGUGUCAUAGUUCCACAAACAAGUCACAUACUUAUUGAUACAUAUCGUUGAUGAUGUUCAAGGACAAUACAAAGGACUCAUGAAUACAUAUGGAAAUAUCAUCAUCACAUGAUUGCCUCUAGGGCAUAUCUCCAACAGCCUGGCGGAUAUCCAUAGUUGUAGUUGGGGUCGUACUAAGAUGCAGCAGUUAUUGCAUCAUGGGCUGCAUCUUGAAGGCGAGCUAUCUCAGCCCUCCUCUUGUACUCUUCCGCCUCCUCUCUGGUUAUAAAAUAUCUCCCUUUUGCCUGAAAGUCAAAGAAAGUAGCAGCAGGGAGAGCAACGUGAUAGGUGCGUCGUCUGUCAAAGAUCAGUCGGUACUGGAGGAACUGAUCGUUUCUCUCAACAAAAUGAUGAUGAACCAUAGCCUCAUAAUCCAAAUAAGCAGGAGACAACUCAAUAUCAUCCUCACGUAUGGUUACACCAAGAAAAUUAGCUAUACGGGUUGCAUAAAUUCCACGAAAGAAAUCUCCAUUAAAUCUAUUAUGAUGCAACCUAUGUGCAACAAUGGCUCCCAAAUUAUAAUGUUUAUCUCCUAACACAGCACUCCUAAGAAUACUGAGGUCAGGGACACACAUGUGACAUGCUUCAUCCUUACCAUUUAUGCACCUACCUAUGAAGAGAGAGAAAUAAUGUAUAGCAGGAAAGUGAAUGCUCCCUAUGGUAGCUUGUGCUAUGUCUCUAGAUUCACCCACAGUUAUACUAGCAAGAAAAUCUCUAAACUCAUAUUUGCGAGGCUCACUAGUACUACCCCAUUGUGGAAGUUUGCAAGCAGUGGUAAAAUCCUCUAAGUCCAUAGUAUAAGAAUUUUCAUAAAGAUCAAACAGGACAGUUUGAGAAUUGCGUGAAGAUGAAAAUUCAAACCUCCUCACAAAGGAACUAGUGAGAUAGUGGUACUGACGACACUUUUCUGCCUCGAAGCUCACAAGAUCAGCGUUACGCAAAUAUGCGUUAAAUUCUUCCUUAAUUCCAGCUUGAUCCAUGAAGUCCUCUGAAGGCCAUUCACAAGGCCGCACUGGAGCGUCCCUUGGUGGUUCAUCAUCAGCAUCACGCAUUGCAAGCCUGGGUCCUUGCUUCCUUGAAGGACCACCUUGGUACAUUUUCCUAAACAUAUUUCUUCCUCUGCAAAAUUUCUGAAAUUUUUAGUAACUUCAAAUAAAAGUGAACCAAGCUCAACAAAAUUGAUAGCAACUACUCCUACAAGUGUCUAGAGCCUAUAUCAUGCAUUAGAACUACUUGGAACCAUAUAAAUUUGACAUGCAAGCUCAAGAACAUGGUCACCUAGGCAGCACAAAUUUGCAAUGAAUAAAGCACUAGAACAAAAACUAAUUGGACCAAUGGAGGAGUCACAUACCAAGGAACAAUCCCCCAAAGCAGUUUUGUGAGAGGUGCUUUGAGCAAGGAGAUCGAAAAUCGCAGCAAAAUGAGCUAGAACUCGUGCUUGAGCUGGUUGGUGAUUUUUUUUUUGGGAGGAAGAAGGAGUGUGUGGGUGCAGGAAUAAGUGGAGGGGAGCCACCAUGGGCCCACGAGGCAGGGGGUGGGCGCUCCCUGGACCAUCGUGGCCAGGUGCCAGCUCCCCCUGUUGUGUUCUCAGUGCCAGAUAUUCUCAAAUAUUCCAGAAAAAAUCAUAUUAAAUUGGCAGGUCAUUUGGAGAACUUUUAUUUUCGAGGUAUUUUUAUAUUGCACGGAUAAUUCAGGAAACUGACAAAAAAUACUAUUUUUGCUUUAUUUAUUCUAAAUAACAGAAAGUAGAAGGAUGGUACAGAAGGUUGUGCUUUCUAACUUCAUCCAUCUCAUGCUCAUCAAAAGGAAUCCACUAACAAGGUUGAUCAGGUCUUGUUAACAAACUCAUUCCGAAUCGCAUGAAACCGGAGAGAUUUCGAAUAACACUAUGUUACCUCAGUGGGGAUAUGCACGUCCCCAAUAAUAAGAAUAUCAUAUUUCUUCUUGAUAGUAGGAAGAGGAAAUUCAAAACCUCCAAAAAUAAUCGAUGGAAUUUUUCCAAUAGAAUUGAUAAUGUGGACCUGAGGUUGUUUCCUCGGAAAGUGUACCGUAUGCUCAUUACCAUUAACAUAAAAAGUGACAUUGCCUUUGUUGCAAUCAAUAACAGCCCCUACAGUAUUCAAAAAGGGUCUUCCAAGAAUAAUAGACAUACUAUCGUCCUCAGGAAUAUCAAGAAUAACAAAGUCCAUUAAAAUAGUAACGUUUGCAACCACAACAGGCACAUCCUCACAAAUACCGACAGGUAUAGCAGUUGAUUUAUCAACCAUUUGGAAAGAUAUUUUAGUAGGUGUCAACUUAUUCAAAUCAAGUCUACGAUAUAAAGAGAGAGGCAUAACACUAACACCGGCUCCAAGAUCACAUAAAGCGGUUCUAACAUAGUUUCUUUUAAUGGAGCAUGGUAUAGUUGGUACUCCUGGAUCUCCAAGUUUCUUAGGUAUUCCACCUUUAAAAGUAUAAUUAGCAAGCAUGGUGGAAAUUUCAGCUUCCGACAUCUUUCUUUUAUUAGUGACAAUUUCUUUCAUAUACUUAGCACAAGGAUUCAUUUUGAGCAUAUCAGUCAAAAGCAUACGCAAGAAGAUAGGUCUAAUCAUUUCAGCAAAGCUCUCAAAAUUCUCAUCAUCCUUUUUCUUGGAUGGUUUGGGAAGAAAAGGCAUGGGUUUCUGAACCCAUGGUUCUCUUUCUUUACCGUGCUUCCUAGCAACAAAGUCUCUCUUAUCAUAACGUUGAUUCUUUAAUUGUGGGUUAUCAAGAUCAACAACAGGUUCAAUUUCUACAUCAUUAUCAUUGCUAGGUUGAGCAUCAACAUGAACAUCAUCAUUAACAUUGUCACUAGGUUCAUGUUCAUUACCAGAUUGUGUUUCAGCAUCAGAAAUAGAAAUAUCAUCAGGAUUCUCAGGUGGUUCAGCAAUAGGUUCACUAGAAGCAUGCAAAGUCCUAUCAUUUUUCUUUUUCUUCUUUUCAGAGGGACUAGGUGCAUCUAUAUUAUUUCUCUGAGAAUCUUGCUCAAUUCUCUUAGGAUGGCCUUCAGGAUACAAAGGUUCCUGAGUCAUUUUACCAGUUCUAGUAGCCACUCUAACAACAUAAUCAUAAUUCUUACUAUUUAAUUCAUUGAGCAAAUCAUUUUGAGCCUUAAGUACUUGUUCUACUUGAGUGGUGACCAUAGAAGCAUGUUUGCUAAUGAGUUUAAGUUCACAUUUAACUCUAGACAUAUAAUCACCCAAGUGUUCAAUCAUAUAAGCAUUUUGUUUUAAUUGUCUACCAAAAUAAGCAUUAAAAUCUUCUUGCUUAACCAUAAAGUUAUCAAACUCAUCCAAGCAUCGGCUAGCGAACUUAGUAGGAGGGAUUUCAGCUUUAUCAUAUCUAUAGAGAGAAUUUACCUUUACUACCUGUGUCGGGUUAUCAAGACCAUGAGUUUCUUCAAUAGGUAAUGGAUUAAGAUCAUAUAUUUCUUCAACAGGCCGUAAAUCAAGACCAUGUAUUUCUUCAAUAGGAGGUAAAUUAUUAACAUCUUCAGCUUUAAUACCCUUUUCUUUCAUAGAUUUCUUUGCCUCUUGCAUAUCUUCAUGACUGAGAAAUAGAACACCCCUUUUCUUCGGAGUUGGCUUAGGAAUAGGCUCAGGAGUUGGCUCAGGAAGUGUCCAAUUAUUUUCAUUGGUCAACAUAUUAUUCAAUAGAAUUUCAGCUUCAUCCGAUGUUCUUUCCCUGAAAACAGAACCAGCACAACUAUCCAGGUGGUCUCUGGAAGCAUCGGUUAGUCCAUUAUAAAAGAUAUCAAGUAUUUCAUUUUUCUUGAGAGGAUGAUCAGGCAAAGCAUUAAGUAAUUGGAGAAGCCUCCCCCAAGCUUGGGGGAGACUCUCUUCUUCAAUUUGCACAAAAUUGUAUAUAUCCUUAAAGCAGCUUGUUUCUUAUGAGUAGGGAAAUAUUUAGCAGAGAAGUCAUAAAUCAUAUCCUGGGGACUACACACACAACCAGGAUCAAGAGAAUUAAACCAUAUUUUAGCAUCACCCUUUAAUGAGAACGGAAAUAUUUUAAGGAUAUAAAAGUAGCGGGUUCUCUCAUCAUUAGUGAACAGGGUGUCUAUAUCAUUUAAUUUAGUAAGAUGUGCCACAACAGUUUCAGAUUCAUAGCCAUAAAAAGGAUCAGAUUCAACCAAAGUGAUUAUAUCAGGGUCAAUGGAGAAUUCAUAAUCCUUAUCAGUAACAAAGAUAGGUGAAGUAGAAUAAGCAGGAUCAUACUUCAUUCUAGCAUCCAGAGUUCUUUGUUUAAGCUUAGCUAAUAAUUUCUUAAGAUCACUUCUAUCAUUGCAAGCAAGAAAGUCUCUAGCAGUUUCUUCAUCCAUAACAUAGCCCUCAGGCACAACAGGUAAUUCAUAUUUAUUAGGAGAUUCUUCAUCACCACUUUCUUCAAUAUUAUCAGUUUCAAUAAUUUCAUUCUCUCUAGCCUUAGCAAGUUGUUCAUCAAGAAAUUUACCAAGUGGCACAGUAGUAUCAAGCAUAGAAGUAGUUUCAUCAUAGGUAUCAUGUAUAGCAGAAGUGGUAUCAUCAAUAACAUGCGACAUAUCAGAAUUAAUAGCAGAAGCAGGUUUAGGUGUCGCAAGCUUACUCAAAACAGAAGGUGAAUCAAGUGCAGAGCUAGAUGGCAGUUCCUUACCUCCCCUCGUAGUUGAGGGCUAAAUUUUUGUUUUCGCGUCUUUCAAGUUCUUCAUAGUGACCAGCAGAUAUAAAUCCCAAGUGACUCAAAGAGUAGAGCUAUGCUCCCCAGCAACGGCGCCAGAAAAUAGUCUUGAUAACCCACAAGUAUAGGGGGUCGCAACAGUUUUCGAGGGUAGAGUAUUCAACCCAAAUUUAUUGAUUCGACACAAGGGGAGCCAACGAAUAUUCUCAAGUAUUAGCAGUUGAGUUGUCAAUUCAACCACACCUGGAUAACUUAGUAUCUGCAGCAAAGUAUUUAGUAGCAAAGUAAUAUGGAAGUAACGGUAACGGUAGCAAAAGCAAUAUUUUUGGGUUUUGUAGUGAUUGUAAUAGUAGCAAUGGAAAAGUAAAUAAGCAAAGAACAAUAUGUGAAAAGCUCGUAGGCAUUGGAUCGGUGAUGGAGAAUUAUGCCGGAUGCGGUUCAUCAUGUAACAAUCAUAACAUAGGGUGACACAGAACUAGCUCCAAUUCAUCAAUGUAAUGUAGGCAUGUAUUCCGAAAAUAGUCAUACGUGCUUAUGGAAAAGAACUUGCAUGACAUCUUUUGUCCUACCCUCCCGUGGCAGCGGGGUCCUAAUGGAAACUAAGGGAUAUUAAGGCCUCCUUUUAAUAGAGUACCGGACCAAAGCAUUAACACAUAGUGAAUACAUGAACUCCUCAAACUAUGGUCAUCACCGGGAGUGGUCCCGAUUAUUGUCACUUCGGGGUUGCCGGAUCAUAACACAUAGUAGGUGACUAUAGACUUGCAAGAUAGGAUCAAGAACACAUAUAUAUUCAUGGAAACAUAAUAGGUUCAGAUCUGAAAUCAUGGCACUCGGGCCCUAGUGACAAGCAUUAAGCAUAGCAAAGUCAUAGCAACAUCAAUCUCAGAACAUAGUGGAUACUAGGGAUCAAACCCUAACAAAACUAACUCGAUUACAUGAUAAAUCUCAUCCAACCCAUCACCGUCCAGCAAGCCUACGAUGGAAUUACUCACGCACGGCGGUGAGCAUCAUGAAAUUGGUGAUGGAGGAUGGUUGAUGAUGACGAUGGCGACGGAUUCCCCUCUCCGUAGCCCCGAACGGACUCCAGAUCAGCCCUCCCGAGAGAGUUUAGGGCUUGGCGGCGGCUCCGUAUCGUAAAACGUGAUGAAUCUUUCUCUCUGAUUUUUUUCUCCCCAAACACGAAUAUAUGGAGUUGGAGUUGAGGUCGGUGGAGCUCCAUGGGGCCCACGAGGCAGGGGGCGCGCCUAGGGGGGCAAGCGCGCCCCCCACCCUCGUGGCAAGGGUGUGGGCCCCCUGGCCUUGAUUCUUUCGCCGAUAUUUUUUAUUAUUUUCAAAAAUAAUCUCUGUGGAGUUUCAGGUCAUUCCGAGAACUUUUGUUUCUGCACAUAAAUAACACCAUGGCAAUUCUGCUGAAAACAGCGUCAGUCCGGGUUAGUUCCAUUCAAAUCAUGCAAGUCAGAGUCCAAAACAAGGGCAAAAGUGUUGGAAAAGUAGAUACGACGGAGACGUAUCAUGUGCCAUUGAGAAUAAUUAACCAUAAUGUUAUCUAGGAGUUUAGUAGCUUCUCCUAAAGUGAUUUCCAUAAAAGUGCCUCCCGCGGCCGAAUCUAAAAGAUUUCUAGAAGCAAAAUUCAAUCCAGCAUAAAAAAUUUGUAUGAUCAUCCAAAAAUUCAAUCCAUGAGUAGGGCAAUUACGUAUCAUUAAUUUCAUCCUCUCCCAAGCUUGUGCAACAUGCUCAUGAUCAAGUUACUUAAAAUUCAUAAUAUCGUUUCUAAGAGAGACGAUCUUAGCGGGAGGAAAAUAAUUAGAGAUAAAAGCAUCUUUGCACUUAUUCCAUGAAUCAAUACUAUUUUUAGGCAAAGAUGAAAACCAAGUUUUAGCACGAUCUCUAAGCGAAAACGGAAAUAGCUUCAAUUUAACAAUAUCAUUAUCCACAUCUUUCUUCUUUUGCAUAUCACACAAAUCAACAAAGUUGUUUAGAUGUGUAGCGGCAUCCUCACUAGGAAGGCCAAAUAAUUGAUCUUUCAUGACAAGAUUCAGCAAAGUAGCAUUAAUUUCACAAGAUUCAGCAUCGGUAAUAGGAGCAAUCGGAGUGCUAAGAAAAUCAUUGUUGUUGGUAUUGGAAAAGUCACACAAUUUAGUAUUGUCUUGAGCCAUCGUGACAAACAAUCCAACACACAAGCACACAAGAAGCAAGCGAAAAGAGGCGAAUGGAAAAAGAGGGCGAAUAAAACAGCAAAGGUGAAGUGGGGGAGAGGAAAAUGAGAGGCAAAUGGCAAAUAAUGUAAUGCGAGGGAUAAGAGUUUGUGAUGGGUACUUGGUAUGUCCUCACUUGUGCGUAGAUCUCCCCGGCAACGGUGCCAAAAAUGGCUAGUUGCUGGGAGAUCAAAUCUUGACUUGACUUGGCGUAAGCCUCCCCGGCAACGGUGCCAGAAAUCCUUCUUGCUACCUCUUGAGCAUGCGUUGGUUUUCCCUUGAAGAGGAAAGGGUGAUGCAGUAAAGUAACGAUUUCCUCAGUUUUUGAGAAUCAAGGUAUCAAUCCAGUAGGAGGUUACACGCAAGUCGCCUUGUACCUACACAAACAAAUAAGAACCUUGCAACCAACGCGAUAAAGGGGUUGUCAAUCCCUUCACGACCACUUGCAAAAGUGAGAUCUGAUAGAGAUAAUAAGAUAAAUAUUUUUGGUAUUUUUAUGAUAUAGAUUGGAAAGUAAAGAUUGCAAAAUAAACGGCGGCAGAAAUAGUAAAUUGAUAAGAAAAUAAUAUGAUGGAAGAUAGACCCGGGGGCCAUAGGUUUCACUAGUGGCUUCUCUCAAGAUAGCAUAAUCUAUGAUGGGUGAACAAAUUACUGUCGAGCAAUUGAUAGAAAAGCGCAUAGUUAUGAGAAUAUCUAGGCAUGAUCAUGUAUAUAGGCAUCACGUCCGCGACAAGUAGACCGAAACGAUUGUGCAUCUACUACUAUUACUCCACACAUCGACCGCUAUCCAGCAUGCAUCUAGAGUAUUAAGUUCAUAAGAACAGAGUAUGCAUCAGGCAAGAUGACAUGAUGUAGAGGGAUAAACUCAAGCAAUAUGAUAUAAACCCAAUCUUUUUAUCCUCGAUGGCAACAAUACAAUACGUGCCUUGAUGCCCCUGCUGUCACUGGGAAAGGACACCGCAAGAUUGAACCCAAAGCUAAGCACUUCUCCCAUUGCAAGAAAGAUCAAUCUAUUAGGCCAAACCAAACUGAUAAUUCGAAGAGACUUGCAAAGAUAUCAAAUCAUAUAUAUAAGAAUUCAGAGAAGAACCAAAUAUUGUUCAUAGAUAAUCUUGAUCAUAAACCCACAAUUCAUCGGAUCUCGACAAACACACCGCAAAAAGAAUUACAUCGAAUAGAUCCCCAAGAGAAUCAAGGAGAACUUUGUAUUGAGAUCAAAGAGAGAGAAGAAGCCAUCUAGCUAAUAACUAUGGACCCGAAGGUCUGUGGUAAACUACUCACACAUCAUCGGAGAGGCUAUGGUGUUGAUGUAGGAGCCCUCCGUGAUCGAUUCCCCCUCCCGCGGAGCGCCGGAAAAGGCCCCAAGAUGGGAUCUCAUGGGUACAGAAGGUUGCGGCGGUGGAAAUAGGGUUUCGUGGUGCCCUCGGAUGUUUUUGGGGUAUAUGAGUAUAUAUACAGGUGAAAGAAGUAGGCCGGUGGAGCCACAAGGGGCCCACGAGGGUGGGGGCACGCCUACCCCCCUGGGCGCACCUCCCUACCUCGUGGCCGCCUCGUUGCUUCCUUGAAAUCCACUCCAAGUCUCCUGGAUUGCGUUUGUUCCAAAAGUAACUCUCCCAAAGGUUUCAUUCCGUUUGGACUCCGUUUGAUAUUCCUUUUCUGGAAACACUAAAAUAGGCAAAAAAACAGCAAUUUGCACUGGGCCUUUGGUUAGUAGGUUAGUCCCAAAAAUAAUAUAAAAGUGCAUAAUAAAGCCCAUUAAACAUCCAAAACAGAUAAUAUAAUAGCAUGGAACAAUAAAAAAUUAUAGAUACGUUGGAGACGUAUCACGUGCGGACCCUACGGGUUCGAGAACUAUGUAGACAUGACCAAGACACCUCUCCGGUCAAUAACAAAUAGCGGAACCUGGAUGCCCAUAUUGGCUCCUACAUAUUCUAUGAAGAUCUUUAUCGGUCGAACCUUAUGACAACAUACGUAAUUCCCUUUGUCCAUCGAUAUGUUACUUGUCCGAGAUUCGAUCGUCGGUAUCUUCAUACCUAGUUCAAUCUCGUUACCGGCAAGUCUCUUUACUUGUUCUGUAAUACAUCAUCCUGCAACUAACUCCUUAGUCACUUUGCUUGCAAGGCUUCUUAUGAUGUGUAUUACCGAGAGGGCCCAGGGAUACCUCUCCGAUACUCGGAGUGAUAAAUCCUAAUCUCGAUCUAUGCCAACUCAACAAACACCUUCGGAGAUACCUGUAGAGCAUAUUUUGAAGGAAAUAUGCCCUAGAGGCAAUAAUAAAGUUAUUAUUUAUUUCCUUAUAUCAUGAUAAAUGUUUAUUAUUCAUGCUAGAAUUGUAUUAACCGGAAACAUAAUACUUGUGUGAAUACAUAGACAAACAUAGUGUCACUAGUAUGCCUCUACUUGACUAGCUCGUUGAUCAAAGAUGGUUAUGUUUCCUAGACAUUGACAUGAGUUGUCAUUUGAUUAACGGGAUCACAUCAUUAGGAGAAUUAUGUGAUUGACUUGACCCAUUCCGUUAGCUUAGCACUCGAUCGUUUAGUAUGUUGCUAUUGCUUUCUUCAUGACUUAUACAUGUUCCUAUGACUAUGAGAUUAUGCAACUCCCAUUUACCGGAGGAACACUUUGUGUGCUACCAAACGUCACGACGUAACUGGGUGAUUAUAAAGGUGCUCUAGAGGUGUCUCCGAAGGUACUUGUUGGGUUGGCGUAUUUCGAGAUUAGGAUUUGUCACUCCGAUUGUCGGAGAGGUAUCUCUGGGCCCACUCGGUAAUGCACAUCACUAUAAGCCUUGCAAGCAUUGCAACUAAUGAGUUAGUUGCGGGAUGAUGUAUUAUGGAAUGAGUAAAGAAACUUGCCGGUAACGAGAUUGAACUAGGUAUUGAGAUACCGACGAUCGAAUCUCGGGCAAGUAACAUACUGAUGACAAAGGGAACAACGUAUGUUGUUAUGCGGUCUGACCGAUAAAGAUCUUCGUAGAAUAUGUGGGAGCCAAUAUGAGCAUCCAGGUUCCGCUAUUGGUUAUUGACCGGAGACAUGUCUCGGUCAUGUCUACAUAGUUCUCGAACUCGUAGGGUCCGCACGCUUAAAGUUUCGAUGACAGUUAUAUUAUGAGUUUAUGAGUUUUGAUGUACCGAAGGUUGUUCGGAGUCCCGGAUGUGAUCACGGACAUGACGAGGAGUCUUGAAAUGGUCGAGACAUGAAGAUUGAUAUAUUGGAAGCCUAUAUUUGGAUAUCGGAAGUGUUCCGGGUGAAAUCAGGAUUUUACCGGAGUACCGAGGGGUUACCGGAACCCCCCGGGGGUUAAUGGGCCAUAGUGGGCUUUAGUGGAGAAGAGGAGAGGCGGCCAGGGCAAGGGCCGCGCGCCCCUCCUCCCUAGUCCGAAUAGGACAAGGAGAGGGCCCCCCCUUCCUUCUUCUCCUCCACUUCUCCCCCCCCUUCUCCUAUUCCAACAAGGAAGGGAGGGAGUCCUACUCCCGGUGUAGAUCAAUAGCUCGCGUUGUUGCUUCCCUGUGUUUAUUUUUGAUGUGUUCCUAGAGAUAAUUAUGUUGAAAGAUGUUAGUAGCAAAGAUGUGGAUUGGAUCCGUGAUCUGAGGAUUAUCCUCAUUGCUGCACAGAAGAAUUAUGUCCUUGAUGCACCGCUAGGUGACAGACCUAUUGCAAGAGCAGAUGCAGACGUUAUGAACGUUUGGCUAGCUCAAUAUGAUGACUACUUGAUAGUUUAGUGCACCAUGCUUAACGGCUUAGAAUCAGGACUUGAAAGACGUUUUGAACGUCAUGGACCAUAUGAGAUGUUCCAGGAGUUGAAGUUAAUAUUUCAAGCAAAUACCCGAGUUGAGAGAUAUGAAGUCUCCAACAAUUUCUAUAGCUAAAAGAUGGAGGAGAAUAGCUCAAGCAGUGAGCAUGUGCUCAGAUUGUCUGGGUACUACAAUCGCUUGAAUCAAGUGGGAGUUAAUCUUCCAGAUAAAAUAGUGAUUGACAGAAUUCUCUAGACACCAUCACCAAGUUAGGAGAACUUCGUGAUGAACUAUAAUAUGCAGGGGAUGAUGAAAGUAAUUCCCAAGCUCUUCGUGAUGCUGAAAAUCGACGAAGGUAGAAAUCAAGAAAAACAUCAAGUGUUGAUGGUUAACAAGACCACUAGUUUCAAGAAAAGGGCAAAGGGAAGAAGGGGAACUUCAAGAAGAACGGCAAGCAAGUUGCUGCUCAAGUGAAGAAGCCCAAGUCUGGACCUAAGCCUGAGACUGAGUGCUCCUACUGCAAAGGGACUGGUCACUGGAAGCGGAACUGCCCCAAUAUUUGGUGGAUAAGAAGGAUGGCAAAGUGAACAAAGCUAUAUUUGAUAUACAUGUUAUUGAUGUGUACUUUACUAGUGUUUAUAGCAACCCCUCGGUAUUUGAUACUGGUUCAGUUGCUAAGAGUAGUAACUCGAAACGGGAGUUGCAGAAUGAACAGAAACUAGUUAAGGGCGAGGUGACGAUGUGUGUUGGAAGUAGUUCCAAGAUUGAUAUGAUCAUCAUCGCACACUCCCUAUACUUUCGGGAUUAGUGUUGAACCUAAAUAAGUGUUAUUUGGUGUUUGCGUUGAGCAUGAAUAUGAUUUGAUCAUGUUUAUUGCAAUACAGUUAUUCAUUUAAGUUAGAGAAUAAUUGUUGUUCUGUUUACAUGAAUAAAACCUUCUAUGGUCACACACCCAACGAAAUGGUUUGUUGGAUCUCGAUCGUAGUGAUACACAUAUUCAUAAUAUUGAAGCCAAAAGAUGCAAAGUUAAUAAUGAUAGUGCAACUUAUGUGUGGCACUGCCGUUUAGGUCAUAUUGGUGUAAAGCGCAUGAAGAAACUCCAUGCUGAUGGAAUUUUGGAAUCACUUGAUGCUUGCGAACCAUGCCUUAUGGGCAAGAUGACUAAAAUUCUGUUCUCCGGAACAAUGGAGCAAGCAACUGGCUUAUUGGAAAUAAUACAUACUGAUGUAUGCAAUCCAAUGAGUGUUGAGGCUCGCGGCGGGUAUCAUUAUUUUCUGACCUUCAUAGAUGAUUUGAGUAGAUAUGGGUAUAUCUACUUGAUGAAACACAAGUCUGAAACAUUUGAAAAGUUCAAAGAAUUUCAGAGUGAAGUGGAGAAUCAUUGUAACAAAAACAAAAGUUUCUACGAUAUGAUCGCAGAGGUAAAAUAUUUGAGUUACGAGUUUGGCCUUCAAUUAAAACAAUGCGGAAUAGUUUCGCAACUCACGCCACCUGGAACACCACAGCAUAAUGGUGUGUCCGAACAUCAUAACCGUACUUUAUUGGAUAUAGUGCAAUCUAUGAUGUUUCUUACCGAUUUACCACUAUAGUUUUGGGGCUAUGCAUUAGAGACAGCUGCAUUCACGUUAAAUAGGGCACCAUCUAAAUCCGUUGAGACGACACCUUAUGAACUGUGGUUUGGCAAGAAACCAAAGUUGUCGUUUCUUAAAGUUUUGGGGUUGCAAUGCUUAUGUGAAAAAGUUUCAUCCUGAUAAGCUCAAACCCAAAUCGGAGAAAUGUGUUUUCAUAGGAUACCCAAAGGAGACAGUUGGGUACACCUUCUAUCAUAGAUCCGAAGGCAAGACAUUCGUUGCUAAGAAUGGAUCCUUUCUAGAGAAGGAGUUUCUCUCGAAAGAAGUGAGUGGGAGGAAAGUAGAACUUGAUGAGGUAACUGUACGUGCUCCCUUAUUGGAAAGUAGUUCAUCACAGAAAUCUGUUCCUGUGACUACUACACCAAUUGGUGAGGAAGCUAAUGAUGAUGAUCAUGUAACUUCAUAUCAAGUUACUACCGAACCUCGUAGGUAAACCAGAGUGAGAUCCGCACCAGAGUGGUACGGUAAUCCUGUUCUGGAGGUCAUGUUACUUGACCAUGACAAACCUACGAACUAUGAGGAAGUGAUGAUGAGCCCAAAUUCCGCAAAAUGGCUUGAGGCCAUGAAAUCUGAGAUGGGAUCCAUGUGUGAGAACAAAGUAUGGACUUUGGUUGACUUGCCCGAUGAUCGGCAAGCCAUAGAAAAUAAAUGGAUCUUCAAGAGGAAGACGGACGCUGAUAGUAGUGUUACUAUCUACAAAACUCGAAUUGUCGCAAAAGGUUUUCGACAAGUUCAAAGUGUUGACUACGAUGGGAGUUUCUCACUCGUAUCUAUGCUUAAGUCUGUCCGAAUCAUGUUAGCAAUUGCGGCAUUUUAUGAAAUCUGGCAAAUGGAUAAACAAAAUUGCAUUCCUUAAUGGAUUUAUUAAAGAAGAGUUGUAUAUGAUGCAACCAGAAGGUUUUGUCAAUCCUAAAGGUUCUAACAAAAUAUGCAAGCUCCAGCGAUCCAUCUAUGGACUGGUGCAAGCAUCUCGGAGUUCGAAUAUACGCUUUGAUAAGUUGAUCAAAGCAUAUAGUUUUAUACAGACUUGCAGUGAAGCCUGUAUUUACAAGAAAGUGAGUGGGAGCACUACAACAUUUCUGAUAAGUAUAUGUGAAUGACAUAUUGUUGAUCGGAAAUAAUGUAGAAUUAUUCUGCAAAGCAUAAAGGAGUGUUUGAAAGGAGUUUUUCAAAGAAAGACCUCGGUGAAGCUGCUUACAUAUUGAGCAUCAAGAUCUAUAGAGAUAGAUCAAAACGCUUGAUAAGUUUUUUCAAUGAGUACAUACCUUGACAAGAUUUUGAAGCAGUUCAAAAUGGAACAGUCAAAGAAGAGUUCUUGCCUGUGUUACAAGGUGAGAAAUUGAGUAAGACUCAAAGCCCGACCACGGCAGAAGAUAGAAAGAGAAUGAAAGUCAUUCCCUAUGCCUCAGCCAUAGGUUCUAUAAAGUAUGCCAUGCUGUGUACCAGAUCUAUUGUAUACCCUACACUGAUUUUGGCAAGGGAGUACAAUAGUGAUCUAGGAGUAGAUCACUGGACAGCGGUCAAAAUUAUCCUUAGUGGAAUAAGGAUAUGUUUCUCGAUUAUGGAGGUGACAAAAAGGUUCGUCGUAAAGGGUUACGUCGAUGCAAGAUUUGACACUGAUCCACAUGACUCUAAGUCUCAAUCUGGAUACAUAUUCAAAGUGAGAGCAAUUAGCAAGAGUAGCUCCGUGCAGAGCAUUGUUGACAUAGAAAUUUGCAAAAUACAUAAGGAUCUGAAUGUGGCAGACCCGUUGACUAAACUUCUCUCACAAACAAAACAUGAUCACCCCUUAGUACUCUUUGAGUGUUAAUCACAUAGCGAUGUGAACUAGAUUAUUGGUUCUAGUAAACCCUUUGGGUGUUGGUCACAUGAUGAUGUGAACUAUUGAUGUUAAAUCACAUGGCGAUGUGAUCUAGAUUAUUGACUCUAGUGCAAGUGGGAGACUGAAGGAAAUAUGCCCUAGAGGAAAUAAUAAAGUUAUUAAUUAUUUCCUUAUAUCAUGAUAAAUGUUUAUUAUUCAUGCUAGAAUUGUAUUAACCGGAAACAUAAUACUUGUGUGAAUACAUAGACAAACAUAGUGUCACUAGUAUGCCUCUACUUGACUAGCUCGUUGAUCAAAGAUGGUUAUGUUUCCUAGCCAUUGACAUGAGUUGUCAUUUGAUUAAUAGGAUCACAUCAUUAGGAGAAUGAUGUGAUUGACUUGACCCAUUCCGUUAGCUUAGCACUCGAUCGUUUAGUAUGUUGCUAUUACUUUCUUCAUGACUUAUACAUGUUCCUAUGACUAUGAGAUUAUGCAACUCCCGUUUACCGGAGGAACACUUUGUGUGCUACCAAACGUCACAAUGUAACUGGGUGAUUAUAAAGGUGCUCUACAGGUGUCUCCGAAGGUACUUGUUGGGUUGGCGUAUUUCGAGAUUAGGAUUUGUCACUCCGAUUGUCGGAGAGGUAUCUUUGGGCCCACUCGGUAAUGCACAUCACUAUAAGCCUUGCAAGCAUUACAACUAAUGAGUUAGUUGCGAGAUGAUGUAUUACGGAACGAGUAAAGAGACUUGCCGGUAACGAGAUUGAACUAGGUAUUGAGAUACCGACGAUCGAAUCUCGGGCAAGUAACAUAUCGAUGACAAAGGGAACAACGUAUGUUGUUAUGCGGUCUGACCGAUAAAGAUCUUCGUAGAAUAUGUGGGAGCCAAUAUGAGCAUCCAGGUUCCGCUAUUGGUUAUUGACCGGAGACAUGUCUCGGUCAUGUCUACAUAGUUCUCGAACUCGUAGGGUCCGCACGCUUAAAGUUUCGAUGACAGUUAUAUUAUGAGUUUAUGAGUUUUGAUGUACCGAAGGUUGUUCGGAGUCCCGGAUGUGAUCACGGACAUGACGAGUAGUCUCCAAAUGGUCGAGACAUGAAGAUUGAUAUAUUGGAAGCCUAUAUUUGGAUAUCGGAAGUGUUACGGGUGAAAUCGGGAUUUUACCGGAGUACCGAGGGGUUAUCGGAACCCCCUGGGGGUUAAUGGGCCAUAGUGGGCUUUAGUGGAGAAGAGGAGAGGCGGCCAGGGCAAGGGCCGCGCGCCCCUCCCCCCUAGUCCGAAUAGGACAAGGAGAGGGGGGCGGCGCCCCCCUUUCCUUCUUCUCCUCCACUUCUUUCCCCCCUUCUCCUAUUCCAACAAGGAAGGGAGGGAGUCCUACUCCCGGUGGGAGUAGGACUCCUCCUGGCGCGCCCCUCCUGGCCGGCCGCACCUCCCCCCUUGCUCCUUUAUACACGGGGGCAGGAGGGCACCCCAAAGACACAACAAUUGAUCGUUUGAUAUUUUAGCCGUGUGCGGUGCCACCUUCCACCAUAGUCCACCUCGAUAAUACUGUAGCGGUGCUUGGGCGAAGCCCUGCGUCGGUAGAACAUCAUCAUCGUCACCACACCAUCGUGCUGACGAAACUCUCCCUCAACACUCGGCUGGAUCGGAGUUCGAGGGCCGUCAUCGGGCUGAAUGUGUGCUGAACUCGGAGGUGCCGUGCGUUCGAUACUUGAUCGGUCGGAUCGUGAAGACGUACGACUACAUCAACCGCGUUGUGCUAACGCUUCCGCUUUCGGUCUACGAGGGUACGUGGACAACACUCUCCCCUCUCGUUGCUAUGCAUCACCAUGAUCUUGCAUGUGCGUAGGAUUUUUUUUGAAAUUACUACGUUCCCCAACAUAUUUAUGAUCACACAGUUACAUUGUGAUGUUUGAUAGCACACAAGGUAUUCCUCUGGUAUCCGGAAGUUGCAUAAUCUCAUAGUCGAAGGAAUAUGUAUUUGACAUCAAGAAAGCAAUAGCAAUAAACUGAACGAUCAAUAUGCUAAGCUAACGGAUGGGUCUUGUCCAUCACAUCAUUCUCCUAAUGAUGUGAUCCCGUUAUUAAAUGACAACACAUGUCUAUGGUUAGAAACAUUAACCAUCUUUGAUCAACGAGCUAGUCUAGUAGAGGCUUACUAGGGACACGGUAUUUGUUUAUCUAUUCACACAUGUAUUUAAGUUUCCGAUCAAUACAAUUCUAGCAUGAACAAUAAACCUUUAUCAUGAAUAAAGAAAUAUAAAAUAACAACUUUAUUAUUACCUCUAGGGCAUAUUUCCUUCAGUAACAACUGCGUGGUUCUUGUAAAGGGACCAAGAUGAGCAUCUUUGGAAAGAACCACAACAUUCACAAUCAUCCAUGAUUCUUGAUAAGUCUCUGCAUGACAGAUACGUUUGGAUGAGGAAAACCCAUUGUCCAAUGGAUUGGGCUCAUAGGGCCAAAUAUGUUGGCCUAUGAUCCAUGCCCAUAACAAACAGAAGAAAACACGAGGUGAACAUCCCAAGGAGAUGACAUAUACUUGGCUGAACCAUAUAUCUAUUGCCCAUCCCUCUCGCUCCCUCACCUACUAAGCGUCUCUUUAUUAGGGUUUCUCCCAUAGUUUUCCCCGUGUCGCCGCCACCCCGCUACCCAGAUCAUCAACGUGGCUGUCGCUGCCAUCCAUAUACUCAUAUGCAUGUAUAUUCCCCUCUUAUGUUCCCCUACUUUAUCUCUUUUUUGGUUUAUUGAGUUCCUCGACUUUUUGACGACUAAUCAGAUAUUCGGGUUGCUUGCUCAUGUCUCAUGAUGGUUUCCUUUUAUUUCCUUGCUAUAGUGAAUCCCUUGUGCCUUGGGCGAUUCCAAACCCGUUUGCUCGUAGAAUUAGGUUAUCCUUUUUUUGCGGUUGUUGUUUGAUGCUCCAACUUCUCCCUGAAAGAAUUGCAAUUUCUUGCAAGGAGUCAAAUGGCAUGAUCUUAUGGUGUUUCCCAUUUCGGGUUCUUUCCAUUUUUGGAUGUUUCCCUCUUUUUUGUUACUUUUGAAAAAUGUAGUAUUAACUUUUUGAUUUUUUGUCCCAACCUUUGGAAUUUGAGAACUUUCUGGAUUUUUUGUAACUUUCAAGUUUCAGCUUUUGGUAUUUUAAAAAUUGAAAUUACAACUUCUGGUAUGAUAAACUUUUUGUAUUUUGAUCCUUUAAAAAACGAACUUUCAGAUAAUCAAACAUGUGAAACCCCCCACCUGUUAUGGUUUCUUUGAAGAAAAACUAGAAAAAACGAAUACCUGUGUGGCUCCAUCCGGAACUAUUUGUGAGCAUGUAGAGCCUCAUCCAUAUUACGCGUGUGGACCCACAUGGAUGGGCCCCUUGCAUACUCAACUCCCUCGGCAAAGUCGGCAUGACUAUACCCAGUGUGUCAGCAUGUUAUCCACGCGCCAAGGAUUCUGUUUGGUAUGUUGUUUCUUAUUUCCAUUCUUUUUCUCCCACUAUUCUCUUCUUGCGUCCUUAAUAUGUUCUAUGCAUGAAAAAUCAUAUGGAUGUAACCACGGUAAACACAUAUGCUUGUAGAUUCACCAACUAUGUUAUAAUUCCCUUUUUGUUUAACCAAUGUACUCCCUCUGAUCCAUAUAACUUGUUGCUGAAAUGGAUGAAUUUAGAACUGAAAUAUGUCCAGAUACAUUCGUUUCAGUGACGAGUAAUAUGGAUUGGAUGAAACUCUAUUUCCCUUAGGAAAAACUACCUUAGCAAGAACUAUGUCGAUACAUAUAAACCGUUUAGCCCUUUAUUUUUGAAUAUAAGAUAAUUAUUUUACGUUGAGAAAUAAUAACUACUUCCUCCAUUCACAAAUAUAAGAUGCUUUAAGUUUUUUUCUUUCUGAAUUGGUUGUAUGUAGACAUGUUUUGGUGUAUUUGUUCAUUCAUUUUAGUUUGAACAUAGUCCAUACUGAAAUAUCUAAAACAUCGUAGUGAAGGGAGAGAUCAUGUUUUUAGACGAAGGAUCUGACUCAGAGGUCACGAGGAGAACAUGCUGCGGACGCAAUGGGCUCUAGGGCCAAACACAUCGGCCUACGAUCCGGGCCAUAGAAAACAUAGGGUUUCGUGGUGCUCUCGGAUGUUUUCGGGGUAUAUGAGUAUAUAUAGGUGAAAGAAGUAGGUCGGUGGAGCCACGAGGGGCCCACGAGGGUGGGGGGCGCGCCUCCCUACCUCGUGGCCGCCUUGUUGUUUCCUUGACGUCCACUCAAAGUCUCCUGGAUUGCGUUGGUUCCAAAAAUAACUCUCCCGAAGGUUUCAUUCCGUUUGGACUCCGUUUGAUAUUACUUUUCUGGAAACACCGAAAUAGGCAAAAAACAGCAAUUUGCACUGGGCCUUUGGUUAGUAGGUUAGUACCAAAAAUAAUAUAAAAGUGCAUAAUAAAGCCCAUUAAACAUCCAAACAGAUAAUAUAAUAGCAUGGAACAAUAAAAAAUUAUAGAUACGUUGGAGACGUAUCACGUGCGGACCCUACGGGUUCGAGAACUAUGUAGACAUGACCAAGACACCUCUCCGGUCAAUAACAAAUAGCGGAACCUGGAUGCCCAUAUUGGCUCCUACAUAUUCUACGAAGAUCUUUAUCGGUCAAACCUUAUGACAACAUACGUAAUUCCCUUUGUCCAUCGAUAUGUUACUUGUCCGAGAUUCGAUCGUCGGUAUCUUCAUACCUAGUUCAAUCUUGUUACCGGCAAGUCUCUUUACUCGUUCUGUAAUACAUCAUCCUGCAACUAACUCCUUAGUCACUUUGCUUGCAAGGCUUCUUAUGAUGUGUAUUACCGAGAGGGCCAGAGAUACCUCUCCGAUACUCGGAUUGAUAAAUCCUAAUCUUGAUCUAUGCCAACUCAACAAACACCUUCGGAGAUACCUGUAGAGCAUAUUUAUGAUCACACAGUUACAUUGUGAUGUUUGAUAGCACACAAGGUAUUCCUCUGGUAUCCGGGAGUUGCAUAAUUUUAUAGUCAAAGGAAUAUGCAUUUGACAUCAAGAAAGCAAUAGCAAUAAACUGAACGAUCAAUAUGCUAAGCUAACGGAUGGGUCUUGUCCAUCACAUCAUUCUCCUAAUGAUGUGAUCCCGUUAUUAAAUGACAACACAUGUCUAUGGUUAGGAAACAUUAACCAUCUUUGAUCAACGAGCUAGUCUAGUAGAGGCUUACUAGGGACACGGUAUUUGUUUAUGUAUUCACACAUGUAUUUAAGUUUCCGAUCAAUACAAUUGUAGCAUGAAUAAUAAACCUUUAUCAUGAAUAAAGAAAUAUAAAAUAACAACUUUAUUAUUGCCUCUAGGGCAUAUUUCCUUCAGUAACAACUGCGUGGUUCUUGUAAAGGGACCAAGAUGAGCAUCUUUGGAAAGAACCACAACAUUCACAAUCAUCCAUGAUUCUUGACAAGUCUCUGCAUGACAGAUACGUUUGGAUGAGGAAAACCCGUUGUCCAAUGGAUUGGGCUCAUAGGGCCAAAUAUGUUGGCCUAUGAUCCAUGCCCAUAACAAACGGAAGAAAACACGAGGUGAACAUCCCAAGGAGAUGACAUAUACUUGGCUGAACCAUAUAUCUAUUGCCCAUCCCUCUUGCUCCCUCACCUACUAAGCGUCGCUUUGUUAGGGUUUCUCCCAUAGUUUUCCCCGUGUCGCCGCCACCCCGCUACCCCAGAUCAUCAACGUGGCUGUCGCUGCCAUCCAUAUACUCAUAUACAUGUAUAUUCCCCUCUUAUGUUCCCCUACUUUAUCUCUUUUUUGGUUUAUUGAGUUCCUCGAUUUUUUGGCGACUAAUCAGAUAUUCGGGUUGCUUGCUCAUGUCUCAUUAUGGUUUCCUUUUAUUUCCUUGCUAUAGUGCAUCCCUUGUGCCUUGGGCGAUUCCAAACCCGUUUGCUCGUAGAAUUAGGUUAUCCCUUUUUUUUGCGGUUGUUGUUUGAUGCUCCAACUUCUCCCUGAAAGAAUUGCAAUUUCUUGCAAGGAGUCAAAUGGCAUGAUCUUAUGGUGUUUCCCAUUUCGGGUUCUUUCCAUUUCUGGAUGUUUCCCUCUUUUUUGUUACUUUUGAAAAAUGUAGUAUUAACUUUUUGAUUUUUUGUCCCAACCUUUGGAAUUUGAGAACUUUCUGGAUUUUUUGUAACUUUCAAGUUUCAACUUUUGGUAUUUUAAAAAUUGAAAUUACAACUUCUGGUAUGAUAAACUUUUUGUAUUUUGAUCCUUUAAAAAACGAACUUUCAGAUAAUCAAACAUGUGAAACCCCCCACUUGUUAUGGUUUUUUUGAAGAAAAACUAGAAAAAACGAAUACCUGUGUGGCUCCAUCCGGAACUAUUUGUGAGCAUGUAGAGCCUCAUCCAUAUUACGCGUGUGGCCCCACAUGGAUGGGCCCCUUGCAUACUCAACUCCCUCGGCAAAGUCGGCAUGACUAUGCCCAGUGUGUCAGCAUGUUAUCCACGCGCCAAGGAUUCUGUUUGGUAUGUUGUUUCUUAUUUCCAUUCCUUUUCUCCCACUAUUCUCUUCUUGCGUCCUUAAUAUGUUCUAUGCAUGAAAAAUCAUAUGGAUGUAACCACGGUAAACACAUAUGCUUGUAGAUUCACCAACUAUGUUAUAAUUCCCUUUUUGUUUAACCAAUGUACUCCCUCUGAUCCAUAUAACUUGUUGCUGAAAUGGAUGAAUUUAGAACUGGAAUAUGUCCAGAUACAUCCGUUUCAAUGACAAGUAAUAUGGAUUGGAUGAAACUCUAUUUCCCUUAGGAAAAACUACCUUAACAAGAACUAUGUCGAUACAUAUAAACAGUUUAGCCCUUAUUUUUAAAUAUAAGAUAAUUCUUUUACGUUGAGAAAUAAUAACUACCUCCUCCAUUCACAAAUAUAAGAUGCUUUAUGUUUUUUUUUCUGAAUUGGUUGUAUGUAGACAUGUUUUGAUGUAUUUAUUCAUUCAUUUUAGUUUGAACAUAGUCCAUAUUGAAAUAUCUAAAACAUCGUAGUGAAGGAAGAGAUCAUGUUUUAGACGAAGGAUCUGACUCAGAGGUCACGAGGAGAACAUGCUGCGAACGGAAUGGGCUCUAGGCCCAAACACAUCGGCCUACGAUCCGGGCCAUAGAAAACACGAGGCAGAGACCCCUCGCCGAAUUAUUUAUCUCUCCUCUCCGUCUCUCUCUCCCCCCCCCUCUCCCACCUACCAAACGUAUUAGGGUUUCUCCCAGGGUUUUUCCCCGCGCCGCCGCCACCCCGCUCCUCCGGAUCGCCGCCAUGGCAGCCGCCGCCGCCGCCGCCGACCGUAUCCUUACACCUACAUAUAUUCCGCACCUCUGUCCCCACUGCCUUCUCUCGUUUUUUUGCUUUUUUUUUCGAGUUCUCUGGUUGGUUUCUGACGGCUGGUCGGAUCUCCGGCUAGUUUGCUCGGGUCUCCCGGUGGCUUGCUUGAUUUCUUCGCUCAAGUGCAUCCCCUGGUGCUCUGGACGAUUCCAAGCCGAUUUACUUGCUAGAAUUAUUACUUUUUAUUUUCUGUUUUAUUUUCUUGCGGCUGUUGUCUGGUGCUCCCGCUUUCCCCUCGAAAGGCGUGUAAUUUCCUGCGAGGAGCGUGAUCUCGUGGUGUUUUUGACCGCGCCGUUUCUUGGCUGGAAUCUUGAAUCUUUGUUUCGAAUCUCUAGUCCACGCCUGUGUCAUUUCCUUGACCGCCCUUGCUGCAGAGGCUACGAAUUUGCUGCAGAAGCUAUCCCUUGAUGCCAAGGCUGAAGCCAUCGACGCGCCGGCGGCGAAGGAGAAGGUGUGAUCCGCUUCUCUCUGCAACAUAAUAUCACAUCUUAUUGAGUCACCGUGUGCUGAACCUAUCUGUGCCCGCUUUCUAUUUUUCAGGCGUCCGGAGGGCUGGGCGGCAAGCUGAAUGGUGUGGCGGCGACUGGGAAGCCACGGGCGGCUGAGCAGUGGGCAAAUCCUCAGGAUUACAGCGAUGCAAGCAUGUAUUAUGGCGCCUACCCUGCUGCUUACUAUUGCGCAGGUGAAGCACUAAUGCCCAAUUGUGCUAUUUAGUUUAUGUUGUUUCUGGUGAAUUAGUAACGGGAUUGCAAUUUUAUAAAUCACCCUGCAUUGUUUUAAUGAUUUACCCUGUAUAUGGAUGAUUGUGUAGUAUUUGUCACUUACAAGCACAAUUACAUAGACUGCAUCUUCGUAUAAUAUUAUUGACACCGUUUUUUGCUUUUGCAGGUUGGGGUGAUUAUUCCAUGUACUUGAAUCAGGAUGGAGUGGAAACACCUACCGCUGUGAGUAUUACACCUCCGACAUCACAAGGUUUUUGGCAAUUGCAGUUGACUGGCCCUCUUUGGAUUGACACGGCGAAUAUUGGUUUUCAGGGUGCCUAUGGUGACAUGUACUGCUAUCCUCAAUAUGGGCAUGAUGGUCAGAUGUAUGGGUCACAGCAAUAUCAGUACCCAUCAUCAUACCACCAGCCCCAGAAUACUGCCAGUAAGCCACAAUACAAGUCUAAAACUGACAAGCUAGCCCCGUCAAAGGAUAUUUCCUCCACUGUUGCUGAUCCGCUGCAUGCCGUAGCCAGUGCUCCCAAAGCCACUGCAAACAGCGUUGAUGAGGUAAAAGGUCUGAAGAAGACAUCCACACCACUGAACCCAAGUGGGAACAAUGGUAGUUACCUGAACCAAAGUAGCAGACCAGCUUAUCCAUGGUACGGUGGCCAAAUCUACCAGGGAAAACAGCAGAAGCCUUCUAGUGGCAAUCCUACUUCAACUGAUUCAAAUCCUAAAAGCAAGGUUCAGUCGAAGAAUCAGAAUACUCAACCUCUUCCUCCUCUGAUGGUACGUACUGUUGUUGCCACUAAACCUGUUGUUUUAUUUAUUGAUCAUUUCUCAAAAACUUGUGCCACAGAAUAUUAGUAACUCUAAGCAUUGUUGUUUAAUGUCUGCACCUCUGUGGCUUGCUGAAUGCUUGUGCUUUACUGAGUUUGAUUCCUGCCAUGUCACCUUGCACUUUGACUGCUUCUGUUAAUUGCUGAAUUCAACAUAACCUGCAGCUGUAUUAAUUUGUACAUUCAGAUACUGAUUGUUUAAAAUGGACAUAUUUGCAGAGUUUACCUAACUCACCGGUGGCUUCAAUGUAUGCUGCUAAUGGAAUGUACAACAGCAAUGCCUACGGUGGCUUUUGGUAUGGAUCCCAGUUUUAUGGGCCAGGAAUGUAUGGUGGGUGGAAUAAUCUGUCGGAUGGAAAAUACAAGCCCCGAGGGAGGACAGCGUAUGGAUCGUAUGGAUUUCCCAAUGAAAACUUGGAUGGUUUGAAUGAGUUGAAGAGAGGACCACGGAGUGGACUCUCUAAUAACCAACAGGGCUUUGGACCUGCUGCUGCAACAGCUGUCAAAGCACAGGAUGUUUCUGCUACUGAUGGUUCUAAUGCAGUUGUGCAGGAUCAGUACAACGGGUCUGACUUAGCUGACACUUACGAAAAUGCCAAAUUCUUUAUUAUUAAGUCGUACAGCGAGGAUGAUGUUCACAAGAGCAUCAAGUACAAUGUUUGGGCUAGCACACCUAAUGGAAAUAAAAAGCUUGACAGUACUUAUCUGGAAGCUAAAUCUGUCAAUUCUCCUGUAUUCCUUCUCUUCUCUGUAAGUUUUCAGAUCUUGUGCUCUUUUCAGAAGUCUUGCAUUAUCAACAAGUUUGUGGUAAGCUGACGAGUAUGAUGUUCUUUUUUCAGGUUAACACCAGUGGGCAGUUUGUUGGUCUCGCUGAGAUGGUUGGCCAGGUUGAUUUUGACAAGACGGUGGAACACUGGCAGCAAGACAAGUGGACUGGUUGCUUCCCUGUCAAGUGGCACAUUGUCAAGGAUAUUCCCAACAACUUGUUAAAGCAUAUCAUUCUCGAGUAUAAUGAAAACAAACCAGUGACAAACAGCAGAGACACACAGGAGGUGAGAAUAGUGCCUGUACAUCUCAUUGUUGUAAUACCAAGAAGCCUUAAUAAGUCUGAGGCAUGCUGCUGUUAUUAUGACAUCUUUAUAGGUGUUCGCAAAUUUUGCAUGUUGGUGUCAAACUGUGCUUAAUGUCUUUCUUUCCCAUACGUACUGCAGGUCAAGCUCGAGCAAGGGCUUCAGGUGUUGAAGAUUUUCAAGGAUCAUGUCUCGAAAACAUCCAUCCUGGAUGACUUCAGCUUUUAUGAUAACCGUGAGAAGAUAAUGCAAGAGAGGAAAUCACAGCGGCAGCUUCAACUGAAGAAGGUAAAUACAUACUCCCUCCGUCCGAAAAAGCUUGUCCCUCAAAUGGAUGUAUCUAGCACAAAGUUAGUGCAAGAUACAUCCAUUUGAGAGACAAGCUUGGGACAAGUUUUUUCAGACGGAGGGAGUAGCAUGUUAGUUUAGGUUGUUGGUGCAGCCUCUUAGAGAUCUGGUGAAGGGUAAUUCUUUGUGCUAGCUUACAUUGUAGUUAUAUGCCAUUUUAGAGUGUUCCUAGUUUUUUUGUGUGUGGUGUGAGCAGUGUUGUAGCCAUCUUCCUUGUAAAAUGUAAGGACUUCCGUUUUCAGCUUUGGUAGUUUGCAUGACCUCCUUUCAGCUGAGUCCUUUCCCUGAUUCAAUCAACUUAUCUCCUAUUAGAAAGGAUGAAGUUGUUAAAACUGUCAUGUUACUCAUUCAAACUUCUUUUAUUGAUUAUUAUGCAGAUCACGAGUCCGAAGUUGCUGCCUACUGUUGACAACACCGAAAAUGAUUCCGGCAAUGUGCAGGAAUCGCAGAAGCCUGAAGUUACCGGAGAGAACAAAUCUGCGGUGGAAGACAAUGUGGAGGCGGCUGCCGUGAGUGGCGUUGCCCCGAAAGAUGCUAACCCCACAGCCGCAAGCUUGGCUGUCGCAAAUGGCUGCUGAUAUUUUUGUCUGUUGAGUUGUGAGUAAGGUGACAUGACAGCUUGGGAGUUUUGGAGGAGGCUGGCGCAGUUCAACUGUUGGAGGCAAUCAGGGCUCUGUUGGGGUUCCGUAGGUGUUUUUGCAGAAAGUUUGAGGGAUAUGAUUAGGUGUCUCUUGAGAUUUCCCCCCUGUAUUAUUAUUUCUCUAUCUUGGAGUUGAGUUCGUCUGGUAGGAGAUAGAGAUCAUCAUUUGUUGAUCUGGGGUGGUGGUGUGUUGUCUUUUUUUAUCUUGUCGUCGGUAGAAAAUGUACCUAGGUGUGGUGAUUUGUACUGGUUUUGCAAGAAGUAACUUGUCUGUUUCAGUGUUUAUGUACUUCGUGCCAGAUGCGUCUCAUGUUUCCUUGAACAAUGUUCUGUGCGACUUUGGCCCACGUUGAGCUUUCUUUUGAAAAAUAAUAACCUGGAGUGGUGUUUGGAAGUUUCAAAAACUUCUGAAAAUGAUUGUAAUUGCACAUGUUUUUUUCUUCAGAAAAACUUGCAUCUUUUGAAUAUAUAACAUCUAAAAUGUUUAAGAUUUUUUGACCCUCUCCUUUGCAUUUUCAAAACCUUGAAGUUCUUCUCGUUUUGGAUAUAACAGACUGUAGAAGUUCUUGCUCCUUUUCUUAGUAGUCCAAAAGAAGGAAAAUGGAUGGAUAAUUUCAGGGCCUAAUUUUCUUGCCUCAGAAAACUGUGAACCCUUGUCAAUUAUUGGGUAGAAGAACCAAACGCUGUCACACAAUUUUGUUUUUUACACAGGAAAAAUGAAAUUGUAAGAACCACAUGUUGUUUCCUUUUUUUACAAGUUUGAAUAUACUACAUGUUUUUGUUUCGGAGUUCAUCUGAAUUUUUUUUGAGCUGUAGUUCUUGUUGUUGUUGAGUUUUGUGAGCAGUAGAUCACCUGAAGUUCAGAACAACCAAACGUGUGCACCUUCUAGAAAAAGAAGAUCAAAACGCGUUUACGGAAGCAGGCCCCAAAAGGCCCAGGAGGCCCACAUGAUCAAUCUAUGGACAACAUUAAAGCGCAAAAAAUGAACCCAUUAAUAAGGGGAGAGAAAGGGCGAGCUACCAGCCAAGUGGCAUCCACUGGUUGGCUGCGGGGGUAACGGGUUUUCUAUUCAAGGAAUGUUUUGAUUAUUCUUUUAUUUUUAAGAUGGAGAUGAUUUUUCUUUUCUUAUCGAGAUGGAUGUGAAGGCCACGUGCCAUCUACUGUUUGGCUAAGGUAAGAAAGUUUUUCUCUUUCUUUUGUGAGAUGAAGGUGAGGGUAGUUGUUUUUCUUUUUUUUUUCUUCAAAAAAGAUGAAGAAACAAGCACACACCUUCAUUUUAGGCGACGCGCAAUCAUGCGCCCCAACACUAGUCCAAAGCAAGCCGGAAGGAAAGCAUCAAAACCCUCGAAACCCCCUGAUGAUAUACUUAAACGCCAUCCUUCCUCCACUCGUUUCUCCCAGGUUGUGGCGCCGCCUNNNNNNNNNNNNNNNNNNNNNNNNNNNNNNNNNNNNNNNNNNNNNNNNNNNNNNNNNNNNNNNNNNNNNNNNNNNNNNNNNNNNNNNNNNNNNNNNNNNNNNNNNNNNNNNNNNNNNNNNNNNNNNNNNNNNNNNNNNNNNNNNNNNNNNNNNNNNNNNNNNNNNNNNNNNNNNNNNNNNNNNNNNCACACGCCGUGACCCUUCGGACCGCCUCCAUGGUCCUCGCCGCUGACCGUAUUCUUUCGCUGCUCCGUUGGUUUGUGUGCGCAUUUUAGAUCUUUCAAAUACUUAUACAUGUUUUUUUUUUCAGAUUUAGAUUUUUAGAAUGAAACAUUUACAACGGAAUUAUGAAUUUUGACCCCUGUUCCAAAAAAUAAAAGAAUUUUGGGCCCUAGCCAUUGUUUUGCCCAUGUCCGCAGGCCUUUGAAAACCCGAAACCAUGAAAUUCUUCUCGUCUUUUAUAUACUAACAUAUAACAGACCGUAGAAGUCGGGAUAAAUCGUGUCAUCUUUAAGUAAUUUUAUUACAAAUAGAAGGAAGGUGGAUGUAUAAUUCGAGAGCCUAAUAUCUCUUGCCCUAGAAAGCUGUGAACCCUUUUUCGGUACUGGGUACAAGAAACAAACAUCACUCACGCCAUCACGCAUAGUAUUCAGCAGACAUCAUGUCCAAGAAACUUGCAGUGAACAUUUUGCUUUUUACACACAAAAAUUGAAAUUCUUACAUGUACAUGCUAUUGUUUCAUUUUUUCACCAGGACACAUGUUUUUGUCUCUGAGUUCAUCUAUUUUUUUAGGGGAUUUUGAGUAGAUAUGAAGUUCUGAACAACCUCAGAGUCAGUCACGGAUUUUGUUUUUUAGUAGGGCUACAAGUCAGUCGCAGAUUGUUUUUUUUUUUUUUGAGGGGCACAAGUCAGUCGCAGAUCGAAACGUGUGCACGGAAGCGGCCCCCCUCGACAAACACAUGCCACACUUGCACUCCAACGAAAAGCCCAAAAGGCCCAGGAGGCCCACGCGAUGGAUGGAUCGAUAGAUGAUGGACGGACGCCAGCAGUAAACCGCAAAAAUCCAAAGCAAGCGGGAAGGAAAGCAUUAAAACUCCAAACCCCACGGCGAAAUACUUAACGCCGUCCUCCCUCCACUCGUUCCCCUCGCCUUUCUUUCUUUCCUCCCACCCCACCCCACCCCGCCCCCAUCCACCGCGAGGGUUUCUCUGGGUUUUACCCCCCCCGCCCCGCGCCGCGCCGGACCGCCGCCGCCAUGGCCCCCGCCGCCGCUCACGCCGCCGACCGUAUCCUUUUACCCGUCGCGCUGUUCCGCUGUCCCGCUGGCUUGGUUGCGCUUUUUUUUUCUUCGAAUUUCCGUUGGGUUUUUCGGGUGGGUGUCUGGGCGUGUCGCCCGCGGCCGGAUCUCCCGGCGCCUGGUCUGGUUUCUCCGGUCUGCGGAGGUUUCCGUCGGGAUUCGGGAGGGGUUUGCCCGUGGAGGUUUUUGCCGGGGGCAGGCCGUAGGCGUGUUUCCUCGUCGGGCCGAGGUUGCGGCCGCGACCGGAGCGUGUGUACGGAGCUCUGUUUCCUUGUGAUUUGGGGGGCGUACUCGCUGGUAGCGCUUAGAAUUCUACGCAGCCUGGUGGUUGUUUUGUGGGUGGAUUCGUUUGCCUGUUUGGAUUUCGGACAUGUCCGCAUCGGUUCCCCUUGACCUGUCGUGAUGCAGACGCCGCGGAUUUGCUGCACACGCUGUCGCUGGAUCCCAAGGGCGUGGCCGGCCAGGGCAAAGAUGCGCAGAGGAAGGUAUGACCCGCCGUUCUCUGUAGCCUGUACCAUCUUGUUGCGUGGCCGUGAUGGUGUUGUAGUGGGCGUGCUCUGUCCUUGUGAUGAUGUUAUGGUGGUGUUCCAUAGUCUGAAUUUGUAUCACGGCGCAGGUCUCGGCAGCACCCAAUGGCAGGCUGAACGGCGUGGUGGCGUCUCCAAACCCUCAGGUGGCGUCGGCGGGGCAGUGGCCAGCCAUGGGGCAGCAGGAUUACAAGAAUGCCAACAUGUAUGGUGCUGGCGCUGACGCCUACCAGUAUUACUAUGGAGGUGAGGCACCAAGGCACCAUGUAGCCUGUCACUGUCUGUUUCUGCUGAAUUAGUCAUCGCAGUGCGAAUUUGUAGUUAAAUUAUAAAUAUUUGUUUGAAAUUGGUGAUAGUCUGAUGGCAAUGCCUUUUGGGAUUUGCAGGCUGGGGGGAUUAUUCUGUGUAUGUGGGCCUUGACGGAGCAGAGUCACUUAACCCUGUGAGUGUUAUAUCCUCUACUUUACAUACAUUGCAGACACUUGGUUUGCCUGCUUCAAUCGGAUGGCCGGCCCUGCAAAACUAACCGCCACUGUAAAGCAUCUUGAAGAUUUUCGCUGCAUGUCAAGUGUGUUAGGACGACUUAGUUAAGCCUGUUGGUUUUCUGCAGGGUGCUUAUGGGGACAUGUAUUGCUAUCCUCAGUAUGGUGUUGCUUCGUCUGGGUAUGAUGCGCAGAUGUACGGAUCUCAGCAUUACCAGUACCCGUCCACGUAUCUCCAGCCACAGACUGCUAGCACCACUAAGCCAGCAUACAAGCCUAAUGCUGGCAAAUCAGAUCCUUUACCGCAGAAGGAUGCUUCUGCUGCACCUGCUGCUUAUCAGAAGCCUGGAUUGGUGGAUGCUUCCAAGGCCAAUUCAAACAGCACUGAUAGUUCAACAGGUCUGAAGAAAACCACAUACCCUGUGAAACCAAGUGGGCGUUCAGCUAGUUAUCAGAACCAUGGUGAUAAAGCUGCUUAUCCAUCGUAUGGUGGUCAUACUCAGCAGAAACUCCCUGUUGGAAAUACUACAUCAACUGCUUCUAAUCCUAAAACCAAGGUACAGUCGAAGAAUCAGAAUUCGUUACUGCUUUCUCAAUUCUGGUGUGCAUAUUGUCCUUCCCCAGAGAGCUAUUUCUGUGUAGCUUUCUGGUCUUUGUUCAGAUGUCUUCAUCACAGAUUUUCAGCAAUUAUGAGUAGCUAUAUAUUUUCAAUAAUUUUGAGUAUUGCUGCUUGUUGCUUGAUCCUACCAAUAUGGUUUGAUACCAUUUGUGAAAGCACCUAUUUGGAUGGUUUGUGAUGUAUGUCAUUGUAAUUAGCUGCAUAUCAUUGGGGUUAUCUGAGGGCACAUUCCAUAAUUAAUUUUGCCAGGUCAAAGUGAAAAUUUUGUAUUAUGCAUAUCUGUAAGCUCAUAUGUUUUAUGUAUUGAAAUGGCCUGUUCAUGAGUGUCACAACGUGGAGACAUAUCUUGCAGGGAUUGCUUGGGCAAAACUCAGCAAUGGGGCCACAGACACCUGGGUACAUGAGUUCCAUGUACUCUAGUGUCAUGUACAAUGCAAAUGCAUAUGCACCUGACUAUUGGUAUGGAUCUCACCUCUAUGGCUCUGGUAUGUAUGGUGGGUGGAAUGUACUGUCAGAUGGAAAGUACAAGCCCAGACCAAAAACCUAUGGAUCAUAUCGUUUCGGUAAUGAGAACAUAGAUGGCUUGAAUGAGCUGAAGAGAGGGCCAAGAAGCACUGUCAUUAAAAAUGAACAGGGUGCUGGAGAAGCUGCUGUUGCACCUGCAAAAGGACAGGAGCUUUCUACUGGCGACGCCUCAAAUGCAGUUGUGCAGGAUCAGUACAACAAGGCUGACUUUGUUGAAACUUACUCAGAUGCCAAGUUCUUCGUUAUAAAAUCUUACAGUGAGGAUGAUGUUCACAAGAGCAUCAAGUACAAUGUUUGGGCAAGCACCCCCAGUGGAAAUAAAAGGCUUGAUGCUGCUUAUCAAGCAGCUAAAGACAAGUCAAGCAAUUCACCUGUAUUUCUGUUGUUCUCUGUAAGUGCAUAAUAGUUCUGUGCAGCUAAAACAGUUUGUUUUCUCUAUCUGAACAGUCUUCAUAGUGGUUGCUGGAUCUGAUGCAUCUUUCCUCGUUCCUCUUUUUUCCCAGGUCAACACCAGUGGUCAGUUCAUUGGACUUGCCGAGAUGGUUGGUCAGGUUGAUUUCAACAAGACAGUUGAAUACUGGCAGCAAGACAAGUGGACUGGCUGCUUCCCCGUCAAGUGGCACAUUGUGAAGGACAUUCCCAACACUCUAUUGAAGCACAUUAUUCUUGAGUAUAACGAAAACAAACCAGUGACAAACAGCAGAGAUACCCAGGAGGUGAGAACUGUAGACUUGAAUGCUUCCAUCUUUUGCGAAUCUCUUCGAGUAAAGUUUCUGGUGGUACACCAUGGCAGUCCGUUUCAGUGCGCUUGCAUCAUGUAAUAUGUAAUAUGAACAGUCAUCAAUGACACUGCGAUCUAUUAAAAAUUGACAACUUGUUCUUAAAACUUUGCAUGUUUAGCUCUAAGAAUGCUGUGCUCAGUAGGGUUUUGACCUGCUUUUCUCGUGUUGUCUACAGGUUAGACUUGAGCAAGGCCUUCAGGUGCUAAAGAUUUUCAAGGAUCAUGUCUGCAAGACAUCCAUGUUGGAUGACUUUGGCUUUUAUGAUAACCGUGAGAAGAUAAUGCAAGAGAAGAAAUCCAAGCGACAGCAGCCACUGGAGAAGGUACAUGGAUAGCAGCAUACUUUAUCUAAUAAACUGGUGAAUCUUACGGCUAGAUAGUUUUGUUUGCAAUUCUUCAUACGAGUACACUGUUUUGGACCUCCCAGAAGUCCAAACUACUGAGAACUACAUCAGUGUAGCAUAUGAGUGCCUUUUACUUUACCAUGCAAAUGUUUGCAGCAUAUGUGUGAUAAGAGGACUACUUGCUAGUCUAUAUUUGUUUUCUGGUAAUGCAAUUUUGUUAUGGCAGCUUGAUCCUGGUGAAUUCCAUGGUAUCCUUCUGAAAUUUAGUACCUAGUCUAGUCUGAUCACAAUCAAGUUUCUUUUUCUUGAAAAUAUUCCAAUCAAGCUUCAGCUCUAAGAAAUGCCGUACUUACUUCAACAUCCUUUACUGGUCUUGCAGAUCAUGAACAAAAAGCCGCUUUCUAUCAAGAACACUGAAAACCAAGAUGUCGAUGGGAAGCAGGGGAUCAUGAACAAAAAGCCGCUUUCUACCAGCAACACUGAAAAUCAAGAUGUUGAUGCAAAGCAGGGGCUGCAGGAACUCAAGGUCCUAGGAGAGAAAAACCCUGUGGUGGAAAACGGUGUGGCGGCAGGGGCUGUAAAUGGUGUUGCCCCAACAGACGCAAGCCCGGCAGCGGUCGCAGUUGGCUGUUGAUUUCCGCUGCUCAAGUCAUUUGAUCAUCCAUUCGAGGUAUACAGGGUGAGGAAGCGUUGCCGUGGCUGAAGGAAUUCAAGAUUCUGCUAGUUGGAUAUGCUUGUGGGUUGCAGAAAGGUGCAAGUCUGAGGCGAUUGAGGAUUCAAUGAGAGGCUUUUUUCUUUUCUUUGGGUGGUUCUGCUCUUCUGUAGUAUCUUCGCUAUUUCUGGAGUCUGGUGGUUGGGGUGGGUACGGAGAUUAGAGCUCAGUUCUUGUUCUGGUGAGGUGUUUUCGUGUUUGGAAAUGGCAUUAGGAGUUGUACCUAGGGGUGGGGUUUUAGAUGUGUAAGCCUUGUGCAACCAACGAUUAUGAUUGUGGUGCAUCUUUUAUAUUGGAAGUGAAUGCUAGCAGUUUUUCAGUUGUACGGAGUAUUGUUUUUGCCAUGCUGUCUUUGCCACGCCGAUCUGGUUUUCAGUAGAUUAUUUGCCCUAGAUGGAAAUUCUGCUGUUGUGGCGACACCAAGGUAGCAGCAAAGCCAGGGGUUGUAUGUCUUCAUUGUGAACUUUAUGAUCUUCAUCUCCGAAAAGAAUAACGAGCACUUGCACACAGUGACACAGAGAACGAACUAGGGCGUGUUUGGUUGCCGUAGUCUAUAGUAGCUGCAUUGCAUAGCCUUCUCAACUCAGCCUGGCUAUGCAAAUGCAGCCUUAAAUGCACCAUCUGCAAGUUGUUUGGUUGCCUGCAUGCCCUCUUGCCUGCCUGGUAUUUGGUUGCCUGCAUGUUAGUGGACAAACCCAAGGCAUGGUGUUUGGUUGUAUGCAACGCCUGGUGUGUGGUAACCUCUUUGGCUAGUUGGUGAGGUUACCAGCACACUUUGGCACAAACAUGUAGCACAUAUCAUAAGCAGAGCAGAUAUAAACAGAGGAUCAACUACUUAACAACAUAUUUAGAUAAGCAGUACCACACUUCAUAACAGUUCAACGCAUAAACCAUAAACAUAAACAGUUCAAAGCAGACUCGAUAGUACUUAGGAAGGAGGUGCCCCGGCCCUAGUCCUUGGUGGCAAAGGCUUCGUCGUGCUUCCCGCACUUGUUGACGACCUCAAUGCCAUCGUCGUCGAAGAUGAUGACGUUGAGGGUGUCGGGAGUGAGGAGCUUGAACGUCACCAUAUAGCCGAUCUUGAUCCGAUGAACGGUUGCGUAGGUGGCCCAACCCUGAUCCAGGGUCACCCUGCCAUUCAUCAGCUUCACCAUCACCUUUCAGGAGCAGCCGGUGUUGUUCCUGAGCUUGAACUCCGUCGGCACCGCGAAGAAGUGCUUGGUGAAGUCCAGGGGCAUGGGGAUGCACUCAAGCUUCGGUGCAAGGAUGACCUUGCAGAAGUGAGUUGGGCCAUCCUCCUCAUGGCAGUGGCUGUAGUUGCGGCGCUUGUUGCUGGCGGGCUCCUCCAUGCGCUCGUCGUCGCCAGCCUCAGGCGUCUUCGGUUCUUCCUCGGCGUUGGGCCGCAGCACGACCUCGUCGGGCAUUGGAUGAAGGGGCUGCUUGCCCUUGUUGUCAACGGCCGGGAGCACCUCCGUGCCCAUCUCAUUGCUCUCUUCGAUCUGCACACAAUUCAUGGAGUCAGACACAGCACAGAGUUCAUGGCUUAUUGAAGAGCAUGUAGUUAAAAUGGCUUGAUUGUCACUCUUCUCCUCCUCUCCAUCGCCCCUAUAUUUACUCACCCUGCGCACCUAUACUUACCCACCCCCUAUCUUUUCUCACUGUCAACCUUCCUCCUCUCCAUCGCCAUGAGCUCUAGCUCCAGCUCCAACCCCUUCCCUUGGGGUAUUGGCUGGAGGGCCUUCUUUCUCGGGUGGUCGGCUGGUGACCGCACCAAGUUCGAGAACACCAUGGAGGUGUGCUCGAACUUCGGCUCCAUGCCUGACAUCCAGAAGGAAUCUGAUGCAGUGCUCAUGAGGGCCACUGCACAAGAGCUGAAGACGCUGAUUCCUGACCCAGCGAAGAGCGCGAUGGCAGUUGACAUCAUUCGCUGGGCCAUGAAUCAGGCCGUCUCCGACGACGCUAAACAGAGGAAGAAGUGGUGCAAGUACAAGAACUACUGGGCUCCUAAUGACCGUCGUGCCGCAGUGUACUGGGAGAUGACAAUCGCGCCGCCGGCGGUCAUCGGUGGGGAGCCUAAGGAGGAGGAAGAACCGGUGCAGAUGCCAGCGAGGGCGCCGGAGCCAGGCCGUCGUACCUGGCAGAUCGACCUCGACUCCGCCGAGGACGACGACCCGCCGCGCCGCACGGCGAUGAACAAGAAGAUGAAGGCCAGCGGCUCGACCCGCCGCUCCGCACGCCCGUGACGACCGCCGCGGUGAGCCGGUGUCCGUUGUGUACCCCCAAUCCCCCAAUCCCCCAAUCCCCCUUCUGCAUCCGCAUCUACCUCUAUUCCAAUCUUGCAUGAACUAGUUUGAAGUACUAUGAACUCGUAUGAACUAGUAUGAACUACCUCUACAUGCUUAUCUACCUAUAUUCCCCAUUCCCCUCCGCCGUGGAUCGAAUCUAUCGCCGGAUCGAACGGGAAAAAGUAUUGCAUGACGAACAUAGAGAAGUGCUUACCGCCAUUGCCGUGGGCCAAGUGAUGAUCCGCUCGCCGGUGAUGGAGUCCGGUGGUCUUCUUGCUCUGCUCCGAUCCGCCGCCGCCGGUGAGAGUUGGGAGAGCGGGGGAGAGUGGGGAGAGGGAGCGGUGAGGGGCGAUGAGGCUAAUAACUGCCGGCGCUUCGGGAAGCAACGCGGCUUCUCGAGAGUGGUCGUGCGCGUGCAGCCUCCGCCGCCCACGUGCACCGCUCGGGCCUGGUCCUGGAGAAACUGCCAAUUCGAGUGUUCCCAGGGAGCCAGGCCCAGGAGUGCUUUAAACAUCGUGCCAUGCAGGCCCAACAGCGUAUGCAGCCAACCAAACAGGUCGUUUUCUUCCCGCGCGGGUCUAGGUGGGGCCUCAUGCAGGCAACCAAACAUGCCCCUAGUGUAUGAGAACGCCAGUAAUAGAGUUUGUACAUGUGAAUUGUUCUAACGUUGUUUGCUUUUAUCAUACAUCACAAAACUUGCUGGGGCCAAGGCUUCAGACUGUAUUUUAGAUUCUUCUGUCCAAAAUUUCAGAUUUUUCUUUUGUCAUUUUCAUUCCCAGGGAGCCAGGCCCAGCAGUGCUUUAAACAUCGUGCCAUGCAGGCCCAACAGCGUAUGCAGCCAACCAAACAGGUCGUUUUCUUCCCGCGCGGGCCUGGGUGGGGCCUCAUGCAGGCAACCAAACAUGCCCCUAGUGUAUGAGAACGCCAGUAAUAGAGUUUGUACAUGUGAAUUGAUCUAACGUUGUUUGCUUUUAUCAUACAUCACAAAACUUGCUGGGGCCAAGGCUUCAGACUGUAUUUUAGAUUCUUCUGUCCAAAAUUUCAGAUUUUUCUUUUGUCAUUUUCAAUCAAGUUCACAAAGAAGAUCGACAGUCUCGGGUUAACAGGGUUAACAUCGACGAGACAUAUUUAGUAUCAAGAUAUCCCCCGUCCCCGGGUGACCUGGGCGAUCUAACCCUAGCCGCCGGACUCGGGCCCCCACUCCCCCUCCUUGCCGUCGCCGGGCAAAGCCCGCGUGGUGUCGGCGACGGCGGGAUCCCUCUUGCCCUCGCUUGGAGUGAAAGCCGAGGGGGGACUCCUCUUCGGCCCUGAUGAUAGUUCUAUGUGGCCGGUGCAUCGGAGCUCGACGGUUCGCGCAGGCUGGAGGCAGUGUUGGGUGGCGAUGCUGGCUGGUGGUCGCGCGUCAUGGUGGAGCACGCAGGCUGGUGUAACUUGGUGUUUCUUGUUGUGAUGGGGAUCAAACCAGGCCAGAUCUGCCCCAGGUGGAGGUGAGGGUUUGUGGCCGGCGCUCGGUAGGCGGGAUGGUGGCGCGGUUGGCCUGGCGGGCUCUGGCAGCAGAGAGGUGGCUCGUUCGGGUGGUGGCGGCACCGACUGGAGGUGGCGGCGAGUUCCCACAGGCAGGCUGGUGGCGACGCGUCGAUGGCUCAGCCAAGAUGAAGUCUUAGCGAGUAGCGAGCGGUCGGUUACCCCUGUGCUGCGCGACGAGCGACAGUACUCUCCUGAUGGUGCCGAUCUGGGAUUUUCAGUGGAGAGGAGAGGUGGAUCUGAUCGACGCAAGGUUGUCCCUUGGGUAGGCAACGACCAUCACGGGUGGUCCUGGACCUUGCCGGAGGUGCUGGUUGGCGCGGAUCCUUGUGCAGGCUGGGAGUUGGUUGUUGGGAAUCGUAGCAUAAUUUUAAAAUUUUCCUACGCUCACCAAGAUCCAUCUAUGGAGUAUACUAGCAAUGAGGGGAAAGGAGUGCAUCUACAUACCCUUGUAGAUCGCGAGCGGAAGCGUUCCAAUGAACGUGGUUGAUGGAGUCGUACUCGCCAUGAUCCAAAUCACCGAUGACCGAGUGCCGAACGGACGUUACCUCCGCGUUCAACACACGUACGGUGCAGCGACCUCUCCUCCUUCUUGAUCCAGCAAGGGGGAAGGAGAGGUUGAUGGAGAUCCAGCAGCACGACAGCGUGGUGGUGGAUGUAGCGGGAUCUCGGCAGGGCUUCGCCGAGCGUCUGCGAGAGGGAGAGGUGUAGCAGGGGAGGAGGGAGGCGCCCAAGGCUGUAAAUGUUGCUGCCCUCCCUCCCNNNNNNNNNNNNNNNNNNNNNNNNNNNNNNNNNNNNNNNNNNNNNNNNNNNNNNNNNNNNNNNNNNNNNNNNNNNNNNNNNNNNNNNNNNNNNNNNNNNNNNNNNNNNNNNNNNNNNNNNNNNNNNNNNNNNNNNNNNNNNNNNNNNNNNNNNNNNNNNNNNNNNNNNNNNNNNNNNNNNNNNNNNNNNNNNNNNNNNNNNNNNCCCCCCCACCCUAGGGUUUCCAACCCUAGGCGCAGGGGGGAGGCCCAUGGGGGGCGCCCAGCCCACUAAGGGCUGGUUACCUUCCCACUUCAGCCCAUGGGGCCCUCCGGGAUAGGUGGCCCCACCCGAUGGACCCCCGGGACCCUUCCGGUGGUCCCGGUACAAUACCGAUAACCCCCGAAACUUUCCCGGUGGCCGAAACUGGACUUCCUAUAUAUAAUUCUUUACCUCCGGACCAUUCCGGAACUCCGCGUGACGUCCGGGAUCUCAUCCGGGACUCCGAAAAACUUUCGGGUUUCCGCAUACUCAUAUCUCUAGAACCCUAGCGUCACCGAACCUUAAGUGUGUAGACCCUACGGGUUCGGGAGACAUGCAGACAUGACCGAGACGCCUCUCCGGUCAAUAACCAACAGCGGGAUCUGGAUACCCAUGUUGGCUCGAUGAUCUCAUCGGAUGAACCACGAUGUCGAGGAUUCAAUCAAUCCCGUAUACAAUUCCCUUUGUCAAUCGGUAUGUUACUUGCCCGAGAUUCGAUCGUCGGUAUCCCAAUACCUUGUUCAAUCUCGUUACCGGCAAGUCUCUUUACUCGUACCGCAAUGCAUGAUCCCGUGACUAACGCCUUAGUCACAUUGAGCUCAUUAUGAUGAUGCAUUACCGAGUGGGCCCAGAGACACCUCUCCGUCAUACGGAGUGACAAAUCCCAGUCUCGAUCCGUGCCAACCCAACAGACACUUUCGGAGAAACCCGCAGUGUACCUUUAUAGUCACCCAGUUACGUUGUGACGUUUGGCACACCCAAAGUACUCCUACGGUAUCCAGGAGUUGCACGAUCUCAUGGUCUAAGGAGAAGAUACUUGACAUUGGAAAAGCUCUAGCAAACGAACUACACGAUCUUUGAGCUAUGCUUAGGAUUGGGUCUUGUCCAUCACAUCAUUCUCCUAAUGAUGUGAUCCCGUUAUCAAUGACAUCCAAUGUCCAUAGUCAGGAAACCAUGACUAUCUGUUGAUCAACGAGCUAGUCAACUAGAGGCUUACUAGGGACACGUUGUGGUCUAUGUAUUCACACAUGUAUUACGAUUUCCGGAUAAUACAAUUAUAGCAUGAAUAAUAGACAAUUACCAUGAACAAAGAAAUAUAAUAAUAACCAUUUAUUAUUGCCUCUAGGGCAUAUUUCCAACAGUCUCCCACUUGCACUAGAGUCAAUAAUCUAGUUACAUAGUGAUGAAUCGAACACCCAUUGCGUCCUGGUGUUGAUCAUGUUUUGCCCUAGGGAGAGGUUUAGUCAACGGAUCUGCUACAUUCAGGUCCGUAUGUACUUUACAAAUAUCUAUGUCUCCAUUUUGAACACUUUCACGAAUGGAGUUGAAGCGACGCUUGAUAUGCCUGGUCUUCCUGUGAAACCUGGGCUCCUUCGCAAGGGCAAUAGCUCCAGUGUUGUCACAGAAGAGAGUCAUCGGGCCCGACGCAUUGGGAAUCACCCCUAGGUCGGUAAUGAACUCCUUCAUCCAGACUGCUUCCUGUGCUGCCUCCGAGGCUGCCAUGUACUCCGCUUCACAUGUAGAUCCCGCCACGACGCUUUGCUUGCAACUGCACCAGCUUACUACUCCUCCAUUUAAAAUAUACACGUAUCCGGUUUGUGACUUCGAGUCAUCCAGAUCUGUGUCGAAGCUUGCGUCGACGUAACCCUUUACGACGAGCUCUUCGUCACCUCCAUAAACGAGAAACAUAUCCUUAGUCCUUUUCAGGUACUUCAGGAUAUUCUUGACCGCUGUCCAGUGUUCCAUGCCGGGAUUACUUUGGUACCUUCCUACCAAACUUACGGCAAGGUUUACAUCAGGUCUCGUACACAGCAUGGCAUACAUAAUAGACCCUAUGGCCGAGGCAUAGGGGAUGGCACUCAUCUUUUUUAUAUCUUCUGCCGUGGUCGGGCAUUGAGCCGUACUCAAUUGCACACCUUGCAAUACAGGCAAGAACCCCUUCUUGGACUGAUCCAUAUUGAACUUCUUCAAUAUCUUGUCAAGGUAUGUACUCUGCGAAAGACCAAUGAGGCGUCUCGAUCUAUCUCUAUAGAUCUUGAUGCCUAAUAUAUAAGUAGCUUCUCCAAGGUCCUUCAUUGAAAAACACUUAUUCAAAUAGGCCUUUAUACUUUCCAAGAAUUCUAUAUCAUUUCCCAUCAAUAGUAUGUCAUCCACAUAUAAUAUGAGAAAUGCUACAGAGCUCCCACUCACUUUCUUGUAAACACAGGCUUCUCCAUAAGUCUGUGUAAACCCAAACGCUUUGAUCAUCUCAUCAAAGCGAAUGUUCCAACUCCGAGAUGCUUGCACCAGCCCAUAGAUUGAGCGCUGGAGCUUGCAUACUUUGUUAGCAUUCUUAGGAUCGACAAAACCUUCCGGCUGCAUCAUAUACAACUCUUCCUUAAGGAAGCCGUUAAGGAAUGCCGUUUUGACGUCCAUCUGCCAUAUCUCAUAAUCAUAGUAUGCGGCAAUUGCUAACACGAUUCGGACGGACUUCAGCUUCGCUACGGGUGAGAAAGUCUCAUCGUAGUCAACCCCUUGAACUUGUCGAUAACCCUUAGCGACAAGUCAAGCUUUGUAGAUGGUCACAUUACCAUCCGCGUCUGUCUUCUUCUUAAAGAUCCAUUUAUUUUCUAUGGCUCGCCGAUCAUCGGGCAAGUCAUUCAAAGUCCAUACUUCGUUUUCAUACAUGGAUCCUAUCUCGGAUUUCAUGGCUUCUAGCCAUUUGUCGGAAUCCGAGCCCGCCAUCGCUUCUUCAUAGUUCGAAGGUUCACCGUUGUCUAACAACAUGAUUUCCAGGACAGGGUUGCCGUACCACUCUGGUGCGGAACGUGUCCUUGUGGACCUACGAAGUUCAGUGGCAACUUGAUCCGAAGCUUCAUGAUCAUCAUCAUUAACUUCCUCCCCAGUCGGUGUAGGCACCACAGGAACAUCUUCCCGUGCUGCGCUACUAUCCGGCACGGAAGGGGUGACUAUCACCUCAUCAAGUUCCACUUUCCUCCCACUCAAUUCUUUCGAGAGAAACUCCUUCUCCAGAAAGGACCCGUUCUUGGCAACGAAGAUCUUGCCUUCGGAUCUGAGGUAGAAGGUAUACCCAAUAGUUUCCUUAGGGUAUCCUAUGAAGACGCAUUUCUUCGACUUGGGUUCGAGCUUUUCUGGUUGAAGUUUCUUGACAUAAGCAUCGCAUCCCCAAACUUUUAGAAACGAUAGCUUAGGUUUCUUCCCAAACCAUAAUUCAUACGGUGUCGUCUCAACGGAUUUCGACGGAGCCCUAUUUAAAGUGAAUGCGGCAGUCUCUAAAGCAUAGCCCCAAAAUGAGAGCGGUAAAUCGGUAAGAGACAUCAUAGAUCGCACCAUAUCCAAUAGAGUACGAUUACGACGUUCGGACACACCAUUUCUCUGAGGUGUUCCAGGCGGCGUGAGUUGUGAAACUAUUCCACAUCUCCUUAAGUGCGUACCAAAUUCGUGACUUAAAUAUUCUCCACCACGAUCUGAUCGUAAGAAUUUUAUUUUUCUGUCACGUUGAUUCUCAACCUCACUCUGAAAUUCCUUGAACUUUUCAAAGGUUUCAGACUUGUGUUUCAUUAAGUAGACAUACCCAUAUCUACUUAAGUCAUCAGUGAGAGUGAGAACAUAACGAUAUCCUCCGCGAGCCUCAACACUCAUUGGACCGCACACAUCGGUAUGUAUGAUUUCCAAUAAGUUGGUUGCUCGCUCCAUUGUUCCGGAGAACGGAGUCUUGGUCAUCUUACCCAUGAGGCAUGGUUCGCACGUGUCAAAUGAUUCGUAAUCAAGAGACUCCAAAAGUCCAUAUGCAUGGAGCUUCUUCAUGCGCUUGACACCAAUGUGACCAAGGCGGCAGUGCCACAAGUAUGUGGGACUAUCGUUAUCAACUUUACAUCUUUUGGUGUUCACACUAUGAAUAUGUGUAACAUCACGUUCGAGAUUCAUCAAGAAUAAACCAUUGACCAGCGGGGCAUGACCAUAAAACAUAUCUCUCAAAUAAAUAGAACAACCAUUAUUCUCGGAUUUAAAUGAGUAGCCAUCUCGAAUUAAACGAGAUCCAGAUAUAAUGUUCAUGCUCAAAGCUGGCACUAAAUAACAAUUAUUGAGGUUUAAAACUAAUCCCGUAGGUAGAUGCAGAGGUAGCGUGCCGACGGCGAUCACAUCGACCUUGGAACCAUUCCCGACGCGCAUCGUCACCUCGUCCUUUGCCAGUCUCCGUUUAUUCCGCAGUUCCUGUUUUGAGUUACAAAUAUGAGCAACCUCACCGGUAUCAAAUACCCAGGAGCUACUACGAGUACUGGUAAGGUACACAUCAAUUACAUGUAUAUCACAUAUACCUUUGGUGUUGCCGGCCUUCUUGUCCGCUAAGUAUUUGGGGCAGUUCCGCUUCCAGUGACCACUUCCCUUGCAAUAAAAGCACUCAGUCUCAGGCUUGGGUCCAUUCCUUGACUUCUUCCCGGCAACUGGCUUACCGGGCGCGGCAACUCCCUUGCCGUCCUUCUUAAAGUUCUUCUUACCCUUGCCCUUCUUGAACUUAGUGGUUUUAUUCACCAUCAACACUUGAUGUUCUUUUCUGAUCUCCACCUCCGCUGAUUUCAGCAUCGAAUAUACCUCAGGAAUGGUCUUUUCCAUCCCUUGCAUAUUGAAGUUCAUCACAAAGCUCUUGUAGCUUGGUGGAAGCGACUGAAGGAUUCUUUCAAUGACCGCGUCAUCCGGGAGAUUAACUCCCAGCUGAGACAAGCGGUUGUGCAACCCAGACAUUCUGAGUAUGUGCUCACUAACAGAACUAUUCUCCUCCAUUUUACAGCUGAAGAACUUGUCGGAGACUUCAUAUCUCUCGACCCGGGCAUGAGCUUGGAAAACCAUUUUCAGCUCCUCGAACAUCUCAUAUGCUCCAUGUUUCUCAAAACGCUUUUGGAGACCCGGUUCUAAGCUGUAAAGCAUGCCGGACUGAACGAGGGAGUAAUCAUCAGCACGUGAUUGCCAAGCGUUCAUAACGUCUUGGUUCUGAGGGAUUGGUGCUUCACCUAGCGGUGCUUCUAGGACAUAAUCUUUCUUGGCAGCUAUGAGGAUGAUCCUCAGGUUCCGGACCCAGUCCGUAUAGUUACUGCCAUCAUCUUUCAGCUUGGUUUUCUCUAGGAAUGCGUUGAAGUUGAGGACAACGUGGGCCAUUUGAUCUACAAGACAUAGUGUAAAGAUUUUAGACUAAGUUCAUGAUAAUUCAGUUCAUAUAAUCAAAUUAUUCAAUGAACUCCCACUCAGAUAGACAUCCCUCUAGUCAUCUAAGUGAAACAUGAUCCGAGUUAACUAGGCCGUGUCCGAUCAUCACGUGAGACGGACUAGUCAAGAUCGGUGAACAUCUCCAUGUUGAUCGUAUCUUCUAUACGACUCAUGCUCGACCUUUCGGUCCUCCGUGUUCCGAGGCCAUGUCUGUACAUGCUAGGCUCGUCAAGUUAACCUAAGUGUAUUGCGUGUGUUCCGAGGCCAUGUCUGUACAUGCUAGGCUGGUUACCACCCGUUGUAUGCGAACGUUAGAAUCUAUCACACCCGAUCAUCACGUGGUGCUUCGAAACAAUGAACCUUCGCAACGGUGCACAGUUAGGGGGAACACUUUCUUGAAAUUAUCAUAAGGGAUCAUCUUACUUACUACCGUCGUUCUAAGCAAAUAAGAUGCAAAAACAUGAUAAACAUCACAUGCAAUCAAAUAGUGACAUGAUAUGGCCAAUAUCAUUUUGCUCCUUUGAUCUCCAUCUUCGGGGCACCAUGAUCAUCUUCGUCACCGGCAUGACACCAUGAUCUCCAUCAUCAUGAUUUCCAUCAUUGUGUCUUCAUGAAGUUGUCACGCCAACGGUUACUUCUACUUCUAUGGCUAACGCGUUUAGCAAUAAAGUAAAGUAAUUUACAUGGCGUUAUUCAAUGACACGCAGGUCAUACAAAAUAAUAAAGACAACUCCUAUGGCUCCUGCCGGUUGUCAUACUCAUCGACAUGCAAGUCGUGAUUCCUAUUACAAGAAUAUGAUCAAUCUCAUACAUCACAUAUAUCAUUCAUCACAUCUUCUGGCCAUAUCACAUCACAUAGCACAUGCUGCAAAAACAAGUUAGACGUCCUCUAAUUGUUGUUGCAAGUUUUUUUUACGUGGUUUGUAGGUUUCUAGCAAAAACGUUUCUUACCUACGUAUGACCACAACGUGAUUUGCCAAUUUCUAUUUACCCUUCAUAAGGACCCUUUUCAUCGAUUCCGUUCCGACUAAAGUAGGAGAGACAGACACCCGCUAGCCACCUUAUGCAACUAGUGCAUGUCAGUCGGUGGAACCUGUCUCACGUAAGCGUACGUGUAAGGUCGGUCCGGGCCGCUUCAUCCCACAAUGCCGCCGAAACAAGAUAAGACUAGUAGCGGCAAGAAGAAUUGGCAACAUCAAUGCCCACAACUACUUUGUGUUCUACUCGUGCAUAGUAACUACGCAUAGGCCUGGCUCAUGAUGCCACUGUUGGGAAUCGUAGCAUAAUUUUAAAAUUUUCCUACGCUCACCAAGAUCCAUCUAUGGAGUAUACUAGCAACGAGGGGAAAGGAGUGCAUCUACAUACCCUUGUAGAUCGCGAGCGGAAGCGUUCCAAUGAACGUGGUUGAUGGAGUCGUACUCGCCGUGAUCCAAAUCACCGAUGACCGAGUGCCGAACGGACGGCACCUCCGCAUUCAACACACGUACGGUGCAGCGACGUCUCCUCCUUCUUGAUCCAGCAAGGGGGAAGGAGAGGUUGAUGGAGAUCCAGCAGCACGACGGCGUGGUGGUGGAUGUAGCGGGAUCUCGGCAGGGCUUCGCCGAGCGUCUGCGAGAGGGAGAGGUGUAGCAGGGGAGGAGGGAGGCGCCCAAGGCUGUAAAUGUUGCUGCCCUCCCUNNNNNNNNNNNNNNNNNNNNNNNNNNNNNNNNNNNNNNNNNNNNNNNNNNNNNNNNNNNNNNNNNNNNNNNNNNNNNNNNNNNNNNNNNNNNNNNNNNNNNNNNNNNNNNNNNNNNNNNNNNNNNNNNNNNNNNNNNNNNNNNNNNNNNNNNNNNNNNNNNNNNNNNNNNNNNNNNNNNNNNNNNNNNNNNNNNNNNNNNNNNNNNNNNNNNNNNNNNNNNNNNNNNNNNNNNNNNNNNNNNNNNNNNNNNNNNNNNNNNNNNNNNNNNNNNNNNNNNNNNNNNNNNNNNNNNNNNNNNNNNNNNNNNNGUGGGGCGCCCCCCCACCCUAGGGUUUCCAACCCUAGGCGCAGGGGGAGGCCCAUGGGGGGCGCCCCAGCCCACUAAGGGCUGGUUCUCUUCCCACUUCAGCCCAUGGGGCCCUCCGGGAUAGGUGGCCCCACCCGGUGGACCCCCGGGACCCUUCCGGUGGUCCCGGUAAUACCGAUAACCCCCGAAACUUUGCCGGUGGCCGAAACUGGACUUCCUAUAUAUAAUUCUUUAUCUCCGGACCAUUCCGGAACUCCUCGUGACGUCCGGGAUCUCAUCCGGGACUCCGAACAACUUUCGAGUUUCCGCAUACUCAUAUCUCUACAACCCUAGCGUCACCGAACCUUAAGUGUGUAGACCCUACGGGUUCGGGAGACAUGCAGACAUGACCGAGACACCUCUCCGGUCAAUAACCAACAGUGGGAUCUGGAUACCCAUGUUGGCUCCCACAUGUUCCACGAUGAUCUCAUCGGAUGAACCACGAUGUCGAGGAUUCAAUCAAUCCCGUAUACAAUUCCCUUUGUCAAUCGGUAUGUUACUUGCCCGAGAUUCGAUCGUCGGUAUCCCAAUACCUUGUUCAAUCUCGUUACCGACAAGUCUCUUUACUCGUACCGCAAUGCAUGAUCCCGUGACUAACGCCUUAGUCACAUUGAGCUCAUUAUGAUGAUGCAUUACCGAGUGGGCCCAGAGAUACCUCUCCGUCAUACGGAGUGACAAAUCCCAGUCUCGAUCCGUGCCAACCCAACAGACACUUUCGGAGAAACCCGCAGUGUACCUUUAUAGUCACCCAGUUACGUUGUGACGUUUGGCACACCCAAAGUACUCCUACGGUAUCCAGGAGUUGCACGAUCUCAUGGUCUAAGGAGAAGAUACUUGACAUUGGAAAGGCUCUAGCAAACGAACUACACGAUCUUUGAGCUAUGCUUAGGAUUGGGUCUUGUCCAUCACAUCAUUCUCCUAAUGAUAUGAUCCCGUUAUCAAUGACAUCCAAUGUCCAUAGUCAGGAAACCAUGACUAUCUGUUGAUCAACGAGCUAGUCAACUAGAGGCUUACUAGGGACACGUUGUGGUCUAUGUAUUCACACAUGUAUUACGAUUUCCGGAUAAUACAAUUAUAGCAUGAAUAAUAGACAAUUACCAUGAACAAAGAAAUAUAAUAAUAACCAUUUAUUAUUGCCUCUAGGGCAUAUUUCCAACAUUGGUGGUGUGGCCGCGGUUACCCUGUUGGGCGGUUGGUCGUCAGUCCUCGGCGUUGCUACUACGUCGGCAAGUGCUGCGGGGCGGCGGUGUGAGGCUUCUUGAACAAUGUUGCCAAUUUCAUGGAGGUGUGGAGAGGGGCCACACGCGGGUGAAAAUCUUGCUCGGCUUUUGUCGGGCCGACGGUGAUGGCAUCUGUGGAUGUCAUUCCCCUUCUUGGAGGCGUCGUCGAGCGUGUUCGCCAUUCCCCUCGCUCUCUUGGAGUUGGUGAAUGUCUCUGGGCGAAAGCCUCGAUUUGGUGUUUGGAUCUACACGAUGGCGGCAUCCUUGACAUCGCUCGUCUGUUGGAUCAUCAUGUUUGGAGACAUGGCUGGCUCCUCGUUGCUCUCCCCUGGUGUUCGCCAUUGUCCUCUUUUGAUCCUCUGUGGCGCUAUGUGCACCGGUCGCCGGUGUGUCUAAGACGGUGUAUUCCCGGAUCAGAUCGAGUCCUAUCAUUCACCUGCCACUUUCUCUCAGGCGCUUAGGGUGGAUGGUGCGUCGAUGAGUAAAGCUUUGCGCCAGUGGGUGGUCUUUGGAGAUGCCCGACGUCGGUCGAGACGCGGUAGUGUGUAUGAUCUUAGGAUAGGCUCUUUUGCGUUGCAGCUUGCUUUGCGGUGGUGUUUCUCUUUGGUCCUGUCGGGUGUGGUGUUCGUGCUAUGCUCGUUGUUCGCAGCGAGUGGUAACUUUCUUGAAACUUAUAUUGUGCUUUCUAUAAAGCUAUGGUACGUCUUUGGCGUACUCUAAAAAAAAGACAUAUUGAGUAUCUAGUUGCAGUUAAAGCUAGCUUCAGAUAAUUGGUUCAGAACUACAGAGGGAGUAAUUCAAAUAUAGCAAAGUACCCUUCCGAAGACAUUUUAGCUUUUUUUUGGUUUGUAUGUAUCUAGACAUAUUUUAGCAUGCAUGUUCACUCAUUUUUGUAUGUAUGUAGUUAAUAUAUAUAUUUUAAAAUAGCUAAAAGGUCUCAUAUUACGUAUGUUGCAGAAGCGACAAAGUCCAUUCAAUCUACGGGCUACAAGCCACCCAACACAUCCAUCCGUUGGAUGGGUGAGCGAGCGGCGCGUAACAAAUGUGGUGGGGAUGGAGGCGUGGGCUCGAGCGUCCGAUCGGGGAUGGACGGCUGUGAUCCAGCGCAGAGGGGUCGAUCCGCGGGACGGAGAAACGGGCGAUGUGAUUGGCUCGUUGGCGUGGCGGAAGCUUCUCCGUCCGUUCGCUCCUCCUCGCCUGGGCCGCGUGCCGUCGCGCGGGCCGCGCGGGCCUGCCCGGCCUGAUCCGCGUGCGUUCGGUUCGUGUGGGAGGUAGCCGUGUGCGCCGCGCGCCGCUCCGUCGCGAAACCCUAGCCACCGUCCGUCCUGCGCCGUAUGUAUACAUACGGGGUAUUGCCAGGUCAUUUCGACCCCGAAACAAUUCCCCUCCGUGCCGCCGCGCUCAGCACCUACCUACCUUCCACCUCCAGUUGUAACGGCCGGCGCUAGCUAGGGCAGUUCGCUCGUGUCGUCGAUCGAGGAGGAAGGAUGGCCGAGGUGCGUCGUGGAUCCGCGGGGACGGCGGCCGAGGCGCUCGACCUCGAGCUGCACCUCGGCCUGCCGUCCGCGCGGAUCGCGUUCGACCUCGACCUGAACGUCGACCUGUCACUCUACGCCGGCCCGAUCCCGGUGGAGAACCUCGCGCUCGUCGUCUACGAGGGCCCGGCGGCGGCGGGUGGCGACGACGUGCCGGCGCCGGUGCCGCCCGCGGUGACCGGGGGCGCUGUGGUCGCGGACGUGGAGACGAGGGCCCUCGUCGUCUACGAGGCCCCCGCGGCCGGGGAUGGCGUGCCGGUGCAGCCCGCGGUGACCGAGGGCGUUGCGGGCGCGGGCGUCGAGAUGGGGGCCGUCGUCGUCUACGAGGGCCCCGCGGCCGGGGACGGCGGGGUGACCCAGGUCGGGGUUUUGGCAACGCUGGACGACGAGCCGCAGGGCGAGGCCGGGCAGAUCGUCCCGGCCGGCAGCGUCGACUCUACCGCGCUGGCCCAACCGGGUCUGUGCUAUCUCCCCCUGCAGAUGCUGCCGCCGGACGACGGGAUCCCGUGGCUCCGCUGGGCAGGCAGCGGCGCACGCCAGUCGAGGCGGAGGGCCGACAUGGUGCGGGCGUGGGUGCGCGACCAGCUCCAGCACAAACAUCGCCUGCCCAGGGACCUGCCGCUGUGCUACAUCGGGGAGAAGGUCCUGUGCCGGUCCGACAUGAACCCGCGGCACGCCCGGCUCCUCGUCCCGGCCCCCGCGCGCGCCCGCCUCUGCCGAGCCUUCCUCUACCCCUUCGAGAUCGCCGCGUGCGGCUUCAACACCAACGACCCCAAGCCGAUUACGAUCCCCGGGGCGAGGGCCACGCCGACGACAUUCCCGGGCGUGCCCUUGUCCGUCUACGUCAGCAGCGGGCGCCGGGGGCGCGGCCAGUGCAAGUCUGACCGCCUGAAGCUCAACAAGUUCCAUCGCAACGACGCCACGGUCAUCAAUGGUCAGGGGUACAGGAGCUUCAUGGUGGACUGCGGCCUGGAGGCCGGCGACGGCGUCGAGGUGUGGGCGUUCCGGUGGCCGCCUGGGAUCCGCCCGUGCCUUCUGAUGGCCAAGAAGGACGGCGUCCGCGCCCGCGCCCGAAACCCGUAGUUCGAGUUCGAUCCUCUCGCUGGGAUCCUAGUAUCUCAUCCUGCAUGUCAACUGUGCCUGGCAGAUGGCACUCUGCUGUUGUUGUUUUUUCUUGUGCGAGGAAUUGUUGUUUUGUUAUUAUUGUUGUUGUAUCGUAGUGAGCUAGCCUUAGGGUCGAUCGCUUGGUCUUAGGUUAAGUUGUUGUAUCUUAGUGAUCAGCUAGCUCUUCUUAAUUAUGUUCUCUAAGUACAAUUCCGAUUAAUUAUGAAUGCAAUCUUUUGUAUCACUUCUAAUUUGUUCUUCUUAUGGGUAUGAGUUAUGGGGCAGUUGCAAGGUACAAAUUUUUUUGUGGGGAAUUUCGAUAACUUGUAUGGUACGUGCACUGUAGAAAUUACUACUUGGCACACACGCACAUGGGAAGGCUGCCAGGCGCGCGCGCUCUAGCUAGAAAUCGGUUGGCGCGAUAUUACCCUAGAAAUAACUUGGCGCACACGUAUAUAGAUCAUGAAAUUUGUCAUAUGCGAAACUAUCUAUACAGCGGAUGUAUUAUCUUGGUAACCACUUACCGAAUAUAUGUUAGUUCGAAAAUUAUACUAUUUGUAACCAGUAUUUCCCAUGACAAACUUGCACAAAAUUUCUCCCUCAUAAGUCAGAACAGAACAGAUUUUUGUUAAGAUUUCCAAAGAUAAAUAUGUUAGAUCACGGUUCCUCAGAAGUUUAGUAUCUUUGGUCAAUUCUAAAAAUCAGAUCUAAAUAGAUCUUGUUGCUCAGAUUUACAGAAUAUAUAAUCCAUAACUUCUAAUUAUGACCUUGUGAUAACUUUCACUCUGUUUGGAAAUCUUGCCUCAUUUAUUUCUUAGGCAUGCCCUCCUUGAAAUCAUUACAUAUUCUCAAGCAGGCAACAUGCCCCAAUCCUUAGAUUGACUGGCAGCCUAGCUGGCGGGCAACUCGAAUGCAUGUUCAUUUGGUUAUUAUUAUAUCAAAGUUUAUGAAAUUUCACCAAAUUUUCUCAAAUUCUAAGAGAUUGUGUAAAAUUAUGUAGAACAAAUCCAUAAAAAAUGUCGCAAGGACAAAAAACUUGUAAAAAAGUGUCACGGGUAAAAAGAAAAAACUAGGUAAAAAAGUGUCACGGGAAUAAAAUUCUUGCUAAAAUAAAUAAAUUCAGUAUUAAAAUAACAUAAUUAAGGCACCAGGUCUUCAAUUCACAAGGAUCAGAAACCAUUUUCCUCAAUAGGAAAUUUGUACGCAAUUUGAAUAAAGUCUACAUCCUUUUCUUUUUCUGUAGUUUAACUAAUGUCUGAAGGGAGAUAGUCUCACCAUGAGGGGGCGGCAACAUCAUUGUUCAUUUCUUUAAACCGAUGCAUCCAUUAAUCAAAGUUUGAGCAAACAAUUCUAAUUGUGACAGAACUAGGAUGGUCGGAGUUCUGGAAAACUGCAACGUUUCUCGAGUCUUAAAUCUUCCGAUGUAUAGAAAGGAGUACCUCAUGCCAAAUGGAGUCGCUGAUGUUUGACGGUGUUGAUCUAUUCACGGUUCUUGGAAGCAGGAGGGCGGCGUGAUGUCCAGCUGGAGCUGAAUCCGCAUUGCUUUCGGACUGUUGAGGAAGAGUUGAUCGAUGUCUCGGGAGGUGCAUAAACCAUUUCUGGAAACCACAUAUGGCAUUGGGCGUCCAAUUCACAAGAAAUGGAAAGCAGUAUUAAAAUAACAUAAAUAAGGCAUCAUGUGCUCGAUUCACAAGGAUCGGAAACCAUUUCCCCCAUAGGCUAUUUUGUACGCAAUUUGAAGUAGAGUCUACAUAUUUUUCCUUGUAGUUUAACUAAUGUGUGAAGAGAGAUAGUCUCACCAUGAGGGGCAACAACAUUAUUGUUCAUUUCUUUAAACCGAUGCAUCCAUAAAUAAAAUUUUGAAAAACAUUUCUAAUGGUGACUGAACUAGGGUGGUUAGAGUUCAUGAAAACUAGAACAUUUCUUGAGUCCUAAGUCUUCCAAAGUAUAGAAAGGAGUACAUCAUGUCAAAUGGAGUCGCCGAUGAUUGCGGUGUUGAUCUGCUCACGGUGAUGUCCAGCUGGAACUGAAUCCGCAUUGCUUUCGGACUGUUGAGGAAGAGUUGAUCGGUGUCUUGGGAGGUGCAUGAACCAUUUCUAGAAACCACAUAUGGCCUUGGGCGUUCAAUUCACAAGAACUAGAAAGCAGUAUUAAAAUAACAUAAAUAAGGUAUCAUGUGUUCAAUUCACAAGGAUCAGAAAUUAUUUUUGCUCAUAGGCUAUUUUGUACGGAAUUUGAAAUAAAGUCUACAUCAUUUCCCCCCUUUAGUUUAACUAAGGACUAAUGUGUGAAGAGAGAUAGUCUCACCAUGAGGGGGCAGCAACAUUAUUAUUCAUUUCUUUAAACCGAUGUGUCCAUAAAUAAAAGCUUGACAAACAUUUCUAAUGGUGACCGAACUAGGGUGGUCGUAGUUCAUGAAAACUGCAAGGUUUCUUGAGUCCUAAAUCUUCCAAAGUAUAGAAAUGAAUACAUCAUGCCAAAUGGAGUCGCUGAUGUUUGAUGGUGUUGAUCUUCUCACGGGUCUUGCAAGCUGGAGGGCGGCGGAUGUCCAGCUAGAGUGGAAUCCGCAUUGCUUUCAGACGGUUGAGGAAGAGUUGAUCGGUGUCUUGAGAGGUGCAUGAACCAUUUCUGGACCACAUAUGACAUUGGCCGUUCAAUUUACAAGAACUGGAAAGCAAUAUUAAAAUAACAUAAAUAAGGCACUAGGGGUUCAAUUCACAAGGAUUGGAAACCAUUUUCCUGAAUAGGCAAUUUUGUACGAUAUUUGAAAUAAAGUCCACAUCUUUUCCUUUUCCUGUAGUGUAACUAAUGUGUGAAGGGAGAUAGUCUCACCAUGAGGGGGAGACAUCAUUAUUGUUCAUUUCAAUAAACCGAUGCAUCCUUUAAUGAAAGCUUGGAAACAUUUCCAAUGGUGACCAAACUAGGGUGGUCGGAGUUCUGGAAAACUGCAACGUUUCUCGGGUCCUAAGUCUUCCAAAGUAUAGAAAGGAGUACUUCAUGCCAAAUGUAGUUGUUGAUGUUUCACGGUGUUGAUCUGCUCACGGGUCUUGGAAGUGGGAGGCCACCGUGAUGUCCAGCUGGAACCAAAUCCGCAUUGGUUUGGCACUGUCGAGGAAGAGUUGAUCAAUGUCUUGGGAGGUGCAUGCACAAUUUCUGAAAACCACGAAUGGCAUUGCAAGUUCAAUUCACAAGAACUGGAAAACAGUAGUGAUAUAACAUAAAUAAGGCAUCAGGGAUUCAAUUCGCAAGGAUAAAAAACCGUUUUCCUAAAUAGGCAAUUUUGUAUGCAAUUUGAAAUAAAAUCUACAUCUUUUUCCUUUUGCUAUAGUUUAACUAAUGUGUGAAGGGAGAUAGUCUCACCAUGAGGGGUCGGCAACAUCAUCGUUCAUUUCUUUAAAUCGAUGCAUACACUAAUCAAAGGUGAAAAACAUUUCCAAUGGUGACAAAACUAGGGCGGUCGGAGUUCUGGAAAACUGCAACAUUUUUCGGGUCCUAAGUCUUCCAAAGUUUAGAAAGGAGUACCUCAUGCCAAAUGUAGUUGCUGAUGUUUCACGGUGUUGAUUUGCUCACGGGUCAUGGAAGCGGGAGGCAGCCGUGAUGUCCAUCUCGAGCCGAAUCCGCAUUGCUUUCGGACUGUUGAGAAAGAGUUGAUUGGUGUUCUAAGGUGCAUGAACCAUUUCUGGAAACCACAUAUGACGUUGGGCUUUCAGUUCACAAGAACUGGAAAGCAGUAGUGAUAUAACAUAAAUAAGGCAUGAAAUGUUCAAUUCACAAGGAUCCGAAACCAUUUCCCCCCAUAGGCUAUUUGUACGCGAUCUGAAAUAAAGUCUACAUCUUUUACGUUUUCCUGUAGUUUAACUAAAGUGUGAAGAGAGAUAGUCUCACCAUGAGGGGGCGACAACAUUAUUGUUCAUUUUUUUAAACCGAUGCAUCCAUAAAUCAAAGGUUGAACAAAAAUUUCUAAUGGUGAACGAACUAGGGUGGCCGGAGUUCUGGAAAACUGCAAUGUUUCUCGAGUGCUCAAUCUUCCAAAGUAUAGAAAUGAGUACCUCAUGCCAAAUGGAGUCGCCGAUGUUUGACAGUGUAGGUCUGCUCAUGGGUCUUGGAAGUGAGAGGGCGGCAUGAUGUCCAGCUGGAACCGAAUCCACAUUGCUUUGAGACUGUUGAGGCAGAGUUGAUCGGUGUCUUGAGGUGCAUGAACCAUUUUUGUACACCACAUAUGGCAUUGGUCGUUCAAUUCACAAGAACUGGAAAGCAGUAUUAAAAUAACAUAAAUAAGGCAUUAUGUGUUCAAUUCACAAGGUGCGGAAACCAUUCCCCUCAUAGGCUAUUUUGUACGCAGUUUGAAAUAAAGUCUACAUCUUUUUCCUUUUCCUGCAGUUUAACUAACGUGUGAAGAGGGAUAGUCUCACCAUGAGGGGGUGGCAAAAUUAUUGUUCAUUUCUUUAAACCGAUGCAUCCAUAAAUCAAAGUUUGAACGAACAAUUUCUCAUGGUGACCGAACUAGGGUGGUCGGAGUUCUGGAAAACUGCAAAGUUUCUCUAGUGCUACAUCUUCUGCUAAUGGGUCUUGGAAGUGGGAGGGCGGUGUGUUGUCCAUUUCGAACUGAACCCACAUUGCUUUCAGACUGCUGAGGAAGAGUUGAUCGGUGUCUUUGGAGGUGCAUGAACCAUUUCUAUAAACCACAUAUGGCAUUGGGCGUUCCAUUCACAAGAACUGGAAAGUAGUAUUAAAAUAGCAUAAAUAAGGCAUCAUGUGCUCAAUUCACAAGGAUUGGAAACCAUUUCCCCAUAUAGGCUAUUUUGUACGCAAUUUGAAGUAAAGUCUACAUCUUUUUCUUUUUCCUGUACUUUAACUAAUGUGUGAAGAGAGAUAGUCUCACCAUGAGGGGGAGGCAACAUUAUUGUUCAUUUCUUUAAACCGAUGCAUCCAUAAAUCAAAGUUUGAACGAACAUUUUUGUGUUCAAUUCACAAGGAUCAGAAACCAUUCCCCCCAUAGGCUAUUUUGUACGCAGUUUGAAGAAGUCUACAUCUUUUUCCUUUUCCUGUAGUUUAACUAACAUCUGAAGAGAGAUAGUCUCACCAUGAGGGGCGGCAAAAUUAUUUUUCAUUUCUUUAAACCGAUGCAUCCAUAAAUCAAAGUUUGAAUGGACAUUUCUCAUGGUGACCGAACUAGGGUGGUCGGUGUUCUGGAAAACUGCAAUGUUUCUCGAGUGCUACAUCUUCCAAAGUAUAGAAAGGAGUACCUCAUGCCAAAUGGAGUCGUCGAUGUUUGACGGUGUUGAUCUGCUCAUGGACCUUGGAAGUGGGAGGGCGGUGUGUUGUCCAUCUGGAGCUAAAUCUGCAUUGCUUUUGAACUGUUGAGGAAGAGUUGAUCGGUGUCUUGGGAGGUGCAUGAACCAUUUCUAUAAACCACACAUGGCAUUGGGCGUUCAAUUCACGAGAACUGGAAAGUAGUAUUAAAAUAACAUAAAUAAGGCAUCAUGUGCUCGAUUCACAAGGAUCGGAAACCAUUUCCCCCCAUAAGCUAUUUCGUACGCAAUUUUAUGUAGAGUCUACAUAUUUUCCUUUUCCCUGUAGUUUAACUAAUGUGUGAAGAGAGAUGGGCUCACCGUGAGGGGGCGGCAACAUUAUUGUUCAUUUCUUUAAACCGAUGCCUCCAUAAAUCAAAGUUUGAAUGUUCAUUUCUAAUGGUGACCGAACUAGGGUGGUCGGAGUUCUGGAAGACCGCAACGUUUCCCGAGUGCUAAUCCAAGUAUAGAAAGGAGUACCUCAUGCCAAAUGGAGUCGUCGAUGUUUGACGGUGUUGAUCUGCUCAUGGACCUUGGAAGUGGGAGGGCGGUGUGUUGUCCAUCUGGAGCUAAAUCUGCAUUGCUUUUGCACUGUUGAGGAAGAGUUGAUCGGUGUCUUGGGAGGUGCAUGAACCAUUUCUAUAAACCAUAGAUGGCACUGGGCGUUCAAUUCACGAGAACUGGAAAGCAGUAUUAAAAUAACAUAAAUAAGGCAUCAUGUGCUCGAUUCACAAGGAUCGGAAACCAUUGCCCCCACAAGCUAUUUUGUAUGCAAUUUGAAGUAGAGUCUACAUCUGUUCCUUUUCCCUGUAGUUUAACUAAUGUGUGAAGAGAGAUGGGCUCACCGUGAGGGGGCGGCAACAUUAUUGUUCAUUUCUUUAAACCGAUGCAUCCAUAAAUCAAAGUUUGAACGACCAUUUCUAAUGGUGACCGAACUUGGGUGGUCGGAGUUCUGGAAGACCGCAAUGUUUCCCGAGUGCUAAUCUAAGUAUAGAAGGGAGUACCUCAUGCUAAAUGGAGUUGUCAAUGUUUGACGGUGUUGAUCUGCUCAGUGUCUUGGAAGAGGGAGGACGACAUGAUGUCCAUCUGGAACCGAAUCCGCAUUGCUUUCGGACUGUCGAGGAAGAGUUGAUCAGUGUCUUGGGAGGUGCAUGAACCAUUUCUGUAAACCACAUAUGACAUUGGGCGUCAAUUCACAAGAACUGGAAAGCAUAUAACAACUCCCCUGGAUAGACUUUCCGCAUUGCUUUUAGACUGUUGAGGAAGAGUUGAUCGGUGUCUUGGGAGGUGCAUGAACCAUUUCGGAAAACCACAUAUUGCAUUGGGCGUUCAAUUCGCAAGAACUAGAAAGCAUAUAUCCCCCUCCCACAUAGACUAUCUAUUUCUAUGCAUUUUUGAGUAAAAACUACAUGUUUUUUGCUUUUUCUGUAGUUUAACAAAUUAUUCAAAUUCCAUUUCUCUGUUGUAACAUUGAGUUCUUACAUGAUUUUAUUUAUUCCCUUCUAUUUCUUAUAAAAAAGGGACUAUCUAUUCAUCAGAAGACUGAAUUUCAUUUCAGUCUAGGUCAAGUAUUUUUCGUAUAGUUGGUUGACACGUGUCUAGAUUUUGUUUCAGAGUCAAAGUCGCGUGCAUAAAGAAAGGCUGAUUUCAUUCGGGAUCUCGGUUGCUGUUGGGUCCUCAAGUAUGUAUUGCUGGGAUUUCUGCCCACCCAUCCUGGUGAUAACGAGCUGGAUUCCCCCAACCCGCUAUGUUCUUACCCCUAGCACUCACCCAACCCAUGCCUCCCACAGGUGAGAGGGAAGCACCAGAUCGCCUGGAAAAAAAUCAGAGAGACAUAGAGGGGAAGGAGAUGGCCCAGAACAAUCAGCUUGGGUUGAUGGUGCUGGAGAGGCUAAGCACCAACGCCGGGUGCUGCCCACCCACCCAAGCCCCAGUUUUCAGGGCAGCUUUGUCUGAAGAUAUGUGGAUUGCAGACCUCGCGCACGGUGACACCACCAGUUUGCUGACAGAAUUCAUGGCCAUGCGACAAUGGCUGAAUGCAAGGGAUCUACAUUUCCAAGAUGAUAGACAUGAUUCUAUUGGGUGGCGUUUUCCUGUCGACGACACAUACUCCACCACCUCCGCAUGAAAAUGCAGUUCAACGGCCAAACGAUGACAUGCUACAAAAGGCUCAUCUGGCAAACCUAGGCUCCGAGACGUCUGAAAAUCUUCGCAUGGUUGCUCUUCAAGAAUAGGCUUUGGUGCAAUGACCGAUUGCAACGAAGAGGACGACCAAACGGCUACUUCUCUAUGUCUCAGAAACUUGGAAUGCUCUUGUCACUUAUUCCGGCAGUGCCAAGUUUCUGCAAUAGUCUGGAGGGAAACCAUUUGGUUUGGAUGUAACUCUUACUCCGAACACGUCUGGAGCUCCAAGACACAGUCAGUUGAUAUAUUUUUAGCUAUGAUCAGCAAAGCAUGACCGGAAUUCAAAAAAGGCUUGAAAUCUCUCACGCCGAUCAUCUUGUGGAAGAUAUGGUAGGAGCAAAAUGAACCUCCCAAGGCAAUUGACAUUCUAGCCGCUAUCCGAGGAGAGCUAGUCCCGAUUGGUAUCACGAACCGGGACUAAAGGUCCCCCAGCCCCCGGCGCGGGCUCGUGCCACGUGGUGGGCCUUUGGUCCCAGGCCAUGACGAACCGGGACUAAAGGGUGUUGGGAAACGUUGCAUGGAAAACAAAAAAAUUUCUACGCACACGCAAUGAUCUAUCCAUGGAGAUGCAUAGCAACAAGGGGAAGAGUGUGUCUACGUACCCUCGUAGACCGUAAGCAGAAGCGUUUGGCAACACAGUUGAUGUAGUCGAACUUCUUCUAGCUCCGACCGAUCAAGUACCGUACGUACGACACCUCCGAGUUCUGCACACGUUCAGCUCGGUGACGUCCCUUGCCUUCUUGUUCCAGCAAGUUGACAAGGUAGUAGAUGAGUUCCGUCAGCACGACGGCAUGGUCACGGUGAUGGUGAUGUGAUCCGCGCAGGGGUUCACCUAAGCACCGCGAGAAUAUGACCGGGGGUGUAAACUAUGGAGGGGGCGCCGCACACGGCUAACAAUUAAUGUUCUAUGUGCUAGGCGCCCCCUCCUCAUAUAUAUAGGUGGGAGGGAGAGGGGAGAGGCCAAGGGGUGCCUCAAGUGGGGCCGAAUCCCACUUGGGCUCCUGCCUUGGUUCGCCCCCCUUCCUUGUAUAGGCGCCAGGGGAAGGAAGGGGGAGGUGCCGCCCCCCUUUCCUUUCUCCCUUGAGGAGGGGAAGGAAGGGGGAGGUGGCGCCCCCCUUUCCUUUCUCCCUUGAGGAGGGGAAGGAAGGAGGGACUUUCCCUCCCCCCUUUCCUUUCCCCAGGGCUGGCUGGUCUGGUGGAGGGGUGCACCAGCCACUUGUGGCCUGGUCUGUCCCUCCCUUGGCCCAUUAAGCCCAUAUCUUUGCCGGGGUUGCCUGGAACCCCUUCUGGUGACCCUAUAUGUACCCGGUACCCUUUGGAACACUUCCGGUGUCCGAAUACCAUCGUCCUAUAUAUCAAUCUUUACCUCUCGACCAUUUCGAGACUCCUCGUCAUGUACGUGAUCUCAUCUGGGACUUUGAAAAACAUUCAGUCACCAAAUCACAUAACUCAUAUAAUACUAUAUCAUGAUCGAACGUUAAGUGUGCGGACCCUACGGGUUCGAGAACUAUGUAGACAUGACCGAGACACCUCUCCGGUCAAUAACCAAUAGCGGAACCUGGAUGCCCAUAUUGGCUCCUACAUAUUCUACAAAGAUCUUUAUUGGUCGAACCGUUAUGACAACAUACGUAAUUCCCUUUGUCCAUUGGUAUGUUACUUGCCCGAGAUUCGAUCGUCAGUAUCUUCAUACCUAGUUCAAUCUCAUUACCGGCAAGUCUCUUUACUCGUUCUGUAAUACAUCAUCCCGCAACUAACUCAUUAGUCACUUUGCUUGCAAGGCUCCUUAUGAUGUGUAUUACCGAGAGGGCCCAGAGAUAGCUCUCCGAUACUCGGAGUGACAAAUCCUGAUCUCGAUCUAUGACAACCCAACAAACACCUUCGGAGAUACCUGUAGAGCAUCUUUAUAAUCACCCAGUUACGUUGUGACGUUUGAUAGCACAUAAGGCAUUCCUUUGGUAUCCGGGAGUUGCAUAAUCUCAUAGUCGAAGGAAUAUGUAUUUGACAUGAAGAAAGCAAUAGCAAUAAAACUGAAUGAUCAAUAUGCUAUGCUAACGGAUGGGUCUUGUCCGUCACAUCAUUCUCCUAAUGAUGUGAUCCCGUUCAUCAAAUGACAACACAUGUCUAUGGUUAGGAAACUUAACCAUCUUUGAUUAACGAGCUAGUCUAGUAGAGGCUUACUAGGGACACUGUGUUUUGUCUAUGUAUCCACACAUGUAUCAAGUUUCCUGUUAAUACAAUUCUAGCAUGAAUAAUAAACAUUUAUCAUGAUAUAAGAAAAUAUAAAAUGACAACUUUAUUAUUGCAUCUAGGGCAUAUUUCCUCUAGUUUCCCACUUGCACUAGAGUCAAUAAUCUAGUUCACAUCGCCAUGUGAUUUAACACCAAUAGUUCACAUCUUUAUGUGAUUAACACCCAUAGUUCACAUCUCCAUGUGACCAACACCCAAAGGGUUUACUAGAGUCAAUAAUUUAGUUCACAUCGCUUAUGUGAUUAACACCCAAAGAGUACUAAGGUGUGAUCAUGUUUUGCUUGUGAGAGAAGUUUAGUCAACGGGUCUGACACAUUCAGAUCCGUAUGUAUUUUGCAAAUUUCUAUGUCUACAAUGCUCUGCAUGGAGGUACUCUAGCUAAUUGCUCCCAUGUUCAAUACGUAUCUAGAUCGAGACUUAGAGCCAUCUAGAUCAGUGUCAAAGCUUGCAUCGACGUAACUCUUUACGACGAGCUCUUUAUCACCUCCAUAACCGAGAAACAUUUCCUUAGUCCUCUUUAAGGUAACUAAGGAUAAUUUUGACCGCUGUCUAGUGAUCUAUUCCUGGAUCACUAUUGUACCCCCUUGUCAAACUCAUGGCAAGGUACACAACAGGUUUGGUACACAACAUGGCAUACUUUAUAGAACCCAUGGCUGAGGCAUAGGGAAUGACUUUCAUUCUCUCUUUAUCUUCUACCGUGGUCGGGUUUUGAGUCUUUACUCAAUCACACCUUACAAUACAGGCAAGAACUCCUUCUUUGACUGAUCCAUUUUGAACUCCUUCAAAAUGUUGUCAAGGUAUGUACUCAUUGAAAGUCUUAUCAAGCGUCUUGAUCUAUCUCUAUAGAUCUUGAUGCCCAAUAUGUAAGCAGCUCCACCGAGGUCUUUCAUUGAAAAAAAUCUUAUUCAAAUAUCCUUUUAUGCUAUCCAGAAAUUCUACAUCAUUUCCAAUCAAUAAUAUGUCAUCCACAUAUAAUAUCAGAAAUGCUAUAGAGCUCCCAUUCACUUUCUUGUAAAUACAGGCUUCACCAUAAGUCUGUAUAAAACCAUAUGCUUUGAUCACCUUAUCAAAGGGUAUAUUCCAACUCCGAGAUGCUUGCACCAGUCCAUAGAUGGAUCACUGGAGUUUGCACACCUUUUUAGCACCUUUAGGAUCGACAAAACCUUUUGGUUGCAUCAACUCUUCUCUAAGAAAACCAUUAAGGAAUGCAGUUUUGACAUGCAUUUGCCAGAUUUCAUAAAAUGCGGCAAUUGCUAACAUGAUUCAGACAGACUUAAGCAUCGCUACAAGUGAGAAAAUCUCAUCGUAGUCAACACCUUGAACUUGUUGAACACCUUUUUGCGACAAGUCGAGCUUUGUAGAUAGUAACACUACCAUCAGCGUCCGUCUUCCUCUUGAAGAUCCAUUUAUUCUCAAUGGCUUGCCGAUCAUCGGGCAAGUCCACCAAAGUCCACACUUUGUUCUCAUACAUGGAUCCUAUCACAAAUUUCAUGGCCUCAAGCCAUCUGUCGGAAUCUGGGCUCAUCAUAGCUUCUUCGUAGUUCGUAGCUUCGCCAUGGUCUAACAACAUGACUUCCAGUACAAGAUUACCAUACCAGUCUGGUGCGGAACGUGCUCUGUUUGACCUACGAGGUCCAGCAGUAACUUGAUCCAAAGUUUCAUGAUCAUCAUCAUUAGCUUCCUCUCUAGUUGGUGUAGGCAUCACGGGAACAGAUUUCACGGAUGUGCUACUUUCCAAUUUGAGAGAAGGUACAAUUACCUCAUAAAGUUUCACUUUCCUCCCACUCACUUCUUUCGAGAGAAACUCCUUCUCUGGAAAGGUUCCAUUAUUGGCAACAAAGAUCUUGCCUUCGGAUCUGUGGUAGAAGUUGUACCCAAUUGUUUCUUUAGGGUAUCCUAUGAAGAUGCACUUCUCUGAUUUGGGUUUGAGCUUAUCAGGCUGAACCCUUUUUGACAUAAGUGUCGCAACCCCAAGCUUUAAGAAACGACAACUUACACUACAAAAAAAAGACA